rnacentral:lncRNA from 1 species
UUAUAGUUCCAGACAUGUGUUCCGACAUGGAAACAUCAUCAGACAAGUACGUGGAAGACUACAUUUGCAACCUCACUAAAACAACCCUAGACUUUUCCAAGCCAUUAUGGGACCUUCAUCUCCUCAACGUCAAAACCUCCGACGCCGAGGCCGUCGCCGUUUUCAGGAUUCACCACUCCCUCGGCGAUGGCACGUCUCUCAUGUCUCUUUUACUUGCAUGCACACGCAAAGCCUCGGAUCCCACGGCUCUGCCUUCGGUUCCCAUGAUGAAGAAACCAAAAUCAUCGGCUGGGUCUGGAAAGUGGUGGAAGGCUUUCAGACUGGUUUGGAAUACGAUCAUCGAUGUUUUGAUGGUGAUCGCCACAGUGUUGUUCUUGAAGGACAGAGACACGCCUCUUAGGGGUCCGCCCAAUGUUGGAUCCACAGGACGGAGAAUUAUUCACAGGACGAUUAGUCUGGAGGAUGUUGUGAUGAUAAAAAAUGCAAUGAGCACUGUAAGUCAACUUGUUGCAUGCAUGGAAAACAAAUACAUGUUUUGCAACUGUUUUAAAAAAAACAAUUUCCUGUUUUUCAAAUAAAAUAAAUAGAAAAACACUUUAGAUAAAAAAAAAUUAGAAAAUAAGGUAUUUUCAAGGAACAACUUUCAAUUAUUUUUAUUUAUAUUUUCAUUUGUUUUUGUGAUAAUUGUUUUUUAAAAUAAUUAUAUAAAUAUAAAUAAUAAUUAAAAAUUAAAAGCACAAGUUAUUUUCAAAAAUAUAUUUAAAAAUAUAGAAAUCAAGUUAAAAAUAUUCUAGAGUCAUUCCUGAAUAAAAAUUAUUUUCCAUAAAUGUUUAUAAAAAACACUUAACAAACAAAGCUAUGAUUUUUUCUUUUUUCGACUAUGUCCCAUAAUUUUUUUAUUUUUUUAAAGCAGAGAAAUACAAAGCUUUUUUACUUUUCGAUCACUUCAAUGAAAGAGUGGGUAAUCAUAUAUUUGAAGAAGUUUACAACUCCUCUCUCAAUCAUUAGUGGAGAGAUUAAGAACUAAAAUUUUUGUGGCUCUCAUGUGCAGACUGUUAAUGAUGUUAUGGUGGGAAUCACACAGGCUGGUUUGUCUCGGUACCUCAAUAGGCGAUAUGGUGAGCUCCUAUUUUAAUUUUCAAAAUUCAUAUAUUAAGUGGUACGGUGAAGAGUAAUUAUAAUACACCACCUAGCUACUCUCUCUAUGUAUAAAAGGAUGUUAUAAAGCUUGUAUGCUCUACAUGGUAGCUGAAGGCAAGAAGAAUAAAGGGGCAACAGAGAAGAAAAAUAAUCUUCCCAAGAACCUUUCUAUCAGAGCAACUCACUUCAUUAACAUAAGACCAUCUGCAGGGAUCCAUGUGGGUGUUUCUACUUUCUUUAUCAAGCCCUCGUGAAGGAAUUAGUUAAUUUCUCUUUGGGAAGUGUUUUCAAAAAAUGAAACAAAAGUUUUUGAAAACUGUUAUUUGAUAUUUUAUGGAAUAAAAGUUUGUUUAAAAAUCUAAAAUUAAUGUUAUUUAUGUUUUCUAUGUUUUAAAAUAGGUUUUAUUAUUAAUUGAUCUCCAUAUUUUUAUAAUUAUUUAUUAAAUGGUUCUUAAAAAAUAAUCAAAAAAUAUUUUCUGAAAACACAUCAUUUUUAAAUAAUUAUUUUAUUUAAAUUUGUUUUCAAAAUUUAAAAAUUAUAUUAAAAUCAAUUAUCAAACAAGUCCUUAAUUUCUUGUCUCAUGCAUGUAUACAUUGAUAUCGUACAGACCUUAGCUGAAAUGAUGGAGAAAGGCUCUGAAGCAAAAUGGGGCAACUGGAUUGGCUAUGUCCUUCUCCCUUUAUCCAUUGCAUUACGAGACAAUCCUUUAGAUUACAUUCAAAAAGCUAAGGAAGCUAUGGAUAGAAAAAAAGCCUCUCUUGAAGCUCUCUAUAUACAUUCCAUGGCUAAGUCAAUUCCCAACUUAUUUGGCACUAAGGUAUGAAUUAAUAUCACUCAACCCUAGCUUGUUUCCUCAAAAUUAAGUACUUCUAGCUUAAUUAAUAUCACUGUCUAAUAAACAAUUAAAAGUGGUAAAUAUAGGCUCACUUCUUUCAUUGGUAAACAGACUGGAAGUGUUCUAUGCCUCAAAGUCCCCUCUCGUACGACAAUAUGGUUCUCAAAUGUAGUUGGACCCCAAGAAGAAAUUGCCUUCUUUGGCCAUCCAAUAGCCUACAUUGCUCCAAGUUGUUUUGGUCAACCCAAUGUAAGUCUUCUUAAACUUUGUUUGACAAUGUUUUAAAAAAUGCUUUAGCCUAUAAAAUGUUUUACAAAAAAAAAAUUAAAAUUUAGAAAUCACUUUCAAAAAGUUAAAAAGCCACUUAUAGAUAUUUUCAAAGAAACAUUUGAUAGAUAAUUCUCUUAAUACUUUUAAGUAAAACACUCUCGAGAAAAACACUUCAAAUUACAUUCUUAGAAUGCGUUUGAUAAUAUUUUUAUUCAAAAUGUUUUUAAUGAAAGCAUAUUCUCUGAAAAUGUUUUACGAUAAAUGUCUAUCAAAUAAUUCUCCAAAAAACAGGAUAAUUGAUUUUUCAAUACUAUAAAUAAUUUUUCAUAUUUGUAAAAGCGUUUCCCAUAUUUUAUCAAAUACUUAAAGAUAAAAAUGUUUGUUAAAAUCAUUAUCUAACUCUUAUUCAUGAAACAUAAACUUUUCUCUUUCUUAUGAAUUAUUAGCCAUUUUUAGUACUGUAAAAAUGGUGGUUGAUUCAAUCUGAAUUCGAGUCUCUUGAAUAUCUAUUGCAGGCAUUGAUGAUUCAUGUGGUGAGCUAUGUGGAUAAAAUGAAUAUCAUUCUAUCAGUUGAUGAAAGUACAGUCCCUGAUCCUCACCAGCUGUUUGAUGACCUUGAAGAGUCUUUCAACCUCAUCAAGAAUGUUGUGAUGGCUAGAGACUAAACUCCACAGAAUGUCAUGUAGCAAGGGCUAGGGUCAAUGUAAUUAAUAUAUAUAAUGUUCUGAAAUCAUUGUCUUAAGGUUCCUGCAAUAAUGAUGUUGUAUUAGAUGGCUCUCUACUAAAUAAAAAUGCCUCUCUACUGUAUUUUUAUCUUAAUUCAAGUUCAUAUUUUUUGGACUUUAUUUCAUUUUUAUUUACUGUAUUUUGAUGACUAAUUAUGGGUUCUUUCUAAUUUUAUCUUUUAAUUUUUUAUUCUCUUUUUUUUUUUUUUUUGAUUCCUCAGAUCUUUUGCAGUAUCCAUUUUUAAUUUUAAGGCUUAAAUUUCUACUUCAUUUCAUUAAUUUCUUCCAUAAUUUUUAAUUUUUAUUAUUAUUAAAUAAUUGUAAUAGCGUUAAUAUGAAGUUUUGGGCUGGCUUACAGAAGAACCCAUCUCCUAGUUUAUAUUGAUCCCUAGCAUUUUAUUAAUGGAUAUAACUAUCAAAAUGCUUUCAAAACACAUUUUCCAUUUAAAUGAAAAUAUUAAUUAAUUUUCUAUAGAAAUAUCUUCAAUAGAGUGUUAGUGACAAAAUGGUAAAAAAAGAAAAAGAAUGUUUUAACAACAAUCACCUUGAAAUCCUUCAUGUGCUACAAAACAAAUUGAUUGGUUUAUUCAUCAUGAAAUUUCAUGUUAAUUAGGCUUUAGCUGAGAUGAUGGAGAAGGAGUCUAAAGUGAAAGGGGGAAAUUGGACUGGAUCUAUGUUCCUCCCUUUUGCCAUUGUCUUAUACGAUGACCCUUUAAAUUAUGUUAGUCAAACUAAAGUCACAAUCGAUCGAAAGAAGCAUUACCAUGAAGCUAUAUUUACAUUUUUCAUUAUUAAGAUGGUUCUCAAAUUAUUUGGUGCUAAGGUAUGAAUUUCCUUAUCCUUAAUAUUGAAAUAGAUCACCUAGGAAAUUAUAGAUUUUCAAACUCCUGUUCUUAAAUAAUAAUAAUAAUAAUAAAAUCUAUUGUCUAUUUUUUGUUUCUUUCCUUUCUAUUUUCUUCUUAUGAUCUUACCUAGGAUUUUUAUUAUUAUUAUUAUUAUUUUGCAUGGCAAAUAAGUUGCAGCAUUUUUAUACCAUAGAGUUAUAAAUCAUACAAGAAUGUGCUUCUCAAAUGUAGUUGGACCUAUGGAAUAAAUCGGUUUUUAUGGCCAUCCAAUGGCUUUCCUUGCUCCAAGCGUUUACGGCUAACCUCAUGUAUAUAUAUAUAUAUAUAUAGUUAUUUGAUUAAAUGGAUUAUUGAAAACCCAAAUUUGGAAAAAUGACCUUCAUGGUUUGAAAGUAUGAACUAUGAUCCAAAAAUUAUAUUUGUAUUCAUCAAAUUUUUCUUUACAUUUAUUAUAUUUACACAUUCACUUUAAAAUACUAACUAUAUUAACACAUCACCUACAAAUUUCCAAUAUCAUAAAAACACUCUUCACAUUCUUCUCUUCUAUACCUAUCCUUUUUUUUUUUUCUCUAUUAACUUUUUUCUUCUCAAUAAUAAAUCCUAAAAGAAACUAUCUUUUAGGGCUUAUUCUUCAUGUAAAUUUUGACUAAAAAAAUAUGUUGUAAAAACAAUUAGAAAGAAUUUAUAAAAAAUUAGAAAUGAGAAAUCAUGAAAAAGUGCAAAAGAAAUUAUAUUUGGACUGAUUUUUUACUCUGUGUUUUGUGGUAGGGAUUCAUGAUUGAUUUCCAAAGUUACAUCAAUAAAAUGACAUUUGUUCUUUCUGUUGAUGAAGAAAUAAUUUCCGACCCUCACCGAUUAUGUGAUGAUCUUGAAAAGUCAUUUAAGUUUAUCAAAGAUGUUGUCAUUGCAAGAGGGUUUGUCCAUAAAAUUUCCAUAAAAUAAGAAUGAUUAGUACAUGUUACAUCUAUGUGAACUAUGAAGAUCUGUGUGUUCUUAUGGUCAUUUGCAGUUUUAAUCGUAUGUGUUUUAAGUGAAAUGUUUUAUUUUCGAAUAAAUUUUGAACUUUCUAAUGUUAUAUGUAUGUCACAUGCAUGUAUGCUUUGAAAUUUUUAUAUGAGAAUAAGACAUGUGGGUCAUGCCUUGUUCUGGGAAUGGGCCUAACUUGGGCCAGGCUUGGGCUUGAGCCUAACUGGGUCUUAAGUUGGGUUAAUUAGAACGAUGAAGUCAAAGAAUUGCAAAAUUUUGGGUUCCAUGAUAUCUCAAAAUUUCAAGAUAGUUUUUUCCUGAUUCUUACAAAAUUGGGUACAUAUCUACAUAGGUUGUUAGAGAUACUGUGAGGGAUUUGCACCACCUCAAACAAUAUUCUAACUAAAAAUGUCUCGUUCGGAUACACUUUUUCAUUUUUCUUUUUUAGAAACAAAAAGUUUUAAUAAUUUCUAUAUGAAAAUAGAAGUUCUUAUAUUAAAAAAAAGGUACAUGUUUACCCUGUGUCCUUAUAAUUUAUUUUAAAUAUUUUAAAAUUUUAGAUGAUAAUUUUUUUAAAAAAAAAAUUUAGUUUUUAAAAGUCAUUGUUUUUUGGUGUAAUUCUCUAAGAUUUUUUAUAUUUAAAAGAAAUAAUAAAUGAUAAAAAUUGUGGUAUAUAUAUAUAGAGAGAGAGAAAAAAUAUAUAUUAUGCUCAACAACCCAUUUAAAAUAAUGAUUUAUAUACUCAAAAACAGUUUAAUAUGAUGAUUUAUUUAGCUAAAUAUAUUUAAGAAUAUAAAAAAAUCAUGAUACAGAUAUGACUACUUUUUAAUUAUUUAAAAAUAUUUAAAAUUUUAUUUACAAGUUUAUACUUUUCUUAUAUUUAAUAUUAAAAUGUUAAUUUAAUUACAAAAAUGAUUAUGUAGUUUGAUAAAUUUAAAAAAAUUAUUAGUUUUAAUAUUUUAGAUUAUAAUAAAUCGAUUUUAUGUGCUUUUAUAAAUAUCAAUGAAGUUUAGCUUGGUGGUGAAGUGGCAUGAUAAAAGUUGUUUUCCUUUAUUUUUCAAAUUAUAAAGAAUAAAAUAAUAUAUAUAUAUAUAAGAUAAAUUUCACCAUACAUUAAAAUUUGAAAUUUCAUUAAAUCUAAACUUUUUCUUUAAUAAUUUUUUAAAACUUUCAUAUUUACCCUUCAUUUUCUUUCUCUUGUAUUUAUUGCGGACCAAACUUGUCAUAAAAUAAGUCAAAUUCGUUUUUGAUCUCUCUAUUCUCUAGCAAUCUCAAAUGGACCCAAGAUUGAGGCCACUCUAUCAAGACUUAAAAAUCAACACAAGGAUCAACAAAAUGUGUGGACAUUAACAUCGGAAUCAUAAAUAAUCAACUACGUACCUUUUUUAUAUUAAAUAUUAAAUGUCAUAUUAGAACAUUCUUCAAAAUUGAAAAUAAUAAAAGUAGAAAUUCAACAUCAUACCUCUGACUAUGGCCAUCAAAUUCACAAUUUUUGGGAGUAAAUAAAAAACAUAAUAAAAUUAGGGAUUUGUUUGGCUAGUUUUUCUAAGACCUUAUAUCUUAUGAAAACUCACAAACUUCCUAUAAACUAGAGACUCUUAUCUAUAUAAAGUUUUAAUAUAAAAUAUGAUAUUUUCUUAUAUUUUCUUUCCAUCAAAGGAGACAAAAUAAAUACCAAGUAGUAGUUACCACUAAAAGUGUGUCAUGACUAUAAAAGAUGGUUACAACACUAAGAGAUGUGUUUGUAUUCAAUGUGUCACAUGUUUUAGGGAAAAUAAUGUAUUUAAAUUUAAAUUUAAAUAGAACACAAAACUUAAAACAUUUAUCUUAUUUUAUUUAAAAUAAAAAAUAUUUCCAACAUGUCACACACAUGAGAUCCAUGCUGCCAUAAAUUCAUUUCCAAACUAGUUAUGAACCAUAAAUGACAAGCCCUAACUUCACCUCCACUUGCUAUAACAAGCCCUAACAUGACUUCUACUGCUAAACAUUGAAAAAGGAUGUUGAUGUUGCGUCUAAAGGCAUCUUGCUUUAUUAAAUAUUUAAUUUAUGUACUAUCAUUCUCAUUGACAUUAAAAUUAAUUAUUUCUAAAAAAAAAAAAUCAAAAGAAAAUUUCCCAAACCAUAGAAAAGUAUUUAGCAUUAAACUCGAUAGAGUUACACCACAUAUUUGUAGCUUAGGAUCACAGGGUUCUCAGAAAAACACUUCAAAGUACAUUCUUAGAGUGUAUUUGAUAAUAUUUUUAUUCAAAAUAUUUUUAAUGAAAGUAUAUUCUUUAAAAAUGUUUUAAGAUAAUUGUCUAUCAAAUAUUUCUUCAAAAAACAAUACAAGUGAUUUUUUAACACUAUAAAUAAUUUUUCACAUUUGUAAAAGCGUUUCUCAAAUUUUAUCAAAUACUUAAUAUAAAAUUAAAUGCUUCUUAAAAUCAUUUUCUCACUCUUAUUCAUGACACAAACUAAAAAUAUCAUUGUGGUUUUGUGCAUUGCAGACUAUCAACGAUGUGGUUAUGGGGGCGUCAUUGGCUGGUCUUUCUCAAUAUCUCAACAGAAAGAUAUGGUGAGCUUGCAACUUUAUACCUAAACAACUAGAAUACUUCAUCUAAUGUAAGGUGAGAUUCUUAACAUAUCUCCUUAAUGGCAGGUGAGGCUAAGGGAGAGGCAGUAGCUACACAGAAGAAAAAUAAUCUUCCUGAGAACAUUCGCCUCAGGGCCCUCGAUCUCGUUAAUAUAAGACCUUCCCCAGGGAUUCAUGUGAGCCAUUUUCCUGUUGAAUUCAAAAGAUUUAUAUGAAAAUAUGGUCGUUAAGAUAGUAAAAAUGAUGGUGCAACUAACAUUUUUUGUAUGCAUCAAAUCUGAAUUUUCAAAUUUAUAAAUGAACUUGAGUAAAUUAAUUAUCCAUGUACUGUAAAUUUGAUUGAUUAUAUCGUAUCAUAUCAUCAAAAUGCUAGGCUUUAGCUGAUAUGAUGGAGAAGGGGACCAAAGCAAAAUGGGGUAACUGCAUUGGAUCUGUGCUUUUCCCCUUCACUAUUGUGUUACAAGAUGACCUGUUAGACUAUGUUUGCCAAGCUAAGGCUACCACUGACAGAAAGAAGCAGUCUCAAGAAGUUGCAUACACAUUUCUCAUUGUUAAGUUAGUCCUCAAGUUAUUUGGAAUUAAGGUGCGUAUGAACUUCUUUGCAAUUUUUUGGAACCAAAUACACAAAAAAUUGGACACAUAUAUAUAUGCUAGCAAUUCCCCCUUGGUUGUUUAAUUUCAGUGUUUCUAGUCUAAAUUAAUCAUUCUACUUCAGAAAUCAUUUGGUAAAACAGGCUGCAGCAUUUCUACUCCACAGAGUUCCAAAUCACACCACAUUGUGCUUCUCAAACAUAGUUGGACCUAUAGAAGAAAUCGGUUUUUAUGGUCAGGCUUUCAUUGCUCCAAGUUGCUGUGGGCAAGCAACCCCAUGUAAGUAUAUAUACACAUCUCAUUAAGCCAAAAUAUGCCUUUUGUUUAAUUUCAUUUGGCUAUGAAAACAUUAUAAUUUAUAACAUAGAGUUGAGUUUGGUUAGUCUUAAUAAGCAUAAUAAUUGUGUUUUGGUGUCGGGAUUGAUCGUUCACUUUCUAAGUUACACAAAUAAAAUGACAUUUAUUCUAUCGGUUGAUGAAGCGAUCAUUCCUGACCCUCACCAGCUAUGUGAUGAUAUUGAAGAAACACUCAAGCUCAUGAAGGAUGUUGUUAUAGCAAGAGGGAUUGUUAAGGAAAAUCUCAUUAAAUAAAGAGUGAUUACACACAAAAAAGACUGAUCACCAUAUUACAUUAUGCUUGAAUUAUGUUAAUUGGGAAAAUGUUGUGUACUCAUCUUUGCUUUCAUGUAUACUAAUAAUGUUGAUUGCUACCAAAUAGGGACUAUAAACCUUUGGUUAGUGUAUCUUAUAAAUUUGUUUCUCAAUUGGAUAAGUUGGAAUUUGGAUUAAAUUCGUUAUCGAGCAUCAUCCUAAUUAGCUAGGUUGAUUAGGAUGUGCUUGCAUUUUGUGGUUUUUUGUGGUUGGUUGAUGAUAAUUUGCAUUGUUUUAAAAACAUGACGAGUUGGACCGCCAGCCGGAGGGCUUUCCUAUCCAGUUCCCCUUUUUGGACCAUCUAUCAAUUGGAUUGGUCUUGAACCGAUUAAACCAGCGGUUGGAUCAAUGACCCGGAUGGUUCUUUAAGAACCGAAUGGGUCAAACCCCACCACCUCUUUUUCUUUUUGCCAAGCCCACAUUUCCUUUGGCCUAGUGUCCACUCCUAUGAUGAGUUUUCUUGGCAAAAUGGCCUAUUAAAUUAGGCAAUGAGCUCUAUAGCCUGACCCAACAAUCUACUAAUUUGCAAGGAAUGGAAAGAGGUUUAUAAAUCUAUUUAUGUUUCAUCUACUUUCAAUAUGGAAUCAAGAAAUUUAAGGAAAAACUCAACUCUUUUUAUUGCAACCAGGAGAGCUUGAACCAUAGACCUUGACGUUUCCUAAUACAAUAUUAUUCACUCUACUACAACCAUCCUUAUGUUGAAAUUUAACAAGGAACAAAUAUAUAGGUUAUUUUUAAAAAAUGAUAUAUAUAUAUAAUUACAUAAUACAUUUUUUUUUUCAUUUUCAAUAUGUUUAAUAUCUAAAUAUGAUUUUUACCAUUUUCUUUUCAUAUUGAAAUAUUGUAUAUAUUUUGUUUAAUAAAUUAAAAAUGUUAAUACAUUUAUAUAAAAAUGAAUAAAUAAUAUUACAAAUAUUAUUAAUUUUUAAUUAUAUGUAGUUAAAAUUAUUUUUAAUUUUAAUAAAAUAUAAAUUAUAUAUUUAUGACGUCACCGAUUCGACCGUGGUUCAACCACCGAUCCGACCAGUGAACCGUGAACCAAUAACUUUUCCGGUUCAAUGUUUUGUCCGGUUCUGAAAACAUUUAUAAUUUGUCUCGACUAGCGAUAGGCUGGACUUUUUAUUCAAAUCAACAUUACAUGACUUAACUUUACAUCGACCUCGGAUUAGGAUUGUUUCCUAUAAUCAUCAAUAAAGGAGUAAAACGUUGAAGAAAUAUCAAAGAGUUGAAAAUAUAGUUGAUAAAAUUACCCAUACUAAUUUUGCAUAUGAAUACUAUUCAUUUUUUAAAAGAAAUAUUUAAUGAUAAAAAUUUUCAAAAAAUUAAAAGAAAAAUAUAAUUUUCAAAUAUUGAAAAUCUUUAAAAAAAAAUAUUGUAAUGGUGAUGUGAAUUGAAAUAUAAGGAAAGUUGAAAUUUGAAAUACAGGUUAUACAUGUGACUGAUUGGAAGAAAAGAAAAACUUAAGAGUACGUUAGAUAACUAUUUUCAAGAACAAUUUUUGAUUUUUUAGAAGAAAAAUUAAGGAAACAUGCUUAUUAAUCAGAAACUGUUUUUAUUUUUAAAAAUCAUUUUUUAGUUGUUUCCUAUUAUUUUUACUUUUUUGUCAAGACCGUUUUAAAAAAUAAUUAUGUAAGCAUAUAGAAUGAUUAAAAAUAAAGUAGUAGAUAUAAAAUUAUUUUUAAAAAAUAUUUAAAAAUAGGUUAAAAACAUUUUAAGUUUUCAAAUUGACUUUUAUUUAAUUUAUAAAACAGUAGAGAACAAUUUUUAAAAACUGUUCUUAAAAAAAAAAAUUCAAAACUGUUUUCGAAAACAGUUACCAAACAAAACCUAAAAUUUUGAGUUAGAAUUUUUAUUUUUUUUUUAUACUUGAAUAAAUACUUUCCCCAAAUCAUUUACAAUUUUUGAACUCAAAUUUAAGUCUUAAGAUAGAUAGGAAGAUAUAUUAAAACUAAUGAUUUUUUCAUUACAUGUGGAGAGUAUGUCUAGGUUGAAUAUUAUUCAUCAGCUCAUGAAAUUUCAAUUUUAAAUUAAACUCUCGUCAUUAUUAUGGUUUGGAAAAAUAUUUGAGGUGGUUUCUACCAUCUUAAAGCGUCAAUAAGACGAAAUUUUGAGUAUGUUAUUUAAGCUUCUUCUAAAAUUAGAAAAUCGAGGAGAGAAGGAAGGUGGAAAAUAAAACAGAGAAAAAAAAUACAAAAAUGAAAAAAAGAUUUGAACUUGAUAUGUAUACAUAUAUUUUCUAUAUAGCUUUUUAAAUAAUCUCCUAAUAUAAAAAUUGAAAAUACACAUGAAUUUUUGAAUUAUUUUUUAUAUUUUUUAUUAUUGUUGUAGUAUGUGGCUCAUAUUUAUUGAAAAAAACAUAUGAAGAAAAAUGGGCAAAUGUCAGAGCGAAGCGGAGUGAAAGUCUUCUUCCCUGUUCCCGUGGACGUAGGCAAUUUGUCGAACCACGUUAAAUCUGUGUCUUUCUUCAUUUUCAUUUUCUUUAAUUUUCACCAUAAAUCAUUGCACGUAAAUCAACAAUUGGUAUCAGAGUGUGAGGUUCGAUGUCUGAGAUUUCUUAUGUGAAGUUCGAUGGAUAUGGGAAUUUCGGUCUAUGGCAGAGAAGGGUUAAGGAUCUGUUAGUGCAACAAGGUAUGGUGAAGGCGUUAUACAAAAAGCAACCAAAAAGAAUGAACAACAUGGAUUGGAAGGAUUUGGAAGUGAAGGUUGCGGCAAUUAUCAGGCUUUGUUUGGCUGAUGACAUGAUGUACCAUGUCAUGGAUGAGGAAUCACUAGCAGCAAUUUGGUUGAAAUUGGAAAGUCGGUAUAUGUCUAAGUUGUUGACGAAAAAAGUUGUAUCUUAAGCAGAAACUAUAUGAUCUUAAGAUGGCAGAAGGCUCAUAUCUAAGCCCGACAUAUCAACGUGUUCAAUCAGAUCAUCAGUGAUUUGAAGCGAAUUGAUAUGAAGUUCGAAGACGAAGACAAGGCGUUGAUGUUACUAAAUUAUCUUCCCGCUUCUUCUAUGUAUGAAAAUCUGGUUACAACUCUGAUGUGGAGGAAAGAAACUCUUGAUUUGGAGGAGAUCACGAGUAUUCUUUUAGGAUUCAAUUAAAGGAAGAAAACCAAUGAUGAGAGUUCUCAAGGUGAAAGGCUUGUGGCAAAGAGUAAUUCGAAACAUGGGAGAAACAAGUCCUAGAGCUAAUUGAGUAACAAUAAAUCUUGAUCUAAAUCUAGGAAGAGAAAUGACAUGCAAUGUUAUAAGUGCAGAAAAAUGGGGCACAUGAAACGAGAUUGUCUAGAGAAAAAUAAAGGGAGCUCGAUAUCGGAAAAUAAAGAGGGUUCAUCAAAGUCUACGAAUGUAGUGGCAUAAGAAGACUCAGAGAGUGGUGAUAGUGAUAUGCUAUUGGUUUCAUCCAAUUUAGAUCAUCUUACAGAUUAUUGGAUCUUGGAUUCAGCAUGCUCAUAUCAUAUGACACCCAAUAAAGAUUGGUUUAACACUUACAGGUCAGUAAAUUCUGGUUCUGUUCUGAUGGGUAAUGACGCUUCAUGUAAAGUUGCUGGAAUAGGGAAUAUCAUAAUUAAAAUGUUUGAUGGUGUUGUUAGAACAUUGUGUGAUGUUAGACAUGUAUCUGAUUUAAGUAAGAAUCUUAUUUCCUUAGGGACUUUAGACUGUAACGGGUUUAGUUACAAGUCUACAAAUGGAGUAAUGAAGGUGAGUAAAGGUGCUAUGAGAGUGAUGAAAAGGUAAAAACUAGCAAGAAAUAUUUAUAAACUAUUAGGUACCACAAUUGUAGGUGAAAUUGCAACCACAAAGUUUGAGUCAAACAGUACGGUCUUGUGGCAUAUGCGGUUAGGGCAUAUGGGUGAGCGUGGGAUGAUGGAGCUUCAUAAGAGAAAUCUGUUGAAGGGUAUCAAAAUAUGUAAACUUGAUUUCUACAAGUAUUGUGUUUUUGGGAAACAGAAGAAAGUGUAGUUCAAGACAGCCACACACAAGACAGAGGAGUUUAUUGAUUAAGUUCAUACAGACGUUUGGGGACUAGUAAGGGUAGCAUCAUUGGGAGGAAAUAGGUAUUUUAUGAGUUUUAUUGAAGAUUACUCACGAAAGGUUUGGGUGUACUUCAUGCGGCACAAGUCGAAAACAUUUGCCAAGUUUAAGUUGUGGAAAGCUAAAGUAGAAAACCAGACAGGGAGAAAUAUAAAAUGCCUCAGGUCAGAUAAUGGUACUAAAAAUAUAGAUUGAAAGUUCACGGAAUUGUGUGAGCAACAUGGGAUUAAGAGACAUUUCACAGUACGUAAGACACCACAACAGAAUGGUGUAACAGAAAGGAUGAAUAGAACAAUAGCUAAAAGAGCUCGAUGUCUCAAAUUGAAUGUAGGCCUUGAAAAGAAAUUUUGGGCAGAAGCAGUGAACAUGGCAUGUUACUUGAUCAACAGGUCACCCAGAGCAGCAUUAGAUGGGAAAGAAGCAAAGGAGUUAUGAACAGGCAAUCCGAUAGAUUACUCUAGUUUGAGAGUAUUUGGGAACCCAGCCUAUGUGCACAUUCCUAAUGAGGAGAUAUCAAAGCUUCAUGUGAAGUCUAGACAAUGUAUUUUUCUAGGGUAUUAGAAAGGGGUGAAAGGUUUCAAGCUCUAGGAUCCAAAGGCAAACAAGGUGGUGAUCAGUAGAGAUGUGAUUUUUGAUGAGAAAGGCAUGUUAUAGUGUACUCAGAAAUGAGAGAAACAGGAACCAAAAAAUUGUAGCAAUAAUGAGCAGUUGAUACAUGUGGGAUUAGAGACCCAUGAUAUAGAGGAUCAUGCUCGAAAUACGGGGAAGUCUAGUUCAAAAUAUCAGUAGCAUCACAGUAUAGUCAUAGACAAACACAAACGCACUAUUAGGCCACUUACCAGGUAUGGUUUUGAAGAUUUGGUUUCUUAUGCAUUGAUUACUAGUAGCAGGGAUCCUACUACUUUUCAAGAGGCAAUACACAACCAAGAGAAAAGUAGAUGGAUGGGUGCUAUGGUGGAAGAGAUUCAGUCUUUGCAUAAAAACUAGACAUGGGAUUUGGUGGAGCUUCCCAAGGGAAAGAAAGCAAUAAGAUGUAAACAGGUGUACAAGAAGAAAAAAGCGAUUUCAGAAAAAAAAAAAAAUGGUGAAAAUUUCAAAGCUUGUUUAGUAGCAAAAGGUUACUCACAUAGGAAAGGGGUUGACUAUGAUGAGAUCUUCUCUCCCAUGGUCAAACACACUUCCAUCAGGACAGUGUUGGGUUUAGUAGCCCAUUUUGACAUGCAAUUGGAGCAAAUGGAUGUAAAGAUAGCUUUUCUUCAUGGUGAUUUGGAGGAGUUGGUCUAUAUGGUACAACCAAUAGGGUUUAUUCAACCUGAACAAGAACAGUACUUGGUCUGUAAAUUGAGUAAAUCACUUCAUGGGUUGAAGCAGUCCCGUGCUACAAACGAUUUGACUCCUACAUGAUUAGGAUUGGCUACAAGAGAUGUAAUCGGAGCGCAAUCAUAACUCAUGAGCCAAAAUUUUCCUUUUGUAAUUCAAACGUAACCGGAGCGCAAUUAUUUUCUUUCGUUCCUCACCAGGUACAACGUUUCUGAAAGAGUAUUGAUAUUGAUAUAUCAUGCGAAUCAAAAUCGUCUCAUGGUGUGAAGGCAUGCAGCUGGGCGGCAGACAAUUAAUUAAAUGCAGGUCUAGAAUGAUCUCAACAUUCAACCGACUGAGAAUGAUUGAAGCAUAUUGACUUUGAAUUUGUAAUUGGUGCAGAAACAGUCUGCAUGGCUACCAGCCUGCCACAUGCUCUGUGUGGUUACCCUCCACGCCAUGUGUUUAUCUGUCGAACUUUGUUAAUUGGAUUCAAACCUAUUCCCUCGUCAUCAAAUCAAUCUUUUUGUACGAAAAUAGACUAUUAUUAUACUCGAUGCGCGUGCCAAUAAAAUUUUGACGGGUGACAAUCAAAAGUUAUUUCUAGAUGACGAGGCCUCCAUGGAAGAAGCUCUAACCUUGAAGGGUGAAAACAGUGGUUAUCAAGGGUGAAAGGGCUACCUACCUACAUAAUUAACAAAUGGCUUCUUUUGGUUUUUGGGAGGAAUGAUUUGAUUUUCUUAAUAUUAUCAUUAAGCCUUUUAGGGAUUAUAAGGAUUGACCAGGAUGAUGAUUAAUCAAAAGUUAAGGCAAAUUUUGAAUCUAAGCAUACCAGCUAUUUAUUUUAUUUUGUUUAUAUCAUAGGUAAUCUCACGAACCUAGGUAUAUUCCUUAAACCAAGUGUACGUCUUGUUUGUCUGUGUGUCUUUUUCUGAUUCUACUAUUCUGUUUGUCAAAUUAGAAGAACCUUCAUACAUCAAAACCUACAUCAUUUACGCAUGGCUGAUAGUAAAAAAGAUGAUGUAUCAAGCUAUUUGUAAAAGCUAACUUGAACAAUUUUCCCAAAGAUCCCGGAUGAGAGAACCUUCGAUCGGGAGGAUAAAUGACUCCAAGUAGCAUUCAUGUAUGAUUUAUAUUUGAUCCCAUUGAUGAUACCUAUCAUUCUUCAUCGGCUAUCUUUGUUACUCUUCUCCUUUACUUUGAAAAAAUAGAGUUGCUUACUCAAGUACAAGAUGUCUAUUAGACAAAUAAAUGACCCACCUGCAAAAGUGAAGCUCUAUCAAAUGAACUAUAUCACCUUGAGCCAAAUGAAGCAUGCAUAAAUGAAUCAGAUGAUUAAUAUACAACACAGAAAUAUCACUUGUAGAAACCUUGGUGAAAUUAGUUGAAAUAAUACCAGCCACCCUCCAAUUAAUUUAUAUAGCCUUUUGGACUUCUAUGCCUUUCACACAUCAUUUUAAGGUCAAAUAUUUCAACAUCUGAACUACAUCUCAGACCAUUAAAAAUCUUAUCAAAAUUGAUGUAAAGUCCCACAUGAAAGACGACCAGCGACAACCUCCCUAGCUAUCAAUUCAUUUAAGUAUGUUAUGGACUACAAUACUUGACAUUCCAAUAUAAUUUCAGCCUCAUCUACAUGCUGAGCUGAGUAUCAUGGAGCCUGUAGGUGAUCUGGAUUCAAGACAGCAGGCUCUCAAGCCUAUUCAAACAAAGAGAUCAGCAGGAAGAGAAGUAGAAGGAGAUGGCGAAAAACCCGAGGAUAUCGAAGAAGAAGAAGAAGAACCUCUGAGUCCAGCUGCUCGAAUAUUUCAUGAACCUUGCUUCAAUGUCUAAGUCAUAGCCAUUGCUGGGUGCAAAACCAGAAUCAAUGUUGAUCUUUUUCCAGUAAAGAAGACCUCGAAUCCUGAUCCGGUAAACUCUGGCAGGAUUUGGUGGACAAUUCUAAAUUUUAAAUAGUUUGAUAACAUUCUAAAUUUUCAAAAAAAAACCUUUUAUUCCAAAAAACAAAAACUAAUUUAGAAAACCAUUCCCAAAAAAUAACUUUUUUAGAAUGGGUAUCUAAAAUAUUCCUAACGUUCCACGUAGCAACUAUGUGACAUAAAGUACCAUAAAUUUAGAAAUAUUUUAAGGUACCAUAUUUUAAAAAAAUAUUUUUAAAAAAUAUUUUAAAAAUUUUAUAUAUUUGUUUAUAUUAUAAGAUCCUUGUAUUUAUAUCUCAAAUUACUCAAAAAUAUCCUUGAAUGGUUUCUAUUGAUUUAAAAAGUAGUAGAACAAUUUAUUUCUUCUGACAGUGUCGGUCGCUUUGGGCAUUUUUUACAAUUAAAACAUGGCAUGAAAGUUUGGUACGGUGGUUGAAAUUAUCAUAAAUUUGAAAGGGAUGCCCAAGUUCCGUCCAAAUCUCAAAAACGAUAGUUGGUUCAAUUACUCUCCAUGUGCAAGCCAAAUUCUUUCCUGGCAAAACCCUCAAAUCCAUUUCUUGGAACUAAAAUUUGUACCGUCUCUAUCAUUAAUCCUAAAUUCAAUUUGAAAUUCCAAACUUCAAUAUUAUGAGUUCGAAAUUAAUUUCCAAUGUGGUCUUAUAACUCAUAUGCCACUGGAUUCUAGAUAGGAGCAGAACCAACAAUGGUGGAGACACGCCAUCUUUCCAUUUCCAUUGAUGACUUGAAGGGGGGCCUACCUACCUACAUACCUAUUAAUAAGUGGCUUCGGUUUAUUUAGAUAAUGAACAUAUACCCAAAAAAAGACUUUAUUAAGAGAAGUAUAUAAAAAAGAUAGAACAUUAAACUAUUCGUAAAGACCGAUUUGAUCGACUUUUCUUGAGAUCCUAAAUGAGGAAACCUUAGGAAGGGUAAAAGACUCCAAGUAACAGUCACGUACGAUAUCAGCUUUUCCCCUUUCCUUUGACAGAUAAGAGUUACCUACUCAAUUGCAGGAUGUUUAUUAGACAAAUAAAUGCCCCAGCUACAAAAGUGAAGCUCUAUCAUGUGAGCUAUAUCACCUUGAGCCAAAUGAAGCAUGCAUAAAAAAGAAUUAGAUGCUUCUUUAUAUAUGUUUGUAUAUGUAUAACACAUGAUAAGAUCAUUCAUGCAGCCUGUUGAUUUUCUUACAACAAUUCUUAGUGAAAAAAUUAGAAAAAAACAAAAGAAAACACACAAAUUUAAUGUGAUUUGACAAAUUGUCUAUAUCCACGAGAAUAAAAAGGAAGACUUUUAUUACAUCUAAAAUUAAGAUUAUAUAAAAAGGUAUUUAUAUUAACCAUCAAAUAUUAAAAUUCUAAAAAUACCCUUAAAUCGUACCAUGAAGGGGCGUUGCCUCUCGCACCCCCAACAUAUCGUUCACCCUCAAUAAUAAAAAUAUGAAUUUGAAUGAAAAAUGUCAUCAUUCCACUAUGUUCUACUUCAAUAUUUAACCAUUUUUCUCCAUAUAUAUAUAUAAAAGCCACAUAAUACAACACAGCCUUUUUAAAUGUGUUUCACACAUCAGUUGAAGGUCAAACAUUUCAAUAUCUCAACUAUAUGAUGCGCAAUUAAAAAUCUUAUCAAAAUUGAUGUAAAUCAUGUUACUGGUGUCCCACAUGAAAGACUUAUGUGUCCUAGCGCUCCAACUAGCAACAACCUUCCUGUCAUUUCAUUUAAGUACGUUGGACUACUGCUAUAUAUGUGUUUGCACAAUACUUGACAUUCCGAUAUAGUUUCAGUCUCAUCCAAAAGCUGAGCUGCGUGUCAUGGAGCCAGUAGGUGAUCUGGAUUCAAGACAGCAAGCUCUCAAGCCCAUUCAAACAAAGAGAUUAGCAGCAAGAGAAGUUGAAGGAGAUGGCAAAAAACCCGAGGAUAUCAAAGAAGAAGAAGAAGGAGAAGCUUUGAGUCCAGUUGGUCGAAUUUUUCAUGAAACUUGCUUCAAUGUCUAUGUCAUAGCCAUUGCUGGGUUCAAAAUCAGAAUCAAUGUGGAUGUUGUUAAAGCCAAUUUGGAGCACACUCUGCUUAAGCACCCUCGUUUCUCUAGCUUGCAGGUAUGAAAAAAGCUUUUUGGUACAUUAAUUAAUAUCUUAGCAUGAUAUAUAUCUAAACCAAGCUUCUUUUACGUAAGGCUUUAUUUGAAUGCCUGUCCUAUUUUUUUGUUUUUAAAAGAUAAAAACUCAUCUCCUCUUGGCUUAUCAAUUUAUUUUUUUAUAUUAUCUCGAUUAGGUGAAGGACGUGAAAAAGGAUGGAGGGAUGAAAUGGGUUCCAACAAAGGUGGACUUGGACAAGCACAUUAUAAUACCAAGCCUCCACCACACCAUUUCUUCACCAGACAAGAUGGUGGAAGACUACAUCUCCAAUCUCAGUAAAACCUACAUAGACUACUCUAAGCCUCUUUGGGAGCUCCAUAUUCUCAACAUUAAGACCUCGGAUGCCGAGUCUGUCGCCGUUUUCCGAAUCCACCAUUCCCUGGGUGACGGCAUGUCCCUCAUGUCUCUUGUCCUCUCUUGCUCCCGUCAAAUCUCCAACCCGAAAGCUCUCCCAACUUUGCCAGCGAAAAAGACUUCGAAUCCUGAUCCGGUAAACUCCGGCAGGAUUUGGUGGACAAUUCGACUGGUUUGGAAUACUAUUAUAGAUGUUUUGAUGUUUCUUGCCACAACUCUCUUCUUAAAGGAUACCAUGACACCACUCAGCAAUGGUUGGAAAAAGGGAGGUGGGCAUGUGCCAAGGAGGUUUGUUUACCGAACCGUUAGUCUUGAUGAUAUUAAACUAAUCAAGAAUGGGAUGAAAACAGUAAGUUGAUUCCAAAAACUGGCUCCACCCUUUAAGUUUCCUUGUAUACUUGUGCUUUAAAUAGAAACAUAAUACAACAUUUUCAUUUUUAAAAAUAAGACAAAUUUCAAUUAAAAUAAUAAUAAUGAUUAUUUUAAAAAAUAAUUUAAAAUAAAUAUAAAUUGAUUACCUAAUUUAUGUUUUUUAUCAAAUUUAUUAUUACUUUUUUUUAUAUUUUUAUUUAAAAAUAAAAUAGCCUACACGUGAAAUAUAUAACAAUGUAAACUUAUGGGUUUACAUUAUUUAGACUUAAUAAAUCAUAUUGUUUUGGGGCAUUGCAGACUAUUAACGAUGUUGUAAUGGGAGUGUCAUUGGCUGGUCUUUCUCGAUAUCUCAAUAGAAGAUAUGGUAAGCUUUCAUUAAUUCUCAGUUCAAUUUCUCUACCUACCCAACCAUUGUAUCCAAGCUUACAAGUCACAUUGAAGCUAUGUAUAUAAUAUAAUCAAUUGGGAAAUUUGGAAGAGAGCUAGAUAAAAUAAUCUUUAAACUAUAUGAGUAGAAACUCUUUAACAUGUGUUCCAUUUAUUAAUUGCAGGUGAGACCAAGGAAGAUAAAGGAGCCACCCAAAAGAAAAAUAAUCUUCCGAAGAAUAUUCGCCUGAGGGCAACUCUUAUGAUGAAUAUAAGACCAUCACCAGGGCUUCAUGUGAGUGAUUUUCAUAUUCAAUUUGAAAGAAUAUUUGUAGGAAAAUGUGGCUGCUGUGUGGCCAACUUUAAGAUGUGGCCAACUUUAAGAUAUAAUAGGGAUUUUGUUUUCAACAGCUUUUAACCUCUGUUUUCAAAGUGUAUAGAACAACAACGGUUAAGGUCAUGUUUGGAUGCAUUUCUUACUUUUUAUUUUUAAACAUAAAAAAUAGUAUAUAAAACAUAGGAAUUAUUAACGAAAAAAAAUAGAAAAAAAAAUGAAGGAAAAUAAAAUUUAGAUUCAAAAUCAAUAAUUUAUUUUUAUAUGUUUUUUCAAACUCAUUCUACUUAGUUCUUCUAUCAUAUAAAGAUCAAAUAAUUUUUAAAUGUAUACAUUUUUAACUAAUUUUAAUUAUAUUUAAUUUUCUUUAAAAAAAAUUUAUGGUGAAGUCAAAUAUGAGAAAACUAUUUUUUUUAGCAUUUUUUUUAUUUUUUUAUUACUUCCCGAAAACCAAACAACCAAUAUAUUACUUUGAAAAGUGUAUAAGAGUAUGAAGUUAUGUUUUAAUAGUAACUUUAAUGUUUAAAAAGUUCUCUCAAUAAGAGGAUUAUAAUAUACAUUAAACUCGAUACUCUGAUUAUUAGUGGAUAUAACUAUCAAAAUGCUUUCAAAACACAUUUUCCAUUUAAAUUAAAAUAUUAAUUAAUUUUCUAUAGAAAUAUCUUCAAUAAAUUGUUAGUGAAAAAAAAAUGUUUUAACAACAAUCACCUUAAAAUCCUUCAUGUGCUACAAAACAAAUUGAUUGGUUUAUUCAUCAUGAAAUUUCAUGGUAAUUAGGCUUUAGCGGAGAUGAUGGAGAAGGGGUCUAAAGCGAAAUGGGGAAAUUGGAUUGGAUCUAUGCUCCUCCCUUUUGCCAUUGCCUUAUAUGAUGACCCUUUAGACUAUGUUCGUCAAACUAAAGCCACAAUCGAUCGAAAGAAGCAUUCUCAUGAAGCUAUAUUUACAUGUUUCAUUAUUAAGACAGUUCUCAAAUUAUUUGGUGCUAAGGUAUGAAUUUCCUUAUCCUUAAUAUUGAAAUAGAUCACCUAGGAAAUUAUACAUUUUCAAGCUCCUCUUCUUCCAAAAAAAAUAAUAAUAAUAAAAUCUAACUUCUAUUUUUUGUUUUCUUUCCUUUCUACUUUCUUCUUGUGAUCUUACCUUGGAGAUCUUUUUUUUGGCAUGGCAAAUAGGUUGCAGCAUUUUUAUACCAUAGAGUUAUGAAUCACACGACAAUGUGCUUCUCAAAUGUGGUUGGACCUAUGGAAGAAAUCGGUUUUUAUGGCCAUCCAAUGGCUUUCCUUGCUCCAAGCGUUUACGGCCAACCACAAGUAAGUCUAUAUAUAUAUAUAUGUGUGUGUGUGUGUGUGUGUGUGGUUAUUUGAUUAAAUGGGUCAUUGAAAACUCAAAUAUGAAAAAAUGACCUUUGUGGUUUGAAAGCAUGAACCAUAAUCGAGAAAUUAUAUUUGUAUUCAUCAAUUUUUUAAUUACAUUUAUCAUAUUUAUACAUUCACUUUAAAAUACUAACCGUAUUAAUACAUCACCUACAAAUUUCCAAUAUUAUAAAAACACCCUUCCUAUUCUUCUCUUUUUUACACAUUCACUUUAAAAUACUAACCGUAUUAAUACAUUACCUACAAAUUUCCAAUAUCAUAAAAACACCGUUCCCAUUCUUCUCUUCUAUACCUAUCUUUUUUUUCUUUUUUUUUCUAUUAACUUUUUUUCUUCUCAAUAAUAAAUCCUAAGAGAAACUAUCUUUUAGGGCUUAUUCUUCAUGUAAAUUUUGAUUAAAAAAACAUUUUGUAAAAAUAGUUGAAAAACAAAUAGAAUUUUUUUUAUAAAUAAUUAGAAGUGAGAAAUCAUGAAAAAGUUCAAAAGAAAUAAUAUUAUGACUGACUUUUUAUUAUGUGUUUUGUUGUAGGGAUUGAUGAUUCAUUUCCAAAGUUACAUCAAUAAAAUGACAUUUAUUCUUUCAGUUGAUGAAGAAAUAAUUCCUGAUCCUAAUCGAUUAUGUGAUGAUCUUGAAGAGUCACUCAAGUUUAUCAAGGAUGUUGUUAUUGCAAGAGGUCUUGUCUAGAAAAAUUCCAUAAAAUAAGAAUGAUUAUUACAUGUUACAUCCAUAUAUGAACUAUGAAGAUUUGUGCUUUUAUGGUCAUUUGUGGUUUUAAUCGAGUGUGUUUUAUAAAUCUAAAGUGAAAUGUUUUAUUUUCGAAUAAAUUUUGAGCUUUAUAAUGUUAUAUAUAUGUCACAUGCACGUAUGCUUGGAAAUUUUUAUAUGAGAAUAAGACAUGUGGGUCAUGCCUUGUUUUGGGAAUGGGCCUAACUUGGGCCAGCCUUGGGCUUGAGCCUAAUUAGGUCUUAAGUUGGGCUAAUUAGUACGAUGAAGUCAAAAACUAGCAAAAUUUUGGGCUCCAUGAUAUCUCAAAAUUUAAAAUUGAUUAAAGCCAUUAAUAUCGGGCCACAUCAACGGCUAAAGUUGCAAGGCGACAACCGCCAUCACUUGGCAACUCCCAAGCCCUGUUGCUCUAAUGGCUAGAGAUAUUAAUCCGCCUGAACCCUAGAAAAAACUCAUAGAUAUAUAUAUAGAGAGAAAAUAUAUUAUACUUAAAAACAAAUUUAAAAUAAUGAUUUAUAUACUCAAAAACAGUUUAAUAUAAUGAUUUAUUUAGUUAAAUAUAUUUAAGGAUAUAAAAAAAUCAUGACACAGAUAUGAUUACUUUUUAAUUAUUUAAAAAUAUUUAAAAUAUUAUUUUCCAGUUUAUACUUUUCUUAUAUUUAAUAUUAAAAAUUUUAAUUUAAUUACAAAAUAGAUGAUGUAGUUUGAUAAAUUUAAAAAAAUAAUUAAAAUUUAUUUUUUUAUUAAGUUUAAUAUUUUAGAUUAUAAUAAAUCGAUUUUAUGUGCUUUUAUAAAUAUCAAUCAAGUUUAGCUUGGUAGUGAAGUGGCGUGAUAAAAGUUGUUUUCUCUUUAUUAAAUCCAACCUUUUUCUUUAAUAAUUUUAAAAACUUCAAUGUGUUGUAAAAUAAGGACAAAUAUAAUGCAAAUCAAAGUAGUAGAGAUAAAAUAUGUCUUACAUUGAUAUAUAAUAUGAAAGAAGGAAUCAAAGAAGAGAAUUGAGAAAGUGAAAGAAAGAGAGAGAGAGAAUGAGAAGAAGAACUUUUCUUUUUUUUCUUGGGAUGUCUAUUACAGGAAACGGGAAGCCCUUUUAUAGGUUUUUUAAAUGGCUUCCAUUAAUAUCCUCAUUAAUGAAUAUUAAUGAAACUCAUAAAUAACAUUAAUGGUUUCCAUUAAUGAGUAUUAAUGGAAGUCAUAAAUAAUACUUAAUUAACAUUAAUGUGGUGACAUUCAUUACUACAAUUAUAACACUUCCUCUUGGAUGUUCACCACAUUGAAAGAAUAUGCCUCAUUAAAACCUUGCUAGUAAAAAACCCUAUAGGAAAAACCUAGCGAAGGAAAAAGAGUACAAUAUUCUUUUCUUGGUAUAUUAGGAUUGCCUCAUUAAAAACCUUGUUAGUAAAACCCAGUAGGACAAAACCUGGACGAAGGAAAAAAUAGUACAGUACACUAACACCCUUUUACAAGCAUACUCCCCCUCAUGUCGAUAUCCUUGAGUUGACGCAUUCCAAUUCUGUAUAUUAACUUCUUGAAUGUUGAGGUUGGCAAUGAUUUUGUGAAUAAAUCUGUUAGAUUAUUACUUGAGCGUAUUUGUUGCACAUCAAUUUCACCACUUUUCUGGAGUUCAUGUGUAUAAAAGAAUUUUGGUGAAAUGUGUUUAGUUCUAUCUCCUUUAAUAUAACCCCCUGUUAUUUGUGCAAUGCAUGCAACAUUAUCUUCAAAUAAUAUUGUCGGGUCACCUUUGAUAGAGGAGAGUCCACAUGAUUCCCGAAUAUGCUGGAUCAUAGAUCUUAGCCAUAUACAUUCACGACUUGUUUCAUGAAUUGCCAGUAUUUCUGAAUAAUUUGAUGAUGUGACCACCAUUGUUUGUUUGACAGAUCUCCAUGAAAUAGCAGUACCAUUGCAAUUAAACACAUACCCUGUUUGUGACCUGCCUUUAUGUGGAUCUGAAAGAUAUCCUGCAUCUGCAUAUCCAAGCAAUUGUUGCUUUGAUUCCCUUGAGUAAAAUAAACUCAUAUCAAUAGUUCCACGAAGAUAACGCAAUAUAUGUUUGAUACCAUUCCAAUGUCUUCGAGUUGGAGCGGAACUGUAUCUUGCCAAUAAAUUAACAGAAAAAGCAAUGUCUGGACGUGUACAAUUGGCAAGAUACAUAAGUGCACCAAUAGCACUAAGAUAUGGUACUUCAGGACCAAGUAACUCUUCAUCUUUUUCGCAAUGACGAAAUGGGUCAUUUUUCACAUCAAGUGAUCGGACAACCAUUAGAGAACUUAAAGGAUGCGCUUUGUCCAUAUAAAAACGCUUCAAAACUUUCUUAAUGUAUGUUGAUUGAUGUACUAAAACUCCAUUUGGAAAAUGCUUGAUCUGUAAGCCAAGACAAAAUUUUGUUUUUCCAAGAUCUUUCAUCUCAAAUUCCUUUUUCAAGUAAUUUGUUGUUCUUGUGAGCUCUUCAGGAGUUCCAACAAGAUUUAAGUCAUCAACAUACAUUGCAAUAAUUGUAAAUCCGGUUUCUGAUUUCUUAAUGAAAAUGCAUGGGCAUAUAGGGUUAUUCACAUACCCUUCUUUUAGCAAGUAUUCGCUAAGGCAAUUGUACCACAUGCGUCCAGAUUGCUUUAAUCCAUACAAGGAUCGUUGUAACUUGAUUGAGUACAUGCUACGAGGCUUUGUGUUAUUUGCUUCAGGCAAUUUAAAUCCUUCAGGGAUUUUCAUGUAUAUAUCAUUAUCCAUGGAUCCGUAUAAAUAUGUUGUAAUAACAUCCAUGAGACGCAUAUCUAGUCCUUCUAAGACUGCCAAACUAAUUAAGAAACGAAAUGUGAUUGCGUCCAUGACGGGAGAAUAUGUUUCCUCGUAGUCAAUACCAGGUCUCUACGAGAAACCUUGUGCUACUAAUCGCGCUUUAUAUCUUAUGAUCUCAUUAUUUUCAUUGUGUUUUCGUACAAAUACCCAUUUGUACCCAACAGGCUUUACAUCUUCAAGUGUUUGGACUACAGGUCUAAAAACUUCUCGUUUUAUUAAUGAGUUUAAUUCUGCCUGUAGAACUUCUUUCCAUAUUAGCCAAUCAUUUCUAUGUCGACAUUCUUCCACAUUUCGUGGUUCGGGAUCUUCAUCAUUUCUUAUGAUAUCAGAGGCCACUUGGAAAGCAAAAAUAUUGUUAAUAACAAUAUUAUUUCGAUCCCAUUUUUCUCCCGUUUGUACAUAACCUACUGAGAUCUCACAAUUUUCAGGUACCUGUGCCUCUUCAGGGGCUUCUUGUUCAAUAUGUGCCUCUUCAGGGGCUUUCUGCAUUAUUUGUGCCUCUUCUAGGGCUAUAGAUUUAUCAAUUUUAAGCUUAUCAGUUAUUUUGAUUGUCUCUUCUAGAGUGCCAAGUUUUUCUUGGGUUCUCCUCUUCCAGGGAGUUACAUCAUUUGAGCCGACAGGUCUACCACGCUUUAGGUGUAUCUUAGAUUCAUUUGUUAACUGUCCUAUAGGGACAUCAAUCCGUGCUGGAAUAUUUACAGCCGGGAUAUGUGACUUUGUCAUUUUCUUUGUAUCAAUGAAUGCAUCUGGUAAUUGAUUUGCAAGAUUUUGCAAAUGAAUGAUCCUUUGAACUUCUAGUUCACAUUGAUUUGUACGAGGAUCAAGAUGAGUCAUAGUAAAUGUCUCCCAACUAAUUCUCGUCGUUCUUCAGGAAUCGACUUUUCUCCCCCUAAUGAUAGGAAAACACUUUCAUUAAAAUGACAAUCCACAAAGCGGGCUGUAAAAACAUCGCCUAUCAAAGGUUCAAGAUAUCUUAUGAUAGAUGAAGAAUCAAAACCUACAUAAACCCCAAGUCUUCGUUAGGGACCCAUUUUAGUGCGUUGUGUAGGUGCAAUUGGUACAUAUACUGCACAACCAAAGAUUCGUAAGUGAGAGAUAUUUGGUUGUUUUCCAAGCACAAGUUGUGAAGGGGAGUAUUCAUGGUAAGUUGUAGGUCGAAUACGGACUAAAGCUGCAGCAUGCAUAAUAGCAUGUCCCCAGGCGGAAGUAGGUAAUUUGGUUUUCAUUAGUAAUGGUCGAGCUAUUAAUUGGAGACGUUUGAUGAAGGAUUCUGCUAAACCAUUUUGGGUAUGAGUAUAAGCAACAGGAUGCUCAAUAUUUAUCCCUACUGACAUGCAAUAGUCAAUGAAUGUUUGAGAAGUAAAUUCGCCAGCAUUAUCAAGACGUAUUGUCUUAAUUGGAUAAUCUGGAAAUUGUGCUCGUAAUCUGAUUAUUUGUGCAAGGAGUCUAGCAAAGGCUACAUUACGUGUAGAAAGGAGACAAACAUAUGACCACCUAGUAGAAGCAUCUAUUAAGAUCAUAAAAUAACAGAAUGGUCCACAUGGUGGAUGGAUAGGCCCACAUAUGUCCCCAUGUAUUCUUUCUAAAAAGAUUGGUGACUCAGAUAUGACUUUAGUAAAAGAUGGUCUGAUUAUCAAUUUACCUUGUGAGCAGGCAGCACAUGAGUAUUCAUUGGGCAAAAGAAUCUUCUGGUUCUUUAGUGGAUGCCCAUGUGAGUGUUCGAUUAUUCGACGCAUCAUUGAAGACCCUGGGUGACCUAGCCUGUCAUGCCAAAGGACAAAAACUUUUGGGUCGUUGAACUUCUGGUUCACGACAACAUAUGAUUCAAUAGGCUUUAUAGUUGUAUGAUACAACCCAGAGGAGAAAGCCGGGAGUUUUUCCAUUAUAAGCUUCUGGCCAGAUAUAAUGGAAGUAAUGUAAAGAUAUUCUACAUUAUCUUCAUUCAUAGUUUCAAUAUGAUAUCCAUUUCUGCGGAUAUCUUUAAAACUGAGCAAAUUUCUUCUGGAUUUGCUAGAAUAUAACGCGUCAUUUAUAUGGAAUCUAGUUCCAUUUGGCAACGUUAUGUUUGCUCUUCCAGAACCUUCAACUAAGUUUGUAGUACCAGAUAUGGUACUUACAUUAGCUUUUAUUAAUGUCAAUUCAAGGAAAUAUCUUUUAUCUCGAAGAAUUGUGUGCGUGGUCGCACAGUCUGCGAGACAUACAUCAUCCUCAUUCAUCUUGAGACCAAAUAACACAUGGACUUCAAAUAUAACAAAAAAAACAAGACAUAAUGUAAAUAACAAAGUAAAUCAGAUGUAAAUAUAAGACAUAAUAAUAUAUUAUUUCAUAUAUAAAGUAACAUCAAUCAAUGUUAAUUUUCUCAUCAUUUAUCAAAUGGUCUGUUUUUUCAUUGAGACCUCCAAAGAAAUCAAUGUCAUAGUAGGUUAGGUUCAAUCCAUCACCAUCGGUAAAGUUCAUCUCUAUCUCUUUUCCUUUAGCUUUUAUUGAUGCUUGGUAAAGGUCGACCAAAUGUUUGGGCGUACGACAGGUACGCGACCAAUGCCCCUUCAUACCACAUCUAUAACAAUUAUUCUCAUGGUUCUUAGGAGGUUUAUCUUGUAAACGCUUCCCAUUUUCUUGUAUUGUCUCAGUAUUGUUCCACUUCUGGUGGUGCAAUGAGGCUUUCAUUUUCUGAGAAUUAUUACUAUAAGAACCAUGGUAUCGAGAAUUUCUUCCUCGUCCACGUCCACGAGUUUGGGACGAUAUUGCAUUCACUUCAAGGAAUGGUUCAGAUCCAGUUGGACGAGACUGGUGAUUUCUCAUCAAAAGCUCAUUAUUUUGUUCAGCAACAAGAAUACAUGAUAUUAAUUCAGAAUAUUUUGUAAAUCUACGCUCUCGAUAUUGCUGUUGCAGGAGCACAUUCGAGGCAUGAAACGUAGUAAAAAUUUUCUCUAACAUGUCUUCCUCUGUGAUUUUUUUUCUCCACACAGCUUUAAUUGAGAGCUGAUUUUGAAAAGUACAGAGUUGUAUUCACUAAUAGUUUUAAAAUCUUGCAACCUUAGGUGCAUCCAAUCAUAUCGAGCUUUUGGGAGAAUCACAGUUUUCUGGUGGUCAUAUCUUUCCUUCAAAUUAUUCCAUAGAGUAAAAGGGUCUUUUAUCGUAAGAUACUCAUUUUUUAAACCUUCAUGGAGGUGAUGGCGAAGGAAAAUCAAUGCUUUUACGCGAUCCUGCAGGGAUGCUUGAUUUCCUUGUUUAAUCGUAGCUCCAAGGUUCAUUGCAUCAAGAUGUAAUUCAGCAUCAAGGAUCCAAGAUAGAUAGUUCUUUCCCGAAAUGUCAAGUGCCACAAAUUCGAGUUUUGUGAUAUUCGACAUUAUCAAAUAACUUCAUAUAUAUGACAAACAAUAUUAUUAAAAUCAGUUAUAAUAACUUGAUAGCAUUGAUAUAACUACGAUUAUAAACAAAAUCAAAUAAUUUGUUUAUAACUUUUAACAAUAUGUAACAAAACAAAUUAACAAUAAUAUAAAUAUGUAAAAUUUUAUUCUAUAUAAAUAACUUCAAGUUUAAGAUACGAGAAUUACCUUCAGAGCAAUUCGUGUUGAUAACGUGUUGUAAAAUAAGGACAAAUAUAAUGCAAAUCAUAGUAGAGAUAAAAUAUAUCUUACUUUGAUAUAUAAUAUGAAAGAAGGAAUCAAAGAAGAGAAUUGAGAAAGUGAAAGAAAGAGAGAGAGAGAGAGAGAGAGAAUGAGAAGAAGAACUUUUCUUUCUUUUCUCGGGAUGUCUAUUACCAGAGACAGGAAGCCCUUUUAUAGGCUUUUUAAAUGGCUUCCAUUAAUAUCCUCAUUAAUGAAUAUUAAUAAAACUCAUAAAUAACAUUAAUGGUUUCCAUUAAUGAGUAUUAAUGGAAGUCAUAAAUAAUACUUAAUUAACAUUAAUGUGGUGACAUUCAUUACUACAAUUAUAACACAAUGUUUAUUUUUUAUUUUGUUUCUCUUGCAUUUAUUGCAGGCCAAACUUGUCACAAAAUACUUUGUCAAGUUCCUUUCUAAUCUCUCUCCCCUCUAGCAAUCUCCAAUGGACCCAGUCAUUCUCUCAAGCCUUCAAAAUCGACACAAGGACUAACAAAAUGUGUGGACAAUAACAUCACGAAUCAUGAAUAAUCAAUUGCAUGCCUUCCUGAUAUUAAAUAUUGAAUGUGAUGUUAGAAAAUUCUUAAAAUUACAAAUAAUAAAAUUGAAAAUUCAACAUCAUACCUUUAGCUAUGGUAAUCAAAUUCACAAUUUAUGGGAGUAAAUAAAAAAUAGAAGAAAAUUAGGGAUUCAUUGGAUAGUUCUUCCAAAACCUUAUGUCCAUGCACCAAUGGAAACUUAAUCAUAAACUUCUUAUUGUGAAUAGAGAUUUUUAUCCCUAUGAAGUUUUAACAUAUAAUAUAAUAUUUCUUGAUAUCUUCUUCCCAUAAAAAAAAAAAGAUAAAAUAAAUACUGAUGGGUAGUUACCAUUAAAAGAUGAGUCACAUGGUAGCUAGAUGUGUCUCACAUUUUAGGGAAAAUAAUGUCUCAAUGGAUUUAAUUUUAAAUGGAUCAUAAAAAUUGAAACAUUUAUUUUAUUUUAUUUAAAAUAAAAAAUGUUUCCAACAUGUCAGGCCGAUGCGCACACACGAGAUCCAUACUGUCACAAAUUCAUUUCCAAACUAGUUAUGAACCAUAACCUAAUUCAUUUCCAAACUAGUUAUGAACUAGAACCUAACUUCACCUGGCCUCCAUUUGCUGUGAUAUGUUGUCUUCAUGGUUAAUGUGUCAUCCCUAUGCUAAACAUUGAAAAAAGAUGUUAGGGGCAACUUACUUUAUCAAAUAUUUGAUUUAUGUACUAUCAUUUUGAUAGACAUUAAAAUUAAUUAUUUCUCAAAAAAAAAAAUUCAAUAGAAAAAAUCUCAAACCAAAGAAAAGUACUUAGCAUUAAACUCGAGAGAGUUGCACCACAUAUAUAUUUGUAGCUUAGGACCACGGGGUUCUCACAUCCAUCAAGUUUUCGUGCUUGAUUUGUGUAUUUGGCCGCCAAACAUACAGAAAUUGUAGCUCAAAAUCUACUGGUUUAAUUAAAGUGGCAGAUUUUAAAUUUUUAUUUAUUUCUUUGUGUAUGGACUUUUAAGGUUCAAAAUCAAGUGGGAAAGAGACAGCCCGCACCCUCAACUUUGCAUUGAGUUGGAUCUACUAAUUAAUUGGUAGCCAAUAAUCUUUUUUUUUCUUUCCUUCUGAUCAUACAUAUCCAUUUAGAAUUGAUAUUCAAGAGGAUGUCAAGACUCAGAUUUGUUUUUCUUUUCAGAUUUUCUUGGCUACCAAUCAUCAUAUCAAGAAUUUUACAUGAAAUAAAAAAUAAAAAAUAUCAAUAAUUUACUUUUUUUUAUCUGUAUUUCUAUCCCUUGAAUUGAAAGUGGAGCUAAGAAGAAAGAAAAUAUCCUAAACAACUAAAGUCCUUGAAAUUAAUCUCAAUUUGAUCUUAAAAAAAUAAAUAAGUGGAAGAAAACCAUAAACCUUAUUUCUGCAAGAUUCAAACCCAUCUAUAAUCCACAUAUUUCACCACUCCUAAUGUCCACACUCUUUAAACCACCUCACUUUUUAUACGAAAUGUUUGUUUAUAAAAGAAAAAACUCUAAAAUAAAAAAUAAAUAAUAAUAAUAAUAAAAAACAUGUUAAAAGGAAGAGAAACAUUUAUGUAGAAGAGUGGUUGUUGAUAUGACAAGUGAAAUGGUCAUUUUAAGGAAUAAUUAUAUGACUAGUGCGUGUAUUUAGAAAAAUUGUGGUCCUUUUCUCUAUAUUUUUUCAAAGUAAGAAUUGAAAACCCACUUUCCCUGUUAUUUAUACUUGUGUUUGUGGGUUGUUUUAAAAAUAAUUAUAAAGGUAAGGAGAAUGAUUGAUUAAAAAUAAAGCAUAAAAAAAAUUAUUUUUAAUAAAUAUUUAGAAACAUAAAAAAACAAGUUAAGAAUAUUCUAAACUCUCAAAUGAAGUUUUGUUCUAACAAUUUUUUAGAACAAGUUUCUAAAACAUUGUCAAAUAUAUCUUUAAUUUUCUAUUGAAAUGCCCAUGUUGCAAUUCAACUUGAUGACAUAAAGUAUAAUAAAUUUAGAAAUAUUUUUAAAGUAUCAUAUUUUAAAAAGAAUUUUUAAGAUAUGCUAUAGUCGUUUAUAUUAUAAUUUAUAUCUCAAAUUACUCAUAUUCAUGAAUGGUUUUUAUAUAGUUAUUUAAAAAGCAGUAUAACUUUAUUUCUUCUAACAAGGUGUAUUGCUAAUAUUGUAAUUAUAUACUUGAACAUAUUACUAUCUAAUAAAAUUUUAAAGGAUAUAACAUAUAAGGACUUGAAAGAAUAUUCUUGAAAAUUUAGCAUGUAUCUAAUUUUCAUGCCUAUCUAACCAAGAAUUUGAAAUGAAAAUGAAAUUCACUUUACAACUUUGAAUCAAAUCAUCCUCAAAUAAGAAAAGUUCCAUCACUAAUCUUUUGUGGAAAAACCUUCAAAUCCUUUCUUCUUUUUCUUCUUUUUAAUAAUUUAUAUGGUCUCUAUCAUUAAUCCUAAAUUCAAUUUGAAAUUCGAUUCUAGAAAUAAAUAGUAUGACUUCUUGUUCUAAACCCAGGUUGAUCCUAUAAAUAGGAGCACAACCAACAAUGGUGGAGGCACGCCAUCUUUCCAUUUCUAUUCGUCUGUUGUUUUUUCAUUCUGAAAGCAGCUAGCACCCUGGAAACCCAAUCAGGUUUGAAGGACGCACUUAAGCCUAUUAGAACUGCGCCCAAAGAAGGUGAUGAAAAGGGAAUGGUAGUUAAGCGUCAUGAUCAGGAAGAUCAUCAGCCAUUGAGUCCAAUGGCUCGUUUGUUUCAUGAACCUGACUGCGAUCUCUAUGUUAUCGGCAUGAUCGGCACGAAAACUCGCAUCGACCCUGAUGUGUUUAAAGCCAACCUGGUGCAUAGUCUCCUUAAACACCCUCGUUUCUCUAGUCUGCAUGUAGAAAUCUUGCAUGCCAGAAGGAAUGAACUUGCCAUUUAGUAAUUUAAAGCUACAUUGAACAUUUUUGAACUAAAAUGCAGCGGUAUUUCAAAAUCAGGUUAUGGAGGAGGAAAAGGGAGGAGAGACGAAAUGGGUUCCAACAAAAGUUGAUUUGGAAAACCACGUUAUAGUUCCAGACAUGUGUUCCGACAUGGAAACAUCAUCAGACAAGUACGUGGAAGACUACAUUUGCAACCUCACUAAAACAACCCUAGACUUUUCCAAGCCAUUAUGGGACCUUCAUCUCCUCAACGUGAAAACCUCCGACGCCGAGGCCGUCGCCGUUUUCAGGAUUCAUCACUCCCUCGGCGAUGGCACGUCUCUCAUGUCUCUUUUACUUGCCUGCACACGCAGAGCCUCAGAUCCCAUGGCUCUGCCUUCUGUUCCCAUGAUGAAGAAAUCAAAAUCAUCGGCUGGGUCUGGAAGGUGGUGGAAGGCUUUCAGACAGUACAGUCCCUGAUCCUCACCAGCUGUUUGAUGACCUUGAAGAGUCUUUCAACCUCAUCAAGAAUGCUGUGAUGGCUAGAGACUAAACUCCACAGAAUGUCAUGUAGCAAGGGCUAGGGUCAAUGUAAUUAAUAUAUAUAAUGUUCUGAAAUAAUUGUCUUAAGGUUCCUGCAAUAAUGAUGUUGUAUUAGAUGGCUCUCUACUAAGUAAAAAUGCCUCUCUACUGUAUUUUUAUCUUAAUUCAAGUUCAUAUUUUUUGGACUUUAUUUCAUUUUUAUUUACUGUAUUUUGAUGACUAAUUAUGGGUUCUUUCUAAUUUCAUCUUUUAAUUUUUUAUUCUCCUUUUUUUUUUUUUUUGAUUCCUCAGAUCUUUUGCAGUAUCUUAAUUUUAAGGCUUAAAUUCUACUUCAUUUCAUUAAUUUCUUCCAUAAUUUUUAAUUUUUAUUAUUAUUAAAUAAUUGUAAUAGCAUUAAUAUGAAGUUCUGGGCUGGCUUACAUAAGAACCCAUCUCCUAGUUUAUAUUGAUCCCUACCAUUUUAUUAAUGGAUAUAACUAUCAAAAUGCUUUCAAAACACAUUUGCCAUUUAAAUUAAAAUAUUAAUUAACUUUCUAUAGAAAUAUCUUCAAUAGAGUGUUAGUGACAAAAUGGUAUAAAAAAAAAAAAAAAAAGAAUGUUUUAACAACAAUCACCUUAAAAUCCUUCAUGUGCUACAAAACAAAUUGAUUGGUUUAAUAUUCAUCAUGAAAUUUCAUGUUAAUUAAGCUUUAGCUGAGAUGAUGGAGAAGGGGUCUAAAGUGAAAGGGGGAAAUUGGAUUGGAUCUAUGCUCCUCCUUUUUGCCAUUGUCUUAUACGAUGACCCUUUAAAUUAUAUUCGUCAAACUAAAGCCACAAUCGAUCGAAAGAAGCGUUACCAUGAAGCUAUAUUUACAUUUUUCAUUAUUAAGAUGGUUCUCAAAUUAUUUGGUGCUAAGGUAUGAAAUUCCUUAUCCAUAAUAUUGAAGAUCACCUAGGAAAUUAUUGAUUUUCAAACUCAUGUUCUUAAAUAAUAAUAAUAAUAAUAAUAAUAAAAUCUAAUAUCUAUUUUUUGUUUCUUUCCUUUCUAUUUUCUUCUUGUGAUCUUACCUAGGAUUUUUUAUUUUUUAUUUUUGCAUGGCAAAUAAGUUGCAGCAUUUUUAUACCAUAGAGUUAUAAAUCACACAACAAUGUGCUUCUCAAAUGUAGUUGGACCUAUGGAAUAAAUCGGUUUUUAUGGCCAUCCAAUGGCUUUCCUUGCUCCAAGCGUUUACGGCUAACCUCAUGUAAGUCUAUAUAUAUAUAGUUAUUUGAUUAAAUGGGUUAUUGAAAACUCAAAUUUGGACAAAUGACCUUCAUGGUUUGAAAGUAUGAACUAUGAUCGAGAAAUUAUAUUUGUAUUCAUCAAAUUUUUCUUUACAUUUAUCAUAUUUACACAUUCACUUUAAAAUACUAACUAUAUUAACACAUCACCUACAAAUUUCCAAUAUCAUAAAAACACUCUUCGCAUUCUUCUCUUCUAUACCUAUCUUCUUUUUUUUCUCUAUUAACUUUUUUCUUCUCAAUAAUAAAUCCUAAAAGAAACUAUCUUUUAGGGCUUAUUCUUCAUGUAAAUUUUGACUAAAAAAAUUUGUUCUAGAAACAAUUAGAAAAAAUUUAUAAAAAAUUAGAAAUGAGAAAUCAUGAAAAAGUGCAAAAGAAAUUAUAUUUGGACUGAUUUUUUACUCUGUGUUUUGUGGUAGGGAUUGAUGAUUGAUUUUCAAAGUUAUAUCAAUAAAAUGAUAUUUGUUCUUUCGGUUGAUGAAGAAAUAAUUCCCGAUCCUCACCAAUUAUGUGAUGAUCUUGAAGAGUCACUCAAGUUUAUGUUGACAUUGCAAGAGGGUUUGUCCAUAAAAAUUCCAUAAAAUAAGAAUGAUUAGUACAUGUUACAUCUGUGUGAACUAUGAAGAUCUGUGUGCUCUUAUGGUCAUUUGCAGUUUUAAUAGUAUGUGUUUUAUAAAUCUAAAGUGAAAUGUUUUAUUUUUGAAUAAAUUUUGAACUUUCUAAUGUUAUAUAUAUGUCACAUGCAUGUAUGCUUUGAAAUUUUUAUAUGAGAAUAAGACAUGUGGGUCAUGCCUUGUUCUGGGAAUGGGCCUAACUUGGGCCAGGCUUGGGCUUGAGCCUAACUGGGUCUUAAGUUGGGUUAAUUAGAACGAUGAAGUCAAAGAAUUGCAAAAUUUUGGGUUCCAUGAUAUCUCAAAAUUUCAAGAUAGUUUUUUCCUGAUUCUUACAAAAUUGGGUACAUAUCUACAUAGGUUGUUAGAGAUACUGUGAGGGAUUUGCACCACCUCAAACAAUAUUCUAACUAAAAAUGUCUCGUUCGGAUACACUUUUUCAUUUUUCUUUUUUAGAAACAAAAAGUUUUAAUAAUUUCUAUAUGAAAAUAGAAGUUCUUAUAUAAAAAAGGUAUAUGUUUACCCUGUGUCCUUAUAAUUUAUUUUAAAUAUUUUAAAAUUUUAGAUGAUAAUUUAAAAAAAAAAAAUAGUUUUUAAUUAGUUUUUAAAAGUCAUUGUUUUUUGGUGUAAGUCUCUAAGAUUUUUUAUAUUUAAAAGAAAUAAUAAAUGAUAAAAAUUAUGGUAUAUAUAUAGAGACAGAGAAGAGAAAAUAUAUUAUGCUUAACAUCCCAUUUAAAAUAAUGAUUUAUAUACUCAAAAACAGUUUAAUAUAAUGAUUUAUUUAGCUAAAUAUAUUUAAGAAUAUAAAAAAAUCAUGAUACAGAUAUGAGUACUUUUUAAUUAUUUAAAAAUUUUAUUUACAAGUUUAUACUUUUCUUAUAUUUAAUAUUAAAAUGUUAAUUUAAUUACAAAAAUGAUUAUGUAGUUUGAUAAAUUUAAAAAAAUAAUAAUAAUUUUUUUAUUAGUUUUAAUAUUUUAGAUUAUAAUAAAUUAAUUUUAUGUGCUUUUAUAAAUAUCAAUCAAGUUUAGCUUGGUGGUGAAGUGGCAUGAUAAAAGUUGUUUUCCUUUAUUUUUCAAAUUAUAAAGAAUAAAAUAAUAUAUACAUAUAUAUAUAUAUAUAUAAAUCACCCAACUUUAAAAUUUGAAAUUUCAUUAAAUCCAACCUUUUUCUUUAAUAAUUUUUUAAAACUUCCAUAUUUACCAUUCAUUUUCUUUCUCUUGCAUUUAUUGCGGACCAAACUUGUCAUAAAAUAAGUCAAAUUCGUUUUUGAUCUCUCUAUCCUCUAGCAAUCUCAAAUGGACCCAAGAUUGAGGUCAUUCUAUCAAGGCUUAAAAAUCAACACAAGGACCGACAAAAUGUGUGGACAUUAACAUCGGAAUCAUAAAUAAUCAACUACCUACCUUUCUUAUAUUAAAUAUUGAAUGUCAUAUUAGAAAAUUCUUAAAAUUGAAAAAAUAAAAGUAAAAAUUCAACAUCAUACCUCAGGCUAUGGCCAUCAAAUUCACAAUUUUUGAGAGUAAAUAAAAAACAGAAUAAAAUUAGGGUUUUAUUUGGCUAGUUCUUCUAAGAUCUUAUAUCUGAUGAAAACUUACAAACUUCUUAUAAACUAGAGACUCUUGUCUAUAUAAAGUUUAAUAUAAAUAUGAUAUUUUCUUAUAUUUUCUUUCCAUCAAAGUAAACAAAAUAAAUACCGAGUAAUAGUUACCACUAAAAGUGUGUCAUGACUAUAAAUGAUGGUUACAACACUAAGAGAUGUGUUUGUAUUUAGUGUCACAUAUUUUAAAGAAAAUAAUGUAUUUAAAUUUAAAUUUAAAUAGAACACAAAACUUAAAACAUUUAUUUAUUUUAUUUAAAAUAAAAAAUGUUUCCAACAUGUCACGCACAUGGGAUCCAUGUUGCCAUAAAUUCAUUUCCAAACUAGUUAUGAACCAUGAAUGACAAGUCCUAACUUCACUUCCACCUCCACUUGCUAUGAUACGUUGUCUUCAUGGUAAACAUGAUGACUUCGACGACUAAACAUUGAAAAAGGAUGUUUGUAGGGACCCCUCCCUCUGGGAAACACGUGUCACGCAUCUCAUAGUGACACGUGUUAUCAGCCGGACCAUCAUCAUCCGGAUUCCCCCUAAGGAUACGCAUGAUGCAGUUCUCCUAUCCGGACCGCCUCGAGGAAAGGCAAAUGACGUUUCAGCUUCUCCUAUCCAAGGAAGAGCAAACGUCGCUGGCAGAGCACAGACAUCCGGACAACCUUCAUAAUGCAUCCGCUCCACAAUACAUCCGGGUAAUCAGCAUGUGCCAUCCAGAUAUAAUCGUCCGGAUCAUCAAUUAAAGUAAAGCGAGUCUUACACGCUAUCACAACAAACGGCCAUGGCCCACAUCCUGCCACCUUCAGAGUGAGAAGACAAGAUGAAAUGACAGCAAGUCACCUCCCGCGAUCUCUGACAGCCGCAUCACCUACCAUGGUUUCUGACAGCCGCUCGUAGGGUGAUGAUGCUCCUACUAACGCCUAUUGUCAUCAUAAACAACAUAAAAUAUCUCCUCACCAUUAAUGAGAGGAACAGUACCCCUGAAGCUGUAUAUAUAUGCCUUCACACGAAGAAGGAAGGGAUCCCACUGGUAACCUCCUAAUACCUGGUAAAAGGCCAACUGAUUUAUAUCUCUCUCUCUGACCAUGGCUAACAAAACCAUCGGAGGGUGCGUCCGGACACCUUGUCCGGAUGCCUUCUUGCAGGUAUAACGACUGGAUCAAGAACCUUUAUGGGUUGAAAUCACGUGUCCAUCCAUUUGGCAACUACGUGGAUCGUCAGAGACGCGAGGUAUCAACAUUGGCACCGUCUGUGGGAACUUUUUACUUUGAUUCAGUCACUAAAAAAGAUGGUCACACCGUCCCGAAGCCAUUCAUCUGGUAGGGGAGGGGAUGAUAAUUUUGAAUGGCGCCUAGCCAUCGAAAGGAGACAGUUGGCAAGCGAAAGACAGCUGAAAGCUCUCCUCCAGGAGACAGAAAGAUUGAGAGAAGAAAACGCUGUGUUACGCAUCCAGGCUUCAACAUCAGGACCUCCUCGACGUCAGCGUUCGAGGGGCCAAGUAGCAGACUCAAGUCCUCAACAAGAACCAGAAUCAAUACAUCCUGGGACAACAGGAGCUAUCCCAGGAGCAUGCAACGUAAGACCUCAUGAGCCACGCACGCCUAUGCCUCGAGCUCCCCGUGAGGAAAGCUCAGACUCUACUCACUUUUCAGCGAAAAGACAACGUGAUAAAAAAUCUCAGUUGUCGAACUCAAUGCGCGCAAGACUAGGCCCACAAGAGCCUGGAAGAUCAAGGCCACCAAUGGCCAUAACCUGGGCACCACGCCCUGACCCUGUGACCACUCCCAUGGUGCAAAACGUUCACCCGCAUCGUGACCCCUUAGUCACCCCCGUGAUGCGGAAUGUUCAUUCGCACCCAGCGGAACAACCAACUGGGAGAAACAUCCCAAAUGGGCCACCCAUUGGCUCUAUUAGCAAAAGGUUGGAUGACAUGCUCUCCACGCCUUUCUGCUCUCAUAUCAUUAAUUACGAGCCCCCAAGGGGAUUCCUCGUACCAAAUUUUUCCACAUACGAUGGAACCAACGAUCCCUUUGAUCACAUCAUGCAUUAUCGACAGCUUAUGACGCUCGAUAUUGGCAACGAUGCACUGCUAUGCAAAGUAUUUCCCGCCAGCUUACAAGGACAGGCCCUCUCAUGGUUUCAUCGCCUACCUCCCAACUCCGUUGGCGAUUUCAGGGACCUGUCCGAAGCUUUCGUGGGGCAAUACUUGUGCUCCGCACGACACAAGCAAAAUAUCAGCACCCUGCAGAAUAUAAAAAUGCAAGAUAACGAAUCCUUGAGGGAAUUCAUGAAGCGAUUUGGCCCGGCCGUGCUUCAAGUAGAGGCUUGUAGUAUGGAUGCUGUCCUACAGAUUUUCAAGCGAAGCAUCUGUCCGGGCACUCCAUUUUUCGAAUCACUGGCCAAAAAACCCCCUACAACGAUGGAUGACUUAUUCAGGCGCGCCAACAAAUAUUCAAUGCUCGAAGAUGACGUACGCGCAGCCACCCAGCAAGUUUUGGUUGCCGGACGGCCAUCUAGAAAUAAUACGGAGGGAAAUAAUAAACCUCCGGAUCGGCCAAAGCCGUCUGACCGAAAGCAGGAAGGGUCAAGUCGCCCGGAAAUGCCGCCUCUCACACCUCUUUCCAUAUCAUAUGAGAAACUUCUCCCAAAGAUCCAGGGCUUGUCCGACUUCAGAUGGCCUAGACCCAUUGCAACGGACCCAUCCACAAGAGAUCGCAGUAAGAGAUGUGCCUUCCACAAGGAUCAUGGCCAUACAACAGAGACAUGUCGAUCUUUCCAGUUUCUGGUCGAAAGGCUCAUAAAAGCAGGGCAUUUGAAGCAAUACCUCCGAUCAGAUAAUGGAGGAAGGGACGCAUCCCAACAUCACAACCCCGGAGCCCCUAGGGCCCCAGCUGCCCCCAAGGCCGUUAUAAAUUAUAUUAACGGGGGUCCAUCUGACGAGGAGUACGAUUCUAGGCGAAAGAGGCAAAAAUUGUUGUGGGCCGCAUCAAUACGCGAGCGCAUCAAUUCCAUCCGGCCUGGGCUAACGGGAGGGGGCCCUCGCCCCAUAGAUGGGACAAUCAUUUUCCCACCGGUAGAUCCCACCCGGACACUGCAACCACAUCGCGACGCCCUCAUCUUGUCCCUGGAAAUUGGGGACUUCGAUGUGCGGCGUAUCUUGGUUGACCCAGGCAGUUCAGCCGAUCUUGUGCAAGCAUCAGUCGUUGGCCACAUGGGACACAGCCUCACAGGCCUCGAAAACCCUGGACGAAUCCUAUCCGGAUUCAACGGGUCUUCAACUACGUCCUUAGGAGACAUUGUACUGGCGGUCCAAGCAGGCCCAGUCACUCUCAACGUACAGUUUUCAGUAGUACAGGAGUUAUCACCCUUCAAUGUCAUUUUGGGGCGCACAUGGCUCCACUACAUGAAAGCUAUCCCCUCUACAUAUCAUCAAAUGGUGAGUUUUCUCACCAACCAUGGCCAAAUCGACCUAUAUGGCAGCCAAUUAGCCGCUCGCCAAUGCUAUCAGAUAGCGCGGGAAGCAGGGGUCAACCAGGAGGAUGCGUCUCCCCCUGAACCCAGCAUUGCACAUGACCAAUAGCAAUUAUUGGAUCCGGCGGACAAAGAUCCCCCGGCAGCAGAUCCCUUACAAACAAUCCAAAUUUCGGAGGAAAACACUCACCUCACGAACAUCAGUUCCCUCAUGACACAAGAGGAAACUCAGAGCAUGCAAAGUAUUCUCAGACGAAACCAUGACAUCUUCGCAUGGACACAUUCUGAUAUGAAGGGAAUCCAUCCCUCUAUUGCAUCUCACAGGCUUAACGUCUUUUCAACUGCCAGACCCGUCCGGCAGAAAAUUAGGCGUUUUCACCCAGAUAGACAAAAAGUCAUCCGGGAUGAGAUGGACAAAUUGCUCGAAGCCGGAUUCAUCAGAGAAGUUUCUUAUCCGGAGUGGUUGGAAAAUGUAGUGGUGGUACCCAAAAAAGAAGGAAAGUGGCGAGUUUGUGUAGACUAUACCAAUCUCAACAAUGCAUGUCCAAAAGACAGUUUUCCUUUGCCUCGAAUAGAUCAGAUUGUGGAUUCCACUUCCGAGCAAUGGAUGCUCUCUUUCUUGGAUGCCUUCUCCGGAUAUCAUCAAAUCCCCAUGUCCCCGGACGACGAAGAAAAAACAGCAUUCAUAACACCACACGGCCUCUAUUGCUACAAAGUCAUGCCGUUCGGACUCAAAAAUGCUGGUGCCACUUAUCAAAGAUUGAUGACUAAGAUCUUCGAACCUCUAAUAGGCCACACGGUAGAGAUAUAUAUUGAUGAUAUCGUGGUUAAAAGCAAAACCCGAAAGCAGCAUGUCCUUCACUUACAAGAAGUUUUUCACCUCUUACGAAAGUAUGGCAUGAAGCUAAAUCCUUCUAAAUGCACCUUUGGCGUAAGUGCUGGCAAAUUUCUGGGAUUUAUGGUCAGCCAAAGGGGCAUAGAAGUCAGCCCAGAUCAAGUCAAAGCAGUCAUGGAAACACCCCCUCCCAGGAACAAGAAGGAGCUACAACGCCUCACAGGCAAGCUCGUCGCACUAGGGCGUUUUAUAGCCCGCUUCACUGACGAACUGCGACCCUUCUUCUUGGCAAUACGAAAAGCUGGAGCACAUGGAUGGACGGACAGUUGCCAGAACGCUUUCGAAAAGAUUAAGUAUUGUCUUACGCAACCGCCCAUCUUGAGCAGCCCCGUUCCAAAUGAGAAAUUGUAUAUGUAUCUGGCGGUAUCAGAAUGGGCAAUCAGCGCCGUUCUAUUUCGCUGCCCCUCACCCAAGGAGCAGAAGCCUAUCUACUACGUCAGCAGGGCGUUAGUAGACGUAGAAAUCAGAUAUUCAAAAAUGGAGCUAACAGCCUUAGCCCUUCGAAGCGCUGCCCAGAAGCUCCGCCCGUAUUUCCAAGCUCAUCCAGUGAUCGUACUAACUGACCAGCCCCUUCGCAACAUUCUGCACAAGCCAGAUUUAACCGGGAGAAUGCUGCAAUGGGCCAUUGAACUAAGCGAAUUUGGAAUCGAAUUCCAACCCAGAUUGGCCAUGAAAGGCCAAGUAAUGGCUGACUUCGUGCUAGAAUAUUCCUGAAGGCUCAGCCAACAUGACGAAUCAAGUAAAAAAGAAUGGUGGACUCUGCGAGUUGACGGAGCCUCACGCUCAUCAGGCUCUGGAGUUGGGCUCUUACUACAGUCCCCAACUGGGGAACAUUUGGAGCAAGUCAUCCGGCUGGGAUUCCCUGCCUCUAAUAAUGAAGCAGAAUAUGAGGCUAUCCUGUCCGGAUUGGACCUCGCCCUUGCUCUAUCCAUCUCCAAACUCCGGAUCUUCAGCGACUCACAACUCGUGGUAAAACAUGUCCAGGAGGAAUAUGAGGCUAAGGACGCACGCAUGGCGCGAUACUUAGCUAAAGUAAGAAACACCUUGCAGCAAUUCACCGAAUGGACAAUCGAAAAAAUCAAGCGAGCUGACAAUAGGCGCGCUGACGCUUUGGCCGGUAUAGCUGCCUCCCUCCCUAUCAAAGAAGCCAUUCUAUUGCCCAUACAUGUGCAACCCAACCCCUCUGUUGCAGAAAUUUCUACUUGCAACACCAUUGAGGCAAAUCAAGCGGAUGAUCAAGAAUGGACGUAUCACAUCGCAGAAUAUCUCCGGACAGGCACUCUGCCCGGAGAUCCCAAACAAGCACACAAAAUCCGGGUACAAGCUGCCCGUUUCACCCUGAUUGGGGGGCACCUGUACAAGCGAUCCUUCAUAGGACCUUACCUUCGGUGCCUAGGGCAUUCAGAGGCCCAGUAUGUGGUAGCUGAGUUACAUGAGGGAAUAUGCGGAAAUCAUUCGGGAGGACGAUCUCUGGCACAUAGAGCUCAUUCGCAAGGAUACUAUUGGCCAACAAUGAAGAAAGACGCGGCAGCAUAUGUUAAAAAAUGUGAUAAAUGUCAACGGUAUGCUCUCAUUCCACAUACGCCAUCAGCAACAUUGAAAACAGUCUCAGGCCCAUGGCCCUUUGCGCAGUGGGGCAUGGACAUAGUGGGACCCCUCCCAGCAGCACCUGCCCAGAAGAAAUUUCUCCUUGUUGCCACUGAUUACUUUAGUAAAUGGGUAGAAGCUGAAGCAUAUGCAGGCAUCAAAGACAAAGAUGUCACCAAGUUCGUGUGGAAGAACAUUGUUUGCCGUUUUGGAAUCCCCCAAACCAUCAUAGCUGACAAUGGUCCACAAUUUGACAGUAUUGCAUUCAAGAAUUUCUGUUCGGAGCUGAACAUCCGGAAUUCAUACUCCACACCACGAUAUCCUCAAAGUAAUGGGCAAGUAGAAGCCACAAACAAGACCCUAAUCAAUGCCCUAAAGAAAAGGCUUGAGCAAGCUAAAGGGAAGUGGGUGGAGGAGCUACCCGGCGUCCUAUGGGCCUAUCGAACCACACCCGGACGACCAACAGGAAACACUCCUUUCGCCCUCACGUAUGGAAUGGAUGCAGUCAUUCCUACAGAAAUAGGUCUUCCUACUAUCCGGACUGACGCAGCAAAGCAAGAUGAUGCAAGCGCGGAAUUAGGGAGAAAUUUAGAUUGGGCAGAUGAAGUGAGGGAAAACGCGGCCAUUCGGAUGGCAGAUUAUCAACAAAGGGCAUCAGCACAUUACAAUCGCAAAGUGAGGCCAAGAAGCUUCAAAAAUGGUACACUAGUCCUUAGAAAAGUUUUUGAAAAUACUACUGAAGUGGGUGCAGGGAAAUUCCAAGCCAACUGGGAAGGACCCUAUAUAGUGUCUAAGGCAAAUGACAAUGGAGCCUGUCAUUUACAAAAAUUGGACGGAACUCCAUUACUUAGACCUUGGAAUGUGUCUAAUUUAAAGCAGUACUAUCAAUGAAAAAGCAGAGACAAGUGCAAAUGAAAAAGAACUAUUUUUAUUGAUAUGGAUAAAUGUAUGAACAAAGAGGUCUCCGGACCACAAAAAUACAAAAGGAAGAUUACAGCAGAAAAUUGCAAAAAGAGAUAAACUAUCAUGGAGCAGGCUUCUCAUAGAGCUUCUUUUCUUCACCCGGAGGAAUUGAAGGGACGUCCCGCUUGAUGUCGUUCUUCUUCAUGCAGCACCGAUACCCAAAGAUGAAUGUAUCAUCCACUUGUUUUUGGUAUUCUGCUUCAAGUUCCUCCCUCUCUACAGCAAACUCCCGUUCUAGCUCCUCUUUUUGUGCAACCAAGCGCAGCUGCAAAUCUUCCCUCUGUUUCUUUUCGAUAGAAACCUCUGUCCGGAGGUGCCUCACCUCCCCCUUCAGUCGGGCUAUCUCAUCCUCUGCCUCAUGCAAACGGGCAAUCAAUGAUUCCUCCCGGUCCUUAGCCUCAGCUAAUUCCACCCGAAGGACUUCAUUGUCCUCUCGAGCAGUGGAUAAGCUGGUUUCAGCCUCCGCCAGUCUCAGGCGCAACUGAUCUUCAACAUCUUUGCGCCGAGAGGCGAAGAUCUUCAUAUAAUCAGUGGUCCGCAGCAGGUCAGAAAAGAGAUCGUGUUGUUUGGCCAUGCCGCGGAGACCACUCACCAGCUGACACGUAAGCAAAGCAAAGUUAUAAAUCAUACCACAACAACACAUCAAAAUAGCAAAAGAAUCAAAAAAGCACGAAAAACAGUUUACCGUUUCCACCGUCUCGAACAUCUGGGCUGAGGGCAUGAUGUCAGGCGAGCCGGGUGGAAUUUGUUUCAGCUUAUCUUCCAACUCCGCAUAGCUAAAAGAGCUAUCGGAGGAGCAAGAUGCGUCAUUAACAGGUCCCCCCCCGGAUGAAGCAGCAGAAGGUGAUUUUUGUUCCGGAUAAGGGGCCUCAACAUUUACGGCCGGAUGGACCUCCCCGGGUGCAACCUCAGCCGGGACCACCAUCCAGACGACUGGAGUCUCAAUUACCAUCUCCACUUCGCCCCCCUCCAGAUGAGCGUCGUGGACAGAUGAGCAACUAACUUCAAUCUCUUGCUGCCGCUCUUGAAGCCGCCCGUGGAGUCCGGACCUCAGAUUGCGCACCGAGCGAGGCCUCUUUGAGGGUGGCCCCGUCACCAGAACAAGAGCCAGGCGGUCCGGAUCGUCAGAGGGCUGACUCUGACUUUCCGCCCCAGCUUCCUCCAUCGGGUCCGCGCAAACGGCUUCAACUGCAUCAACACCCGAAGUAGGGGAGUCCGGAUGGUUGAUGGACGCAGCUUCCUCAGCCAAAUUUGCCGGACGGGCAACCGCUGCCAAAGAGGUGCUUGAGUGAUUCAGCCCCGCGAUGUGUCCGGACCCGCUUGAGAUAGAAUGAGGAGCGGGGUUCACUGGCUCCUCUAUCAUUACCUCCGCCUCGUGAGUAAUGAGCGGAUGAGCAAAUUCCAUGGGAGGAGUGGGCUCCCUCACUCCCUUCCCAUUCUUCACCAGCUUCCUCCUUUUUGCUGGAGUUUUCUUUGGAGGAGAGUCUGCGUCGCGUUUCUGUCCGGGAGCCUUGCGAAGGGUUCCUUCGUUUUUCUUCUUCUCCCGAUUGACCAGAAGCGCUCGGCGUUUUUCAACGUCAGCCUCUUUUGACGCCUGGUAAAUCGGGAGAUCCUUCACAAUAUAAUGCUCCCCAGGCACUACCUCCUUUGGCAUCUUCCUGGGGAGAAUGUUGAUGACGUACUCUUGGGACUCCCGGACGACCGCCAUUAGGUUCCGCGCAAUCAGCAACGUCUUGCACUGCCUCUCCUUGGCGUCUAUCUCAAAAAGCUUGCUGAGACAGCCAAAAGACGCCUUUUCCACCCAAUCCACGAGGUGGCCCCUUUUUUCCGCACCUGCAUUAACAGCAACAGAGGUUGAGAAUACCAUCCGGAGAGAUCAACAAGAAAACAACAAGGUAAAAAUCAGGACAGAAGUCGCAAAGCAAACUUACCCGGAAUCUUGAAGGAAUAGUUUGGAGAAAAGGGCCUCGCCGGAUGCCUCGACCCCGCCCACGUACCCCGGACCAUCACCCGUCCCUUUGCCCCUCCCUUCGUCGAGUCGGGCAGUUCCGUCACCAAUUGAAGGGAAGGCAGGUGCGCGGACAGGCUGAAGAUGUCAGCUUUCGCCUUCUUCAGUGAGUAGACGAAGAACACCUCCAGCAUUGUAAGGUCGAGGUUGUACAGCAUGUUGAUGAUGCUGCAUCCCAUCAGCACCCGGAUAAUAUUGGGAUGAAUGAAGACGGGUGGAAUCUUAGUGAAAUGGAGAAACUCCAUGAGCAACGCUAGCAGGGGGAACCGGAGCCCUGCAUUGAAUUGUUCCUUGCAGAAGACGAUAGCACCUUGUUCGGCUUUCUCAGUAGGCACCACGUCCUCCCCAUGAAGAAAUUCAACAAUUACGCCAUUUGGAAUGCAGAAUCGAUCUCGAAACUCCUUCAUGCUCAACUUGUCUAUGGACUUUUCAUAAGCGUCGCCAACUCGCGCAGAUGAAGCACCUUUCUUCUUUGAAGACAUUUUUCAGGCCAAAAUUGAACCAAAACCUACAUACGAGAAAUGCAACAGUCAAACACAGCCAAAACAACCCCACAAACCCUACACAAUAACAACACUCAGAAAACCUCGCACCACCAGUAUACCCAUUCCAAAAUCCUUGACUUUACCCCAACAAAAAACCCCCCAGAGCACCAACAAAUGCCAACAUUCAAACAAACAGUCGUAAGCAACUUACCCAAACAAAACCCAAACAAAUCAGAAACCAAGAUCAAAGAACCAACAAACGCAACAAAAGGAACAACAAUAGCAAAAGUCUACGUACCAAAUGAAGCCCUGAAGGAGAAAGGUUGUUGUCUCGAUACAAAAUUACCAGCAGCAAACGAAUGUCGCGACACAAAAUCACCGGUACAAAAGAGCUUUCGAGUUUCUUUACUCAGAGAAGCAAAGGACACAAUAGAAGUAGGAAGAAGAAAGGCUCUCAAGGGAAUACAGUAGAAAAAAUGCAAAAAGAAGGUACAGUGCGCUAUUUAUAGGAGGACAGGCCCUCGGAAAGCCAAACGUCCAAACAAAUGCCAUCAUUGAAAUGACAUAUUGCCUGGGGAUACACAGGGUCGGCGGCUCAUCAUAAAAGCCUUUUUUGGCUUCCGCACCCCCACUCGCCACGUGGCCCAGUCAAACGAAGAGACCUCUUCAGUUUUCAAAAAGGCCAGUUAUUUUUUAACCCGCCCAUUUUUUGGCAAAAUAGGCAAGUUAAAAAGGGGGGCAAUGUAGGGACCCCUCCCUCUGGGAAACACGUGGCACGCAUCUCACAGUGACACGUGUUAUCAGCCGGACCAUCAUCAUCCGGAUUCCCCCUAAGGAUACGCAUGAUGCAGUUCUCCUAUCCGGACCGCCUCGAGGAAAGGCAAAUGACGUUUCAGCUUCUCCUAUCCAAGGAAGAGCAAACGUCGCUGGCAGAGCACAGACAUCCGGACAACCUUCAUAAUGCAUCCGCUCCACAAUACAUUCGGGUAAUCAGCAUGUGCCAUCCGGAUAUAAUCGUCCGGAUCAUCAAUUAAAGUAAAGCGAGUCUUACACGCUAUCACAACAAACGGCCAUGGCCCACAUCCUGCCACCUUCAGAGUGAGAAGACAAGAUGAAAUGACAGCAAGUCACCUCCCGCGAUCUCUGACAGCCGCAUCACCUACCAUGGUUUCUGACAGCCGCUCGUAGGGUGAUGAUGCUCCUACUAACGCCUAUUGUCAUCAUAAACAACAUAAAAUAUCUCCUCACCAUUAAUGAGAGGAACAGUACCCCUGAAGCUGUAUAUAUAUGCCUUCACACGAAGAAGGAAGGGAUCCCCCUGGUAACCUCCUAAUACCUGGUAAAAGGUCAACUGAUUUAUAUCUCUCUCUCUGACCAUGGCUAACAAAACCAUCGGAGGGUGCGUCCGGACACCCUGUCCGGAUGCCUUCUUGCAGGUAUAACGACUGGAUCAAGAACCUUUAUGGGUUGAAAUCACGUAUCCAUCCAUCUGGCAACUACGUGGAUCGUCAGAGACGCGAGGUAUCAACAAUGUUCACGUUGUGUCUUAAGGGCAUCUUGCUUUAUCAAAUAUUUAAUUUAUGUACUAUCAUUUUGAUAGACAUUAAAAUUAAUUAUUUCAAAAAAAAAAAAUCGGUAGAAAAUUUCCCAAACCAUAAUGCUCGAGAGAGUUACACCACAUAUUUGUAGCUUAGGACCACGGGGUCUCACAAGUCAUAUCCAUAAAGUUUUUGUACUUGAUUUGUCUAUUUGGCCACCAAACAUACAGAAAUUGUAGCUCAUAUUUACUAGUUUAAUUAAAGUGGCAUUUAUUUUUUAUUUUUGUCAUGGACUAUGUACUAGGAAUCGAUGCUGGAUUCCUACUGCAUCAUUUCUUAAGUAUGAUACUUGGGUCAUGGACAACAACUUUGUUUUAGAGUUCUAAUGAGUUAGAAGCCCAUUUAACAAGUCGGAUUAAUUUCCCAUACGAUUUAUAAGUAAUCUAUUACUUGAAAAUUAUCGACUUAUUUUGUUCUUGAGUAAUUACUCAAGGGUGCAUUAAGUGGUAGAUUUAACAUUACGCUUAGAGAGAAAAUAUGUUGAUGGCUUCUAUAUAGGAUGAGAACAAAACAAGUUUGGGAUGAGUCAUCCCAUCUCAACUUGGUUUUAAUCAUUUAAAUUUAUUCUUGUCCUCCUCCCUAAAAAUAAAUUUAAUAAAGCACCUUAAGGCCAUUUACCCUUUUUCAAUUUUGUAAUUUUAAUUACAUUAAAAUAAAUAUAAUUCAUAACUAAAUAGUAUAAUUUUUACAAUUUAUAUGAAUUUUUUGUUUUAAUUAUGAUAAAAAGAGGGAAAAUAAAAAAAAAUAUUAAUAGUUUUUAUUUAGUUAUAUAUAUAUAUAUAUAUAUAUAUAAACUAGGUGUAACGAGACAAUACAAUAUCUAAACCCAUACAAAAGCCCCUACCCAAUGACAUUUAUCUUUAUCUCAAAUCGAUUCUAUUAAGAGUGGAUACCUGAAAUAAAACCCGCUUCAUUGACAUCCAUAACACAAAUAUAUAUAUAUAUAAACAAAGUGGAGCGAGGUGAAACAAUGCAAUAUCAUCCGAACCCACACCAAAUGGAGUUUUAAAGAAAAAUCUCAAAACUUCUACCUAAGGCAUUUAUCUUUAUCUCGAAUUGAUCUUAUUAGGGAUGGAUGCCUGAAAUAAAACAUGUCUCAUUGACAUCAAUAUUUCCACUAUAAUGUAUCUCUUUGGAUGUUUUAAAAUAAAAUAAAAGACAAAAAAUUGGAAAAGUAAAUUAAGAGAAAAAUUAAAAUAAAUAUCAAAAAAAUAAACUAGUAAAAAAAUAAAAAAUAAACCGAAAAAGAAGUUGGAAAAAAAUUUUAAAACAAAAGAUAAAACUCUUUGCAACUCCUUAAUGCAAUUUUAUGUUUUAUGUAUAUAGACCAAUUUGUUUUAUAAUUUUAUACUAACUUGAAAGGGACUACUCUAAAAGGAAGGACACUCGAUUAAAGUCAAUACAUCCCACCGAGACAGAAAUCAAAAUGGAGUCGCAUUCACUCAAUCAAAGACAAUUUAAUUCGAUCCAUUUAACCAUGGUCGUGAGAAAGUCAUAGAUAUACUCCUAAAAAAUAAGUGGAUACUAACUCCUCAUGUCCACAUCUAUCUAGUUGUAAUUAAGUUAAGGUAACUCAUUGAAAAAAUAAAUAAACUUAGGAGUGUUUGAUAUAGGGGGAAUAAGGAAUGAAAAUGAAUAUUUUAUUUCUAUUUCUAUUUUUUGGUAAAUGAAAAUAAAUUUAGUGAUUGCAUUUUUAGAGUUUGUAUGAAUUUAGGAAUUCAAUAUUUAAAUUAUUAUUUGUUUCCAUUCUAAUGAAAAUUAAAAAAAAAAAUUAACAAUAAUACCCUUAUAUAGUUUAAAAUAAAAUAAAAAAUUCAUUUUUUUAAAAUAAAUUUUGAGAGUUCUUUUUUCUUAAUAAUAAAACUAAAAAAAAAAAGUCUUAUUAUGGGAUAAAGAAAUAUCAUAACUUGAUGAAUGAAAUGGAAGGAUAAAAUAGUAAUAUUACUUUUUAUCUAUGUACUUUCUCUCCCUUUAGAUUGAAAAUAAAACCAAAAACAAAGAAAAUGUCUCAAACAACUAAAGUCCUUAAAAUUAACCUUAUCUUAAUCUACAAAAAAAAUUCCUAGAAGUCCUAAUAUGAUGAACCAAAAUUAUAAACCUUAUUUCCUGUCAAAUCCAAACUCAUCUAUAAUCCAUGAACUUCACCAUUUCUAAAGCCUACACUCUUUAAACCACCUCACUUUUUCGAGGUUUGUUUAUAGGCAAAAAAAAUAAAAAAAUGUCUCAACUUUUCCUACAAGAUGUUUGUCUUUGGAGGAAAAAAAACUCUCAAAUAAUAAUAAUAAUAAUAAUAAUAAUAAUAAAGGUGUUAAAAGGAAAAGAAACAUUUACCUAGGGGAAUCAUAUCAAUUGGUGUUAUUAACAUAACAAGUGAAAUGAUCAUUUUGGGAAUAAUUAUAUGACUCACAAAACAAUACAUAUAUUUAAAAAAUUUGUUGUUCUUUUCUCCAUAUUUUUUCAAAUUAGUAAUUAAAGACCCAUUUUUCCCAUUAUUUAUUCUUGUCUUUGUGGAUUGUUUUAAAAAUAAUUAUAAAAAUAAGGAGAAUGAUUGAUUAAAAAUAAAGCAUUAGAAAUAAAAUUUAUUUUUAAUAAAUAUUUGGAAACAUAAAAAACAAGUUGAGAAUAUUCUAAACUCCCAAACAUAUUUUUGUUCUAGAAAAAAAAAAUCAUAAAACUAUUUUAAAAAUUGUCCCUAUAAACCAGUUUUUUAGAACAAGUUUCUAAAACAUUACUAAAUAUAUCCUUAAUUUUCCUAUUGAAAUGCCCACGUCCCAACUCAACUCUGUGACAUAAAGUAUAAUAAAUUUAGAAAUAUAUUUUAAAGUAUUAUAUUUUAAGAAGCAUUUUUAAGAUUUGCUAUAUUUGUUUGUACUAUAAUUUAUAUCUCAAAUUACUCACAUAUUCUUGAAUGGUUUCCAUAUAUUUAUUUAGAAAGCAUUAUAACUUUAGUUCUUUUAACAAUGUGUAUUGCUAAUAUUGUAAUCAUAUACUUGAAGAUAUUAUUAUCUAAUAAAAUUUUAAAGGAUAUAAUAUAUAUAAGGACUUGAAAGAAUAUUCUUGAGAAGUUUGCAUGUAUCUAAUUUGAAAUGAAAAUGAAACUCACUUUACAAUUGAUGACUCAUCCUCAAAUGAGAAAAGUUAAUUCCGGGAAUUGAUGACUCAUUACCCAUUCCCUUCAUUUCAUUAUAUUAAUCAACAAACCCUACGUAAACCAAUUCAUGCCCUUAUGUGGUUUUGGGCAUUUUUUAUAAUUAAAACGUGGCAUGAAAGUUUGGUAUGGUGGUUGGGGGUUAUCAUAAAUUUGAAAGGGAUGCCCAGGUUCCGUCCAAAACUUAGACGACUUGUUCAAUGACCGUCCACAUAUAACUCAAAAAUUCCAUCACUAAUCUUUUGUGGCAAAACCCUCAAAUCCUUUCUUUUUUUUAAUAAAUUUAUAUGGCCUCCAUCAUUAAUCCAAAAUUCAAUUUGAAAUUUGAUUCUAGAAAAAAGUAAUAUGACUUCUCGUCCUUAAUCCUAAAUUCAAUGUGAAAUUCGAUUCUGGAAAAAGGCAAUAUGACUUCUAGUCCUAAACUCAGGUUGAUCCUAUAAAUAGGAGCACAGCCAACGAUGGUGGAGGCACGCCAUCUUUCGAUUUCUCUUCUUCUGUUGUUUUUCAUUUUGAAAUCAGCUAGCACCAUGGAAACCCUAGAAGGUUUGAAGCACGCACUUAAGCCUAUUAGAAUUGUGCCUAAAGAAGGUGAUGAAAAGGGAAUGGUGGUUAAGCGUCAUGAUCAGGAAGAUCAUCAGCCAUUGAGUCCAAUGGCUCGUUUGUUUCAUGAACCUGACUGCAAUCUCUAUGUUAUCGCCAUGAUAGGCUCGAAAACUCGCAUCGACCCUGACGUGGUUAAAGCCAACCUGGUGCAUAGUCUCCUUAAACACCCUCGUUUCUUUAGUCUGCAGGUAAGGAAUGAACUUUCCAUUUAGUAAUUUAAAGCUACAUUGAACAUUUUUGAACUAAAAUGCAGCGGUAUUAUUCCAAAAGGCAUUGUGAAAUUUUUCAGUAUUAUUAAUCUAUUUCCAUUGUUUGCUAACCAUUAAAUCAUCUUCAAAAUCAGGUUAUGGAGGAGGAAAAGGGAGGAGAGAUGAAAUGGGUUCCGACAAAAGUUGAUUUGGAAAAGCACGUUAUAGUUCCAGACAUGUGUUCCGACAUGGAAACAUCAUCAGAUAAGUACGUGGAAGACUACAUUUGCAACCUCACUAAAACAACCCUAGACUUUUCCAAGCCAUUAUGGGACCUUCAUCUCCUCAACGUCAAAACCUCCGACGCCGAGGCCGUCGCCGUUUUCAGGAUUCACCACUCCCUCGGCGAUGGCACGUCUCUCAUGUCUCUUUUACUUGCAUGCACACGCAAAGCCUCGGAUCCCACGGCUCUGCCUUCGGUUCCCAUGAUGAAGAAACCAAAAUCAUCGGCUGGGUCUGGAAAGUGGUGGAAGGCUUUCAGACUGGUUUGGAAUACGAUCAUCGAUGUUUUGAUGGUGAUCGCCACAGUGUUGUUCUUGAAGGACAGAGACACGCCUCUUAGGGGUCCGCCCAAUGUUGGAUCCACAGGACGGAGAAUUAUUCACAGGACGAUUAGUCUGGAGGAUGUUGUGAUGAUAAAAAAUGCAAUGAGCACUGUAAGUCAACUUGUUGCAUGCAUGGAAAACAAAUACAUGUUUUGCAACUGUUUUAAAAAAAAAAAACAAUUUUCUGUUUUUCAAAUAAAAUAAAUAGAAAAACAGUUUAGAUAAUAAUAAAAAAAAUAGAAAAUGAGGUAUUUUCAAGAAACAACUUUUAAUUAUUUUUAUUUUCAUUUGUUUUUGUGAUAAUUGUUUUCAAAAAUAAUUAUAUAAAUAUAAAUAAUGAUUAAAAAUUAAAAGCACAAGUUAUUUUCAAAAAUAUAUUUUAAAAUAUAGAAAUUAAGAAUAUUCUAGAUUCAUUCCCGAAUAAAAAUUAUUUUCCAUAAAUGUUUAUGAAAAACACUUAUCAAACAAAGCUAUGAUUUUUUCUUUUUUGGACUAUGCCCCAUAAUUUUUUUAUUUUUUAAAGCAAAGAAAUACAAAGCUUUUUUACUUUACGAUCACUUCAAUGAAAGAGUGGGUAAUCAUAUAUUUGAAGAAGUUUAUAACUCCUCUCUCAAUCAUUAGUGGAGAGAUUAAGAACUAAAAUUUUUCUAGCUCUCAUGUGCAGACUGUUAAUGAUGUUAUGGUGGGAAUCACACAGGCUGGUUUGUCUCGGUACCUCAAUAGGCGAUAUGGUGAGCUCCUAUUUUAAUUUUCAAAAUUCAUAUAUUAAGUGGUGAAGAGUAAUUAUAAUACACCACCUAGCUACUCUCUCUAUGUAUAAAAGGAUGUUAUAAAGCUUGUAUGCUCACAUGGUAGCUGAAGGCAAGAAGAAUAAAGGGGCAACGUACAGAAAAGAAAAAUAAUCUUCCCAAGAACCUUUCUAUCAGAGCAACUCACUUCAUUAACAUAAGACCAUCUGCAGGGAUCCAUGUGGGUGUUUCUACUUUCUUUAUCAACCCCUCGUGAAGGAAUUAGUUAAUUUCUCUUUGGGAAGUGUUUUCAAAAAAUGAAACACAGUUUUUGAAAACGGUUAUUUGAUAUUUUAUAAAAUAAAAGUUUGUUUAAAAAUCUGAAAUUAAUGUUAUUUACGUUUUCUAUAUUUUUAAAUAUGUUUUAUUAUUAAUCGAUCUCCAUAUUUUUAUAAUUAUUUAUUAAAUAGUUCUUAAAAAAUAUUUUUUGAAAACACUUCAUUUUUAAAUAAUUGUUUUAUUUAAAUUUGUUUUCAAAAUUUAAAAAUUAUUUUAAAAUCAAUUAUCAAACAAGUCUUUAAUUUCUUGUCUCAUGCAUGUAUACAUUCAUAUCGUACAGACCUUAGCUGAAAUGAUGGAGAAAGGCUCUGAAGCGAAAUGGGGCAACUGGAUUGGCUGUCCUUCUUCCUUUAUCCAUUGCAUUACGUGACAAUCCUUUAGAUUACAUUCAAAAAGCUAAGGAAGCUAUGGAUAGAAAAAAAGCCUCUCUUGAAGCUCUCUACAUACAUUCCAUGGCUAAGUCAAUUCCCAACUUAUUUGGCACUAAGGUAUGAAUUAAUAUCACUCAACCCUACCUUGUUUCCUCAAAAUUAAGUACUUCUAGCUUAAUUAAUAUCACUGUCUAAUAAACAAUUAAAAGUGGUAUAUAUAGACUCACUUCUUUCAUUGGUAAACAGACCGGAAGUGUUCUAUGCCUCAAAGUCCCCUCUCGUACGGCAAUAUGGUUCUCAAAUGUAGUUGGACCCCAAGAAGAAAUUGCCUUCUUUGGCCAUCCAAUAGCCUACAUUGCUCCAAGUUGUUUUGGUCAACCCAAUGUAAGUCUUCUUAAACUUUAUUUGACAAUGUUUUAAAAAAUGCUUUAGCCUAUAAAAUGUUUUACAAAAAAAAAUUAAAAUUUAGAAAUCACUUUCAAAAAGUUAAAAAGUCACUUAUAGAUAUUUUCGAAGAAAUAUUUGAUAGAUAAUUCUCUUAAUACUUUUUUUAAAAAUUAAUUAAUGUUUCAUGUAAAACACUCUCAAGAAAAACACUUCAAAGUACAUUUUUAGAUUGUGUUUGAUAAUAUUUUUACUCAGAAUGUUUUUAAUGAAAACAUAUUCUCUAAAAGUAUUUUAAGAUAAUUAUCUAUCAAAUAUUUCUCCAAAAGAUACUAUAAGUGAUUUUUUAAUACUAUAAAUAAUUUUUCAUAUUUUUAAAAGUGUUUCCCAAAUUUAAUCAAAUACUUAAAGACAAAAAUGCUUCUUAAAAUCAUUGUCUAACUCUUAUUCAUGAAACAUAAACUUUUCUAUUUCUUAUAAAUUAUUAGCCAUUUUUAGUACAGUAAAAAUGGUGGUUGAUUCAAUCUGAAUUUGAGUCUCUUGAAUAUCUAUUGCAGGCAUUGAUGAUUCAUGUGGUGAGCUAUGCGGAUAAAAUGAAUAUCAUUCUAUCAGUUGAUGAAAGUACAGUCCCUGAUCCUCACCAACUGUUUGAUGAGCUUGAAGAGUCUUUCAACCUCAUCAAGAAUGCUGUGAUGGCUAGAGACUAAACUCCACAGAAUGUCACAUGGCAAGGGCCAGGGUUAAUGUAAUUAAUAUUUAUAAUGUUCUGAAAUAAUUUUCUUAGGGUUCCUGCAAUAAUGAUGUUGUAUUAGAUGACUAAUUAUUUAUAAUGUACUAAAUAAAAAAUGCCUCUCUACUAUAUCUUUAUCUUAAUCCAAGUUCAUAUUUUUUGGACUUUAUUUCAUUUUUAAUUACUGUAUUUUGAUGACUAAUUAUGGGUUCUUUCUAAUUUCAUCUUUUAAUUUUUUAUUCUUUUUUUUAUUUUUUUUUUAUUCCUCAUAUCUUUUGCAGUAUCCAUUUUUAAUUUUAGGGCUUGAAUUUCUACUUCAUUUCAUUAAUUUCUUCCAUAAUUUUUAAUUUUUAUUAUUAUUAAAUAAUUGUAAUACUAUUAAAUAUGAAGUUCUUGGCUGGCUUACAUAAGAACCCAUCUCCUGGUUUAUAUUGAUCCCUACCAUUUUUGACUUUGAAGAGGGUCCACUUUUUACAUCUAAUAACAAAGCGUGGGUCCACAAGAGUGGGACUACAGACAGCAAGGAGGCCAUUGUCAAUCAUUCUCCAAUCUUGAGAAAAUGAGAAACACAUGUUUAAGGUGGGCUGCCACUUCAAAAAACAACAUUAUCUAAUUAAUGAUCCAUGCAUGCAUGGAUGGGACCCAUUUAAAAACAACAAAGAAAAUAAAAAUAAAAACAAAAAGAAAAUGAGAAACCUUGUUGAUGACAUAAUUUUAAAAGGACGCGUAAAAGUCUCUUACAAUUUGAGUGCAAAGUAUAACCCAAGGGACUUAAAAUCCUUUUUAAUUCUCCUAUUAAUAAAUCUUCUUAUCUUUUUAAAUAAAAUUGAAUAAAACUUUGAUUGUUUAACAUCCACUAUAUUCUAAGAAAUUUUAAAAAACUUAAAAGCUAAAAAUAUAAAAAUAAAGUAUUCACUUUCACUUUGCUCAUGAAAAAUAUAAAUAUCAAGAGAAAUACAAUAGGAUCAAUAUUUAUAAAAAAAAUUAAGUUUUUUUUGUUUUCAUUGUAUUGAAUUUUUAAGUAUUUUAAUUUUUAAAAUUUCUUAUUUUAUUAUUAUUCAAUAUUCCUAAGAAUGAUUGUUUUUAAAGAAAAAAAAAUUCUAAAAUAAAAUUUUUUUAAAAAGAAAACUAAAAGGGACACAAUUCUUUACAAUUAAGCAUCUACGUAUUUAUUUAUUUAUUAAAUUUACAAACAUAACAAGUAAAAUAGUCAUUUCGGAAAUAAUUAUAUAACUUAUGAAAAAGUGCAUAUAUUUUGAAAUAUUUUUAAAUGAAUAAAAAUGAAAUUGAUUUAUAAAAAUUAAAUUUUUUUUAUAUCUUUUUAAAUUAGCGAGUCCUAACCCACUUUUUCCUUUUUGAAAUGCCCAAUUACAAGGAAUGUCGGAUUGGUUUUAUCCUAACUUCUUAUCCUUCAAUAUAUAUGUUUAGUACUAUGUGAAAGCAAGAGAAAAUUAAGAUUGAUUUGCACAACUAUUUUUAUGUGAAAUUACUUUUUAAAUAUGUAAAAUUUAUGUUGAUGCCAUAAUUUAUGUGGGGAUUUUUUGUUUUAUUAUGAGCUUUUGAUUUAUUAUAGUGAUGCAUGGUGUUCAAUCGUCAAAUGAUUUAUUAGGAAAAGAGGGUUUUAGUCAUGCAAAGAAAAAUGAACAUGACUAUAUAUAAAACCCGACGAUGUAUAUAAUUAAUCCUAGGAAGAAGAGAGAUCGUGACUAAAAGUGCUUUCUUGUUAUGAUUUUGCCUAAGUGUGAGUAGACCGAUUGGUGUAUAGAAAAUAACCUUCGUAGUCAGACAAGGAGCCAAAGCCACCAUGCCCAUAAAUAUACUUUAUUUUUUUCCAAGGAGUUCAAUUACUUUAUAAUCAUUUAUUCUUAUGAUGAAAUAAAUAGAAAUCCAUUUGUCUAGCAAACGAGUUUUUAAUGUGAUUCAAUUAAUUAUAUUUAUUUUUAAUAUAUAAGAUCAUAUAAAAAAAUUUACAAAAGAAAAAAAUCAAAUCACACUCCCGAAACCUUAUAACAAUAUCUAUAUUCUUAAUUUAAACCUAUGUCUUAUGUGCUUUCCUCAUAUUUCGACAAAAAAUUUCAUAUAUCAAUCUUCAUCAUAUAUCAAAAAUAUUAUUAUGCUAGUAAUUUUCAUAUUGCAAAUAGAUAUUAUAUCUAAAAUUACCCACUCCUUUAAGAUGCAUUUUUCCAUAAUUCAUUUUCAAAAUUAUACUCUACAUUCUUUUACUUUUUCAUAUGAAAAUUAAUAUAUAUAUAUAUAUAUAUUUGUUUUUCUUUAAUUUCAUAUUUUCUUGGCUACCAAUCACCAUAUCAAGAAUUUUAUAUGAAAAAAAAAUAAAAAAUAAAAAAUAGCAAUAAUUUACUUUUUUGUCUGUAUUUCUAUCCUUUGAAUUGAAAGUGGAGCUAAAAAGAAAGAAAAUGUCCCAAAUAACUAAAGUCCUUAAAAUUAACCUCAAUUUGAUCUUUAAAUAAAUAAAUAAAUAAAAUCCUAAUGAAACCUAAUAUGGUGGAAGAAAACCAUAAACCUUGUUCCUGCAAGAUCCAAACUCAUCCAUAAUCCACAUAUUUCAGCAUUCCUAAUGCCCACACUCUUUAAAUCACCUCACUUUUUAUAUAAGAUGCUUGCUUAUGAAAGAAAAAACUCUAAAAUAAUAAUAAUAAUAAUAAAUAAUAAAGAACAUGUUAAAAGGAAGACAAACAUUUAGGUAGAAGAGUCAUGUUAAUUGGUGUUGUUGAUAUAACAAGUGAAAUGGUAUUUUGAGGAACAAUUAAAUGACUCACCGAAAAAGUGCCUCUAUGAUAUAAAGUAUAAUAAUUUUAAAAAUGUUUUUAAAGUAUAAUAUUUUAAAAAGAAUUUUUAAGAUAUGCUAUAGUUGUUUAUAUUAUAAUUUAUAUCUCAAAUUACUCAUAUUCAUGAAUGGUUUCUAUAUAUUUAUUUAAAAAGCAGUAUAACUUUAUUUCUUCUAACAAGGUGUAUUGCUAAUAUUGUAAUUAUAUACUUGAACAUAUUAUUAUCUAAUAAAAUUGUUGGCAAAUUAGAGGGUUGGUCGCGUCCAUCAACUCCCCUUGUAUUCGCCGUGUGUGCUUGGGUGAAUGCACCAUAAAGUUAGGAUAUGCGCAUUUCGUAUAAGCAAUUGCUUUUAGGAUAAUUAGUAGCGUCUGAGGUUCUACAAGUGGUAUUAGAGUCGAGGUCACGGGUUCAAACUCUAGGCGUGUUGUUGGGGGAAGAUGUGCACUAUAAGGUUAGAGUAUGUAUCUUUCCUACAAGCAAUUAUUUUAAGGUAUGUGCAUUUCCUACAAGCAAUUCCUUUUAGGAGAAUUGGUAAUGCCUGAGAGGAGAUGUGCACUAUAAAGUUAGAGUAUGUGCCUUACAAAGUAUGUGCAUUUCCUACAAGCAAUUCCUUUUAGGGGAAUUGGUAGCUUUCGAGGAUUUAACAUGUAUCUAAUUUUCAUGCCUAUCUAACCAAGAAUUUGAAAUGAAAAUGAAAUUCACUUUACAACUUUGAAUCAAAUCAUCCUCAAAUAAGAAAAGUUCCAUCACUAAUCUUUUGUGGCAAAACCCUCAAAUCUUUUCUUUUUUAAAAAAAAAUUUAUAUGGCCUCCAUCAUUAAUCCUAAAUUCAAUUUGAAAUUUGAUUCUAGAAAAAGUAAUAUGACUUCUCGUCCUAAACCCAGGUUGAUCCUAUAAAUAGGAGCACAACCAACGAUGGUGGAGGCACGCCAUCUUUCGAUUUCUAUUCUUCAGUUGUUUUUCAUUCUGAAAGCAGCUAGCACCAUGGAAACCCAAUCAGGUUUGAAGCACGCACUUAAGCCUAUUAGAAUUGUGCCUAAAGAAGGUGAUGAUCAGGAAGAUCAUCAGCCAUUGAGUCCAAUGACUCGUUUGUUUCAUGAACCUGACUGCAAUCUCUACGUUAUCGCCAUGAUAGGCUCGAAAACUCGCAUCGACCCUGACGUGGUUAAAGCCAACCUGGUGCAUAGUCUCCUUAAACACCCUCGUUUCUCUAGUCUGCAGGUAGAAAUCUUGCAUGCAAGAAGGAAUGAACUAGCCAUUUAGUAAUUUAAAGCUACACUGAACAUUUUUGAACUAAAAUGCAGCGGUGUUAUUCCAAAAUCCAUUGUGAAUUUUUUCAGUAUUAUUAAUCUAUUUCCAUUGUUUGCUAACCAUUAAAUCAUCUUCCAAAAUCAGGUUAUGGAGGAGGAAAAGGGAGGAGAGAUGAAAUGGGUUCCAACAAAAGUUGAUUUGGAAAAGCAUGUUAUAGUUCCAGACAUGUGUUCCGACAUGGAAACAUCAUCAGACAAGUACGUGGAAGACUACAUUUGCAACCUCACUAAAACAACCCUAGACCUUUCCAAGCCAUUAUGGGACCUUCAUCUCCUCAACGUCAAAACCUCCGACGCCGAGGCCGUCGCCGUUUUCAGGAUUCACCACUCCCUCGGCGAUGGCACGUCUCUCAUGUCUCUUUUACUUGCAUGCACACGCAAAGCCUCGGAUCCCACGGCUCUGCCUUCGGUUCCCAUGAUGAAGAAACCAAAAUUAUCGGUUGGGUCUGGAAAGUGGUGGAAGGCUUUCAGACUGGUUUGGAAUACUAUCAUCGAUGUUUUGAUGGUGAUCGCCACAGUGUUGUUCUUGAAGGACAGAGACACGCCUCUUAGGGGUCCGCCCAAUGUUGGAUCCACAGGACGGAGAAUUAUUCACAGGACGAUUAGUCUGGAGGAUGUUGUGAUGAUAAAAAAUGCAAUGAGCACUGUAAGUCAACUUGUUGCAAGCAUGGAAAACAAAUACAUGUUUUGCAACUGUUUCAAAAUAAAAAACAAUUUUCUGUUUUUCAAAUAAAAUAAAUAGAAAAACAGUUUAGAUAAUAAUAAUAAAAAAUAGAAAAUGAGGUAUUUUCAAGAAACAACUUUUAAUUAUUUUUAUUUUCAUUUGUUUUUGUGAUAAUUGUUUUCAAAAAUAAUUAUAUAAAUAUAAUAAUGAUUAAAAAUUAAAAGCACAAGUUAUUUUCAAAAAUAUAUUUUAAAAUAUAAGUUAAGAAUAUUCUAGAGUCAUUCCCGAAUAAAAAUUAUUUUCUAUAAAUGUUUAUGAAAAACACUUAUCAAACAAAGCUAUGAUUUUUUCUUUUUUGGACUAUGCCCCAUAAUUUUUUUAUUUUUUAAAGCAAAGAAAUACAAAGCUUUUUUACUUUACGAUCACUUCAAUGAAAGAGUGGGUAAUCAUAUAUUUGAAGAAGUUUAUAACUCCUCUCUCAAUCAUUAGUGGAGAGAUUAAGAACUAAAAUUUUUGUGGCUCUCAUGUGCAGACUGUUAAUGAUGUUAUGGUGGGAAUCACACAGGCUGGUUUGUCUCGGUACCUCAAUAGGCGAUAUGGUGAGCUCCUAUUUUAAUUUUCAAAAUUCAUAUAUUAAGUGGUGAAGAGUAAUUAUAAUACACCACCUAGCUACUCUCUCUAUGUAUAAAAGGAUGUUAUAAAGCUUGUAUGCUCACAUGGUAGCUGAAGGCAAGAAGAAUAAAGGGGCAACAGAAAAGAAAAAUAAUCUUCCCAAGAACCUUUCUAUCAGAGCAACUCACUUCAUUAACAUAAGACCAUCUGCAGGGAUCCAUGUGGGUGUUUCUACUUUCUUUAUCAACCCCUCGUGAAGGAAUUAGUUAAUUUCUCUUUGGGAAGUGUUUUCAAAAAAUGAAACACAGUUUUUGAAAACUGUUAUUUGAUAUUUUAUGAAAUAAAAGUUUGUUUAAAAAUCUGAAAUUAAUGUUAUUUAUGUUUUCUAUGUUUUAAAAUAUGUUUUAUUAUUAAUUGAUCUCCAUAUUUUUAUAAUUAUUUAUUAAAUAGUUCUUAAAAAAUGAUCAAAAAAUAUUUUCUGAAAACGCUUCAUUUUUAAAUAAUUAUUUUAUUUAAAUUUUUUUUCAAAAUUUAAAAAUUAUUUUAAAAUCAAUUUUCAAACAAGUCCUUAAUUUCUUGUCUAAUGCAUGUAUACAUUCAUAUCGUACAGACCUUAGCUGAAAUGAUGGAGAAAGGCUCUGAAGCGAAAUGGGGCAACUGGAUUGGCUAUGUCCUUCUCCCUUUAUCCAUUGCAUUACGAGACAAUCCUUUAGAUUACAUUCAAAAAGCUAAGGAAGCUAUGGAUAGAAAAAAAGCCUCUCUUGAAGCUCUCUACAUACAUUCCAUGGCUAAGUCAAUUCCCAACUUAUUUGGCACUAAGGUAUGAAUUAAUAUCACUCAACCUUAGCUUGUUUCCUCAAAAUUAAGUACUUCUAGCUUAAUUAAUAUCACUGUCUAAUAAACAAUUAAAAGUGGUAUAUAUAGGCUCACUUCUUUCAUUGGUAAACAGACCGGAAGCGUUCUAUGCCUCAAAGUCCCCUCCCGUACGACAAUAUGGUUCUCAAAUGUAGUUGGACCCCAGGAAGAAAUUGCCUUCUUUGGCCAUCCAAUAGCCUACAUUGCUCCAAGUUGUUUUGGUCAACCCAAUGUAAGUCUUUUUAAACUUUGUUUGACAAUGUUUAAAAAAUGUUUUAGCCUAUAAAAUGUUUUACAAAAAAAAAAUUAAAAUUUAGAAAUCACUUUCAAAAAGUUAAAAAGUAAAGAAAUAUUUGAUAGAUAAUUCUCUUAAUACUUUUUUUAAAAAUUAAUUAAUGUUUCAUGUAAAACACUCUCAAGAAAAACACUUCAAAGUACAUUCUUAAAUUGUGUUUGAUAAUAUUUUUACUCAGAAUGUUUUUAAUGAAAACAUAUUCUCUAAAAGUAUUUUAAGAUAAAUUAUCUAUCAAAUAUUUCUCCAAAAAAUACUAUAAGUGAUUUUUUAAUACUAUAAAUAAUUUUUCAUAUUUUUAAAAGCGUUUCCUAAAUUUUAUCAAAUACUUAAAGACAAAAAUGCUUCUUAAAAUUAUUGUCUAACUCUUAUUCAUAAAACAUAAACUUUUCUCUUUCUUAUAAAUUAUUAGCCAUUUUUAGUACAGUAAAAAUGGUGGUUGAUUCAAUCUGAAUUUGAGUCUCUUGAAUAUCUAUUGCAGGCAUUGAUGAUUCAUGUGGUGAGCUAUGUGGAUAAAAUGAAUAUCAUUCUAUCAGUUGAUGAAAGUACAGUCCCUGAUCCUCACCAACUGUUUGAUGAGCUUGAAGAGUCUUUCAACCUCAUCAAGAAUGCUGUGAUGGCUAGAGACUAAACUCCACAGAAUGUCACAUGGCAAGGGCCAGGGUUAAUGUAAUUAAUAUUUAUAAUGUUCUGAAAUAAUUUUCUUAAGGUUCCUGCAAUAAUGAUGUUGUAUUAGAUGACCAAUUAUUUAUAAUGUACUAAAUAAAAAAUGCCUCUCUACUAUAUCUUUAUCUUAAUCCAAGUUCAUAUUUUUUGGACUUUAUUUCAUUUUUAUUUACUGUAUUUUGAUGACUAAUUAUGGGUUCUUUCUAAUUUCAUCUUUUAAUUUUUUUAUUCUUUUUUUUUAUUUUUUUAUUCCUCAUAUCUUUUGCAGUAUCCAUUUUUAAUUUUAAGGCUUGAAUUUCUACUUCAUUUCAUUAAUUUCUUCCAUAAUUUUUAAUUUUUAUUAUUAUUAAAUAAUUGUAAUACUAUUAAAUAUGAAGUUCUGGGCUGGCUUACAUAAGAACAUCUCCUGGUUUAUAUUGAUCCCUACCAUUUUUUACUUUGAAGAGGGUCCACUUUUUACAUCUAAUAACAAAGCGUGGGUCCACAAGAGUGGGACUACAGACAGCAAGGAGGCCAUUGUCAAUCAUUCUCCAAUCUUGAGAAAAUGAGAAACACAUGUUUAAGGUGGGCUGCCACUUCAAAAAACAACAUUAUCUAAUUAAUGAUCCAUGCAUGCAUGGAUGGGACCCAUUUAAAAACAACAAAGAAAAUAAAAUAAAAUAAAACGAUGAGAAAAUGAGAAACCCUGGUUGAUGACAUAAUUUUAAAAGGACGCUUAAGAGUCUCUUACAAUUUAAGUGCAAAGUAUAACCCAAGCACUUAAAAUCCUUUUUAAUUCUUUAAUUAAUAAUGAUUUUAUAUUUUAUAUUAUAUAGAUAUCCCUUCAUCUUCUUAUUUUUUUUAAUAAAAUUAAAUAAAAUUUUUAUUGUUUGACAUCCACCAUAAAAUGAGAAAUUUUAAAAAACUUAAAAGCUAAAAAUAUAAAAAUAAAAUAUUAACUUUCACUUUGCCCAUAAAAAAUAUAAAUAUCAAGAGAAAUAUAAUAGGAAUCAAUAUUUUUUUUAAUUGUAUUUAAUUUUGAAAUUUUCUUAUUUUAUUAUUAUUCAAUAUUCCUAAGAAUGAUUGUUUCUAAAGAAAAAAAAUUUCUAAAUUAAAAAAAUUUAAAAAAAAAACACUAAAACUAAAACUAAAACUAAAAGGGACAUCGAUUCUUUACAAUUAAACAUCUACGUGAUUAUUUAUUAAUUAAUAUUACUAACAUAACAAGUAAAAUAGUCAUUUGAAAAUAAUUAUAUAACUUAUGAAAAAAUGUAUGUACUUUGAAAUAUUUUUAAAUAAAUAAAAAUAAAAUUAAUUUAUAAAAAUUGAGGUUUUUCUUAUAUUUUUUUAAAUUAGCUAGUCCUAACCCACUUUCUCUUUUUUGAAAUGCCUAAGUACAAGGAAUGUAAGAUUGGUCUUAUCCUAACUUUGCAUCCUUCAAUAUAUAUGUUUAGUACUAUGUGAAAGCAAGAGAAAAUUAAGUAAGAUUUGCAUAAUUGUUUUUAUGUGAAAUCACUUUUUAAAUAUGUAAAAUUUAUGUUGAUGUCAUAAUUUAUGUGGGGAUUUUUUGUUUUAUUAUGAGCCUUUGAUUUAUUAUAGUGUUGCAUGGUGUUCACUGGUAAAAUGAUUUACCAGAAAAAGAGGGUUUUAGUCAUGCAAAGGAAAAUGAAUGUGACUAUAUAUAAAACCCGGCAAUAUAUAUAAUUAGCCUCGGGAAGAAGGGGGAUCGUGACUAAAAGUGUUUUCUUGUUAUGAUUUUGCCUAAGUGUGAGCAUGGAAGAAAAUAUCGGUAAUCACGGAUAUAUCGGUACUUCGAUUUUACGGAUAUAUCGGAUAUAUCGGAGAUAUAUCGGCGGAUAUUCUGGAAAAAAAUAUCGGUAGACUUAAACUUGUUAAAAACUCAUGGAAAUGCAAGAAAAACCUCAUAAUAAUAUAAUUAGAAGUAUAAUUGACAUUUUAAAGUUGUUUUAUUGAAAAAUUUGAUAUAUAUAUAUAUAUGAUAUAAUUUGCGAUAAUAGAUGUAAUUACAUCAUGUCGAUCUAUAAGAAAUGUUAAUUUUGUAAUUGUUCUCAGUCACAUAAAAUAUUUCAUUUCAUUAAAUAUCAAUAAUUUGUACACAUUAAAUUCAUUAAAUAAACAUAUUUCAUAUUCAAAAUAUACUAUUUCAUGUUAAUUAAAUUAAUUAAAUAAUUUAGCAUGUUAAUUAAAUUAAUUAAAUAAUUUAGCUAAGUUAACUAGUUUAAUUUAAUUCUAAAUGUGAAAAUAAAUCACAAAUAAUCAUCUAAAAUAAACAUAUCAAUUUAUAAUUAAAUAAUCAAAUUAACCUAAGUUAAUUCAAUAAAAAUAUAAAAAUUAAUUACAAUUGAAUGUAAAAAUAACAUUAAAUCAUCCAUAUUGCAAACAUACUAAUUAAACAAUAUAAAAUAAAUAAUGAUAUAUAUAUAUAAUUUUUUAAUAUUUAAUUAAUUAUUAAUGAUAUUAAAAACAUUAUGAAGAAAAUUAUAUAAUUUUUAUAUUUUUGGUAAUUAAUUAAAAGACUUUGCAUUUAAUUAUAAAAUAAUUAUAAUUAAUUUGCUAUUUAAAAUAUUCUUAUAUUUUCUUUAUAUAAUGAAUUUAAGUAUAUAUAGAGUUGUUGCAUAUUAUAUAUCAAAGGGCAACUUAGCCCAGGUGGUAAGCGGAUGAACCCCAAACCAAAAGGUUUGGGGUUCAAAUCCUCUCAGCUCCAAGAAAAUGGAGGCACUGUAGCGCGUUGACGGGCACUGUAGCGGGUCUGAUCCGCGCUGACCACACGAUAUAUCGCGAGAAAUCGCAAGAAAGUCGAAACCCUUCGAUACACGAUAUUUCGGCGAAAUAUCGCGAUAUUUUCCUCCAUGAGUGUGAGUAGGCGUGAUCGUGACUAAAAGUGCUUUCUUGUUAUGAACUUAUGAUUUUACCCAAGUGUGAGUAGGCCGAUUGGUGUAUAGGAAAGAACCUCCGUAGCCAGAUAAGGAGCCAAAGCCACCGUGCCAUAAUUAUAUUUUAUUUUUUUCCAAGGAGUUCCAUUACUUUAUAAUCAUUUAUUUUUAUUAUGAAAUAAAUAGAAAUCCAUCUCUCUAGCAAACGGAGUUUUUAAUGUGAUUCAAUUAAUUAUAUCUAUUUUUAAUAAAUAAUAUCAUAUAAAAAAAUUUACAAAAGAAAAAAAUCAAAUCACACUCCCGAACCUUAUAACAAUAUCUAUAUUCUUAAUUUGAACCUUAUAACAAUAUCUAUAUUCUUAAUUUAAACCUAUAUCUUAUGUUAUUUCCUCAUAUUUCGAUAAAAAUUUCACAUAUCAAUCUUCAACAUGUAUCAAAAAUAUUAUUAUGCUAGUAAUUUUCAUAUUGCAAAUAGAUAUUAUAUCUAAAAUUACCCACUCCUUUAAGAUGCAUUUUUCCAUAAUUCAUUUUCAAAAUUAUACUCUAACAUUCUUUUACUUUUUCAUAUGAAAAUUAAUAUAUACAUAUUUAUAUAUAUAUAUAUAUAUAUAUAUAUAUAUAUAUAUUGAUCCCUCCUUUUUUUUCUUUUUUUUUCUUUUUUUUAUUUGUGCUUCUCGAGUCUAAAGACGUGAAGUACCUCUCCUUUACUAUUUGCUAUUUUUUCAAAAAAGUUUUCUAUUUAUGGUAAAGUUAGUUAUUUCCGGUAUGGUUGGCAAAGGAAGAUAACUUCCACGGUUUGUUCCAUCUAUAUAGGAGCCAAGACAAGAUCUCCAUCUUUGCCUCCUGUAAAAAAAUUCAAAAGCAAAACCCUAGAAACAAAACUAGAUCCAAACAAUUUUCAAUUAAAUUUCAUCUCCACAAACCAAAGUUUUCCACAUUUUUCUUCAAUCUAGGUGCCCUUUUUUAGUUCCCAGUUUUGUAAUGGAAUGGUCUGUAUCAUCUGCUACCAAUGCUUAUCUUGAUACCCUCAAACUGGUAGGCUUUAAUUUCUUCCACAUUUUUUAUUUUCAUUAAUUUCCUUUAAUCAACUGUUUAUGAUUAGGGAAAUUGGUCUUUCAUCUUUUAAUUUUGUAAGGAUUUUUUUUCCGUUUUUUUUUUUUGGUAUUUUUCAGCAGAAAUUAUCAAUUAUUCAUUACAAUGUGGAACCCAGAUGCGAUUUUUUUUAUUUUUAUUUUUUAAUUUCUUAGGGCCCCCCAACAAUGGGGAUCUAUAAAUUUAACAAGAAGAUUUACAAGUUAUAAAUUAAUGAAAAAUAUUCAUUAAGAGCUUCAGCUGCCCAACCCUAACUCAAUUUUCUGUCAUCAUGCAUGAGGAAAAAGAAAAAGAAAAAAAAUCUAAUAAUUACUUAAAAAUUAAAAAUAUUUAUAUAUAUUUUUUUUAUAUAAAAACCUAACUAUAAAUUUGAACGAGUCUGCCAAUCUACCAAUAUUUAUAUAAUAUUACGUGCCAUUUCAAAAUUAUCAUCCCUAGAGGGUGGCCGUCUAGGUAGCUAGGGCUAACGCUGCUACUUCCAUUGUUUUCCCAUGCAGUGCAACGAUGAGAAGAGACGGCAAAACUCAUGGAAGACGCCGGAGCUGGAAAGCAAUGAGUUCAUAUCAGCCCUAGCAGCAGGCAUGAAAGCAAAGCUUAUAGUUGAGGUUACCUCUGGGGUGUCUCCAUCAACCAUAGCCCUAGCAGCGGCCGCCAGACAAACCGGAGGCCGGUUGGUCUGUAUUCUCCCUGAGCGAGUCCUGGACGAAUCCACUAAAGUGAUCAAAGACUCGGGCCUCAGAGACAUGGUGGAGUUCAAAACCGGCGACCCCUUUGAGCUGUUGCCCAGCUAUGAAAAGAUAGACUUCUCUUUCGUCGACUGCAAGACCGAAAACUAUUCAAGGUUGGUGAAUGUACUGGAUGUUAACCCUAGAAGAUCAGUGGUGGUGGCGAACAAUCUGGUGGGAGGGAAAAAAGGGUUGGGAGGCCAUGUAAAAGGGCUGAAGGAUAAGGUUGAAGUGAGGUCCAUUGGAAAAGGCAUGGAGGUGACAAUGAUAGGGAGAAGCGACGACACCGAUCAGAAGAGCGAUUGCAGUGGAAGAGGUGGAGAAGGAGGAGGCCAUUCUCAGGGUAAAAGAAGAGGGGCCAAAAGCAAAUGGAUUGUGAAGGUUGAUGAAGAGAGUGGAGAAGAACAUUUUUUUAGGAUGCCCAGGUCUCUUUAGAGCUUCUUCCACAAGAAACUUCGUCCAUGGCAGCAACGCGGAGGUGAAAUAAACGCAUUGGCACUUUCAGAUACAAUCUAUAACAAGGUCAUACCCUGAAAAACCAAUUUGUUCUAGUAUACCAAUUUGUCGGGCUUUUUUUCGGGUUUUCAGUGAAUCAAGUGACAGGAAGAACAAGGAGGGAUCAAUGUCACCCCUGCAGCUAAACAUCAACCAGAUUUAUCUAUUGAAGUACUAUUAAACAAGGCCCACUGUCUACUAUAUAUAUUGGUAUAUUAUCUUCCUAAGGUAUAGAAAUAAAACUAAUAGUAAUAUCUCUUACUGCAUAUUAUGGUGCCUCUUCAUGUCAGCUUUGUUCCAAAUUUUUGGGGUGGAUUCCACAUGAUGAAUUCUCCUUUUCAAAUUUCAGUUGAGAUGUCAAAGGAGAGAAAGAAACCUUUAUGUUAUCUUGUGAUACAAACAAGAGGGGGCUCAAAAGUUCAUAACCAUCAAUUGUAUUCCCAGCAAACUAAGCAAUAUUUAAAAGUCUAAGCUUGAUGAUUAUGUCCCCUUCAAGUUCCAUAAAAACCAAUAGAGAGUAGCCCCACCAACUCCUUAAUAUGAUUAGAAGUUGGGAUUAAGACCGAUAACCUACUGAUCUAGAAACAUAAAUUGUCAAAAGAAGUAUGAUAACCUUCUUCUUGGAAGAAAAUAGACCAUUUUUUUAUCAAGUUUUAAGCUUUUUGUACCAUCUUGGGGGCCAAGAUUGUUUGUGAUUGUGAUAACUAUGCAGUGAAAUUGAGAAGCUAAAAACCCAUGUCCAUGAACUUCACAAGAUCCUAAUAACUGUAAUGUCAUUUACCUAGAAUACCAACCAAUCAACAAAUUUUUUCCUAUCCUUUCCCCCUUCUUUUCCAGGAAAAGUGGGGGGUGGGAAAUGAUGGUUGCUUAGUUUGUAAACUAAAUUCAUGAAACCACAGCCUCAAAAAACUAUACUCCGUAGACUUGGUCCCAAACCCAUAAUGCCCUAAACCACCGUGUCAUUUUGGCCCAUUUCCAACAACAUGAAUUCCCAAAUUCUAGACUAAUCAGAAAAUAAAAUAAAACCUUUUCUUCUUACUUUUUUUCUGAUUCAGAGUUUUCAAAUAGUAGUUGAUGACAAAGACAACCAAGCGGUUGGAUGGUGUGUCAACAGGGUUUGGCGGGAAUGAUGAUUACCCGCCACCACCAACAAUGACCACCCCCAUCACCUCCAUCACCACCAAAGCAAACGAUAAUAAUAAUUCAAUCUUCAUAUUCAAGAAACUAGUACCUCUCAACUGCUUCGAUGCCUACACAAUCACAACCUCUCUUUUUCUUCUUCCCAACCUCUACCCUAUCUUAGAUCUCCUUCCAUUCCAUUGCCAUGGCAUAUUCUCAAUCUGGGGCUUCAUCUAUCAGUCUCCUUUUUGGAUUUUUUGUUGUUUGGCAGGCCAGUUUGAGCUUUUUCGCAGUGGCUGAUGAGGUCGAGGCAGGCGGAUCCAAUCUUUGUGGAGCUGAUUUAUCCACCUUUCUUCCACCCCCUUAUAGCAAUAUGUCUAAUAUGAUUUGUUCCCCAGUUUGGAAUACUUUUUCUGUGAGAGUAAGUCCCAUUAUACCCUUUCAAAUUGUUUGUAUUUAAAUGAUUGAGAAGAAUUGGAAUUUGAAACUUGUCAUCGUUUUUUAUCCUCGAGUUUUCUUAGGUAUUUUCUGUUGGAAUAAUGAAAUUUUUAGGAUCCUUUUCCGGGGAUUUGAUGAUUUUAAGGAGAUUAAAAACUCUCAGCAUCAUGUAAGGUACAUUAUUGAGAAUUUGAUAUUUGGAAGAUGGGAAAAUUUAAUCAUUGAGCUGCAGAGGAGAUUGGUCUGAAUAUUUGGAUUCAUCAACUAAAUCAGCCACCUUAGGCAGGAAUUUUUGCUAAAGCUAGACCCACAAAAGUUUUACAAGUUUUCUGAUGUAGUAACAUGAAAAAUUGUUUUGCAGUACACCCAGAACAAAGACAAUGUCUUGACCAUUAUAUUAUCAGCAGUAUACACUACUGGAUGGGUGGGAAUAGGGUUUUCAAGAGAUGGGAUGAUGGUGGGUUCCAGUGCAAUCGUGGGAUGGUUCAACAAACAAGGUCACGCAAGAAUCAAACAAUACUACCUACAAGGCACAAAGACAACUCAAGUCAUACCCGACAAAGGGGAAUUACCCCUGACUAAAAUUCCCUCUGCUGUUGCUCUUCAUGGGGCUACAAUGUACAUGGCAUUUCAGAUUAAGCCUGAAGAUCGCCUCACUCACCAGCCCAUCCUAUUAGCCUUUGGAAGUGGAUAUCCAGUCCACAACCACCUAACGCACCAUGACGACAAAACAACCAUCCUGUUCGACUUCUCUGCAGGUUGGUUCAUCUCCAUUCUUCAAGAACAAAGUAAGCUAUAUAUGCGGCUAAGUUUGAUGAAAGUAGCAGCAACAGCAUAUAGGUGUAUCUGACCUAUUGUGGCACUAAGAAAAGGACACCCAAUGGCUCUUUAUAAGUUCAAAAAACACAACUAACAUGAAAAUUUUCGCUCGUGUCACAGGUUCUGUAUCCACUGGAUCCAACGGUGUUGUCGAGUUGAAGAAGAAUCAUGGCAUAUUGGGCAUUGUUGGCUGGGGUCUAUUCCUUCCUUGUGGGGCAAUUGUAGCUAGAUACUUCAGACAUAAGGAUCCCCUAUGGUUUUAUCUUCACAUAUCUAUUCAGUUUGUGGGAUUCAUCUUUGGGCUUGCGACCGUGGUAGCUGGAACGCAACUCUAUAACAAAAUCCAUGCCCAUGUACGUACACACAGGGGCAUCGGUAUCUUUGUUCUUACGCUUAGCAUUCUUCAGGUUUGUCCCUCAUCUGAUGAUUAGGUUUCUCUCAUCUUUGAUUUGCGCUUUUUUAAUCUGUAUUUCUGGGUUGGGUUUCAGGUAAUGGCAUUCUUUCUACGACCAAACCAUGAGGCCAAGACUCGAAAGUAUUGGAAUUGGUACCACCACUGGGUUGGGAGGAUUGCCCUGUUUUUGGGAGCUUUGAAUAUAGUUUUAGGGAUCCAAAUUGGAAAUGCUGGGAAUUCAUGGAAGAUAAGCUAUGGAUUUCUACUAGGUGCAGUUCUAAUCUCAGUUUUCGCCCUGGAAGCAUUGUUGUUCAUGAGGAAGUCAGAGAAGCUCAAUGAGAACCCAGCCUUCCAAAUGAAUCCUGUCAUGUAAUCAAAACCCAAGAACUCCAUUAAAGGUCUUCUCUAGAUUCUUACUCUCAUCUGUACCUAAAGAAGGGUCGGUUCUAGAUUUUGCAUGUCAGGAAUUGUUCUACACUCAACCUCAGCCGCGAUGAACUGCAUUCAGGUUCAGUUUAAACAGAAUCUGAACUGAACCGGAAUUUACGAGUGGUUUGGAAUGUCUUAUGGUAGAAAAAUGGUGAUAAUAAGCAGAUAAGGGUUUGCAAAUUGAGGCCAUUCUAGCAUGAAAAACUUGCAUCCACAGAAUUCAUAAAACUUGCAUCCACAGAAACUCAAGAGUGAUGAAGCUUUGUUUGAGUUACAAGUUUGGUUUUCUCGGCAGCCAAAUGAAAUUUCAUUUGGGAUUAUCGAGCAUUAAUUUUGUUAGCAUGAGCAUAGUUUCAAUUCUUUUGUUAAUGUUUCGUUUGCUUCUGUAGAAACUAUUACUUAGCAACAUAUAUAUCAUUUAGCACAUAUUUACUUGUUUGUGUGUGUAUUUCAUUCAUCUCAUAUCCACUUACUGCAACCACUCCAAAAAAGAUCCUAUUAUACACGCAAAAAAAACAAAGAAGAAAAAAUAUCCUUUCCUACAUAUUCUCAAGAGUAAAACAGAGCAAAGAAAAUCCAUGAAGGAUGAACAAAAUCAAGCUCUAAAGCAUAGAAAUCAGUGAGAUAUAAUUGGAAUUCACUGAAGCUACGUCUAAUUAUUAAAACAAAAUAGUACUGACUGAAGAAACAAUGCCUCUUUGAUCAAUAAGCCCCAUUUGGAAUGAAGAUCCUAAUGCAUUUUCUGGUUUUUUUUCCCCCCCUUUUGCAAAGAAAUGUGGUUGGCAACAGAUUUUCAAAAAACUGUUUUCCAAAAAUAUUUCCUUAUAUUUUCAGAAAAUUUUAAGAUCAGAAUCAAACAUCCUCUGUUCUUAAAAAAACAAGCCCUUUCUAAUAAUUGAAAACAUAAAAAUAAUUAUUUUCAUUCAACCAUGCCCUAAAUUUCUCAGUUCAAUAAUUUAAUGCAGUUUCCAAUUCUCUGUUUGGAAAUAUGAUCUCCCUUUUCCGUUCUCUAAUUGUUGUAUUGCAAAAGCAAUAUCAAAACAGAUUGGCAGAAGCAGUACUGAAUUCUUUCCUCUUAUUAGUAACCAAAGACAAUUCAUCAAUCCCAAUCAAAAAGGAAUUGAAGUCAUAUACAAUUAAAUCAAAUUAAUUAUUAAAGUCGCCGUGGGAACCAAGAAAAAAGAAAAACUAAUCCUCAGUUUUUUUAUUGCUGUGAACCAAAAUUUUCUAACUAAAUUAAGAAUCAAUGUUUUCACCUUAAAAAGACCCCUCUUCAAAUCCCAGAAAGUAAAUUUCCUAUAUAAACCUGCAUAUCAAGCAAAACCACUGAUCAGUGCAUGAUAAUAUACAAAUAACCUAAUUUAACAUCCAAAAAUACAAAUGCAAAUUUCCAAGGUUUCAGUAGACCACAGAAAGAACUGGGGAAAGAAAAAAAGAUUAUGAAAGAAUCACAAAUUCACUUGUUGAUUUACCAUGGAAAGGACAAAGGAAAAUCAAAUAUAACAAAAAUUAUUUUCUGAUACAAUGAUACGUGACAUUAUGAUAUAAUGAUACGUGACAUCCUCAAUUAUUUUCUAUAAUUUAAAAAAAAAUCAAAUUAAAUUUUUUUUAAAAAGAAUUUAUUAUGUUAAUUAUUUAAAAUAUACUAAAAGAUUAAAAAUUGAUCAUAAAAAGGAGAAAUAGGUAAAAUAAUUUUAUCUAAAAAGUUGCAUUCUUGUUGUCAAAUGUUAUAUUAAAAGUCAAGUUUAUCUUUACAGUGAAUAUUGAAAAUUUUCCAUUUGAAAGUUGAUAAUGAAAACAAUGGUAAUUAGUGAAUAAAAUUUUUUACUUAAUAUAUUAGUUUUUUUCUUAAUUUCUUUUUUAGGGGAAAAGAAAUGACGACAAAUCUAAAAAGCUAGAAAUUUAAAGAUCACACACAUAUAUAUAACAACACAAUAAGUGCAUAUGCCUAGUCAAAAUUUGGAACUAAAAAUCAUAGCUAAAAAUUGAAGAAGUUUAUUUUUAUGGAUUAUGUGAUGAAUUUACAUAUUAAAGUUAUAUUUUGCUAAUUUGAACUUGUCAAAAGUUUAUCAUUCAAUGUUUUCAUAUGAUAUGAUGUAGUUUAACUCUUUAGAUUCCAUUAUCUUCCAUAAAAUUGGUUAUAUAUUACUCUAUAAUCCAUACUUUCAAUAGAUAUUCACACAUACAUAUUUUUUCUAUUUAUUUUUCACCAUAUAAAAAAACUUACGAUACACGAUACAAGAUACUUGAUACAGAAAAAUGGAAAAACGAUACACAAUAUGUUUUACGAGUUAACAACUAUAGAUACAAACAGUAGUUCCAGUUAUGAAACUGUGUUCUAGGUGCAUAAAAAAUUCAGAAAUCCCCACUAAUCGCUGCAAGUCUAUACUAAUUUUAGAACAAUUUAACAAACAGAACCAAAACUUGAAUAGCAGGAUGAUACCUGAUGUGAAAAAGAUGGUCUCCUUUCCUGCAUGAUUGUUUAUAUUUAGACCCAAGAUGAAGUAAAAUGAAAAGCUCCUGCAGUAUUGGUUUUUGAAUGUUGGAAUAGUAGCCUGAGAAAUCAAAAUAUUCUGCAUUGAGACCAUAUGGAUAUUGUACCCAUGUGAUGAUUAGAAUGUUUUAACAGCUUGGUCACUUAUAGUUUGUGGCCAGAAGGUUCCAGCAAGAGAGUUGGAACCCAUGGUGAUGGAAAUUUUAAAAUAAAUAAAUAAAUAAAAAUAAAAAUAAAACACCAUCCUAUGAGCUACCAUUUUCUCCUCAAUAAAAAAUCAAUAAUAAAUAGAGUGAUGGCUUUGAUUAUAGGGAACUAACCUGCAUUUUCCAGGAAGUUGGUGUAAUCAAAACACUGAUAGGUAAGUUGCAACCAUGAUACAAGAAAUUUUCCAAGAUUAUCCUGCCACUUGUAUAUUGACAAAAUGAGGAAUGCAACCUUCUUUCUCUCUCAACCAUCCUGCAACCAUAAGGUCUGUGAACAACAAAUCUGCGGGUUACACAGCACCAGCUGCACUCUCUUCCCUCAAAGAAAUGCUGUUUGACUUGGGAACUUCACUCCCUCUGACAACUCUGUUAUAUAUAACUUUGAAAGAUUGCGAGCCAUAUGGUCGAUUGAGCAAACUUAUCGGCAUUCUCAGAGUCUGCUUUCGGUUUCUUCUCCCUCGUAUCAGAAUGCUGAAAGUUUUCUCACCAUCAAUCUUCUUCUCACUACUGAUUCCAGUACACUCAUUUGGGCUGUUACUGUGACCCAGUUGUUCCUUCCCAGAACUUUCAACCGUACAAGGAUCUGAAUGAGCAAUUUCCUUCCCAUUUUCUGAGCCAACCACAGGUAUUAUAUUUGCAUCACCCAUUGCCUCUGAUGCAAGAAGAUUCACUUCCUUAAUAGUUUCUCCCCCAUUGCUAAUCUCUUCGGGCAGGAUUGGAGCCGAAAUCAGACCUUCAGAAUUACCAGAUUGCACUUUUGGCUCCAAAAUGGGAUCAGAAAUUGGCUCAAUAACAGGUGGAAUGAUAGAAAACUCCAUUGGAUGGCAGCCCGGCCAAACCGUACCAGGCAUAAACUCUGAUGCAUUAGGAUUCAUAUUACAUUGCCAAGCAAAAUGAUUGGGAUGAAAUGGGCUGCUAGUCACAGGAAAGUUACUGGCCGGUAUUGCUUGGGGUUGAGUAUAAGGAGGAUACAUAAAAGGUAAUGGGUGCAUCAUGUUUGGGGUUGGAGGAGGUGAUGGGUAUGGGUGGUGAGGAGAGGAGCACAUUGGAUUAACUGCAGGCAAGACAGCAGCAGGCCCUGGAUGAAGAGUCAUGUUCAAUGGCCAAGCAGAAACAGCUGGAACGGCACCGGGACCAGAAGAGAGAGUAAUAUUCAUGGCCACUGGUGGAGGACGUGCUAUGGCUGGUGAUGGAUUGAACGGAGCUGCUGAUGCAGACAGCUUCUUAUUGGGCAACUCUCGAGUAUCACCUGAAUUCAGAACUGAUGGUUUGUCCUUUAAAUUUUCAACUCCCUGCAAGGCAGAGUGAGAAUUUUCAUUGGGCUCAGAACUGCUAGGGUCCUCAGAUAGCUCCUCAUUAGGAGAAUCAGUUGAAUUUGGCCUGCCAUCCAUUUUGACACCACCCUGUACCACCUCUUGAACCUCAGCACCAUGAGAUUCAACAGCUUCCACGCUCUUAGAAACAAUCUCGGAAGGAAUAUUUCCGAUUGCAUCACCUGACUGAGUUUCAUUUUUCUUUUCAACAACUUCGACUUCAUCUUUUAAGUAAUCUUUAGAAUGUAAAAUAGAAAUCUUAUUCUCCUCUGCAUUGAUAUUUACCGCCUCUGUAAUCAUCGAGUCUGUACUUUCACUUGGUUCAUUGGUUUCCACUUCUGGUUUUCCAACAUCAAGUUGCCGGUUAUCUGGAAUAUCAUUUUGGAACACUGUCACCUGCAUCUUAGCAAUAGUACCAGGUGGGGCCAGCGCUACUUCCUUGUAUGAAAGAGAUUUUCCAAGACUCACUACUGAUUUCUUCUGUGAAAUUGGACUCAUGUCAUUUGGUGCAGAAAUUGUACCAGUUUCUAAUUUUGUGGCUGUUUUAGUAGAUGGCACAGACUUCACCCUGUAUGUAACAGCUUUAACUAUUCUGCGCCCAAAUUUAGUACCUGGGGAGGAGCCUGAGGUGUGGUAAUCUGUACUGCCAGCAGAUAUUGUACGUCUCUUUAGCAUGUAAUACCUACUAUUCUGAUAAGUAUUCUUAACUUGACUAUAGUCCAAUUCAGUAUCCACAUCCUUUUUCUGAUAACUAUAGACCUUGCUGAUAGUUGUUCUUCGCUGUCUUAUUCGCCGCCCAUAUGAACCAGCUGAUCUCGGCCUUUGAACUGAUUGCCAUCCAUCUUCUCCUUCAGCAUUCGUUUCGGAGGAGGUUUCAUUGCCAAUGUUCGGCGUGUCCCCAGAAGCCUCAUCCAUAACAGGCUGUUCGGCAGGAACUGAAGCAAACCUGGUUUCAUGAUUUGUAUCUACACUUCCUCCAGAUUCACGUAUUUGUUUUUCUUCAUCUGAAGUUUCCUUUGGGGUAUCUUUUGGAGAAUCCUCGGGACUUGCUAAACUGAAAUCUUGGUAGGAUGUCCCUUUAACCUGCAAAGAAAGAUUCAAAAUGGUUUAAUGAGAUUAAAGUUACAGGUAUAUACACGCACAUAGACAUGAGGGCUUCAAAAUAGGCAUCUUGGCUGUCAUUUAAUUAUGUUGAAGGGUGGGCAAUUUUGCUUCUUAGAAAAAACUAGCAAAAAAGAGAAACCAUCAUUAGAAAAUUGAAUGUUUGACCUCCAAAACUGCAAAAAGGACAAAUUUCCUUCUUUCAUUUUUUUCCUUUUUUUUUUUCUUUUGUUUUUCUUGGUUGAAAAAAGACAUGUUAAUUGGAGAAAAUGUUUUGUUGGUUUUGUGAAAAAUUGUCCCCAUACAUGUCUGGGGUAUUUUAGCAGCUCACUGUUUGUUUACUCCUCUUUGACCCGAAACCAAGCCGCCUCCUUUGAGAUUCUUGCCCAUGGCUGAGCUGGCUUUAGGCCACAAACUAGGCUAGAUGGAAGGCUCACUAAUGGGCCAAAAGAUUAGCCAGAGGAGUUUUACUGCAGCAGUUUCACUGAUUGGGUCAUUUAACAUAGCUUGAUUACAUUACCAACCUUCCUUUAGUGGCUGUUGGCAAUUGAACUAAGGCUGUGAAAGGGUGACAUGCAGACAAAUCUUGAAGGGUCAACAAAUAACAGCAAUUAGUCAAUCUUCCUCAUGCCAUGAUAUUAGUCAAUAAAAACUUUUUUAAGCCUAUUCCAGAUCUCUUUCCCAUUUGCUAAGGGUUAAAAUAAUUUGAACAACCUACAGGGAAAAAACAAUAUACCUUUGCGAUAUAGCUUUUCCUUUUCACUGUCACAGCAUCUCUUCCUUUGGCAUCUUGACUAGGAUUGAUGUAGUCAAGCAAAUCUGAUACACUGCCAAGUAAAAUAUAUCAUAACUAUUAUUAGCAAGGAAACAUUAGUUUAUGUGCAAGAAAGAAACCCAUGCCAAUUUUCAACCUCUAUCAGGCACAUGUAUCAUAUAGCUAGUAAUGAUACCAGUCUAUGGGGUCCUCCUGAUGAAUAUUCCUAAAGGCCAUCUGUACCACAUUUAUUGUUCUAAUACCCUGUGUCUGCCUUUCAGUCAUGAAGAUACUCCUCAAAAAGCACUAUAGCCAGGAAAGUACAGCCUUUUGACAUGGUUCUCUUGAACAAGAAGACCCAAGUGAAGCCUAUUGAAAGUUUAGGUUCAUGAUGCUUGCAAGGUGACAUUUAUAGCAAGUACACCUUUUUUCCCAAAUAUUUUUAGGUUAGUAUUUCCCAUAUGAUAAUUUUUUAAAAUAGUUUAUUUUUUAUAUUUAUUAAGAAAUGUAAAAUGAACCAGACUAAUAACAAUGCAACCCAAUGGUAUGAUGAAUCAUCAAAAUAGCAGGGGCAACUGUGCACCCUAUCAACUUCUUAUGCAUGAUCAAUUGCAGAAUGGUCAAUCUUGCCAAGGACAAUGCUGGCAUACCUUAGGUGGCCUUUGCUGGCUAUGGAUGCAUCAGGUUUUCGAGUCCCAUUUCUUGCAGCUUCUUGCUGUUCAAAAGCCUUUGACUCAAAGUACUCGAGCCAAGCAGCAGCAUCCUACAGCAUUCCAUUACAGAACUUAGAACCACUUUCAAAUGACAAAACUUGAAUAGAAUGAAAUUAAAAAGAAUCAUCACACGUGCUUCAAAAAGAUGAUAUAGAAAGCGUCAUCAUGCAGCACACAAGCUCAUUUAUUCAAAUCAUUCCUUUGACAGGACUCCAUAUUUAAAAUCAAGGUCGUUAAUUAUCCUAACUAUCAAACUACUUUCAAUCCUUAGCACUGCCAACUAAGUUAUUUUAUAGAUAAACCAUGUAAAAUCCAUGUUAUGGUGUGAAUAGCUAGUACCUUUAAUAAAUAAUAAUUCAUGCAUAUGAGCUAUUACUUUAAGUAGCAAGGGACAUAAAUGCUUCCAAAAGAAAAUUUAUGAUUUGUGGAUAUCUUGGACUCAAUACCUGUGUACGCAGGUCAUCAGGGCCCAGCUUUGCUCGGAGAAUUUGCAAGGUUGUUUGCUCAUGCUGAACGCUCAAAGGGUAUGCUUCCAUCAAUGAUAGAGCAAUUGCUAUUGCAUGGUAACUUGCUGCUGUCUGGAGAGCAUUAAAAGAGAUGGAAAUUAGCUCCAAAGGAAUGAUAUACACAAGUGUGGCCCAAAAUAAUUUUUCCCUUCUAAAUUCAGAUGAAAUCCUCUGAGAUACUGUAAUCUGUUACUUAAAUAUACAAUAUGUCCAAGAUGAUGUUUAUAUAGCUAAAUUUUUUUUUAAACAAAGUUUGUAUUUGGGAAAGAAGGCAAAGCCCCAAGCUUACAGUUGAGCAGAAGCAACCCCAAUAGAAUCAUUGGAUAGCUUUAGCCUUAUGGCACAGAUUAUGGUUAUAAACAGUACUGAUUCCCUACUGUGCAGAAUACAUAUCUUCAAUCUGUACUGGAGAAUCAGAUCCUAAGAGAAAACCCCUAGCUAAUAAGCCAUUUAGUACCAUUAAGUUAAGCAUAAAAGAGAUGCUCUUUUUGGAAAAAAAUGAAGAGGGGAAAAACCAUUACAAGCUCAACAUCCUAUAAUAUAGCAAAUAAGAUUAUUGGGUCUAAAACAGGGAAGAUUACAAUUACACCCCUUCUAUGGUAUAGCAAAUAAGAAACUCUGGCAUAGUCAUAAUAAACACAAACAGAACUUCCAUUAAAAGAUAUCAAGGCAGUGUCCAUUAGUGUAAUGGUAGUAAAAGUACUACUAUACUAAUAACAACUGAAAAAAUAAAAAUAGUAUUAAAAACAGCACACCAGGCUCCUUUUUUAUCAGUUCUGUAAAUCUUGGAAGGAUUUCUCAUCCUUCAUUGUCCUCACCAAGUUCAAUGCAAUGAAUUAUCUUCCUUCUAAUAAAACAAUUACAACAACAAUAACAGAGUUGUGGGUAGGGGGCAGGCAGAAACUUGAGCUCAAUAAGAGCUCAUAGUUAAACUUGAUCUUACACAGUUACACUCUACAUAAUUCAUUAUUUAAUAACAGGCUCCCACGCAUCUUUGAGAAAAUUAUGAACUAAAAGUGCUUGAUACAUUUAAAAAAUAACCAAAAAAGGAAAAAAGAAAAAAAGAAAAGCACUUUCGAACCAACCACAUUCAAAGUGAGUGUUCAAUGAGCCUACCCUUGUCAUACCACAAAGUAAGCACACACCAUGUUCCCAUUCAAUAUAUCAAAGUAAUCCAUGUUCCAACUCACAUUAGAUAAAAUAUUUCAUUCCGUCAUCAACUAUAAAUCAAAAGACUAUAUUAUAAAUGGAAAAAAAAUAAACAAAAAAAUAAAAGACAGGAAGAAGCUAAAAUAGGGAGGAACCUGAAUAUGAUCUGGACCAAGUAACUUUUGGUUGCACUUUAGAGCUUUAUGAAGAUAUCUGAGGGCCACAUGCACAUGUCCAAGGCCUUCCUCCAUCAUAGCCACAUUGAUAUAUGUCGCAGCAGUGUUUGGAUGAGAUGGGCCACAAGUGAGAUGCAGAAGAUACAGCGCGCGUUUUACAUAUCUGAUCAAUGAAAAAUGUGGCCAGGGGUAAAAAUCAAAUGGAAGCAAAAAGGCCAUGGAUAAACAGGCUAGUAUAGAAUUCUGUGUCUUACAUCGCUUAAAACAUUUAGGCAAAAGCAUGAUAAUGUACAGAAAAAGUUAUGAUUAGACGGGAUGUUAUUUUCAAGUUAAUUAAAAAAAAACCUAUGAUUUAGCAUUCAAACAAAAUAAAAAGUGAAGCAUGUUGCUGAAACCUAAUAGAACAAAAUGGAAUCACUACAGAAGCAAUAGUUCCUCCUGUAAUCCUAAUGGUAAGUACGUAUGUUCCUAGCAUAAGAAAGAAACUAGAGCACAAACUAGUAUGACAUUAUUGAUAAACCCAUCAACUACAUGCAUCCAAUAAUCAGUAUACUGCAUGUAAAGCAGUCCUAAAAGACAAAAAGGCCCGAUAUUAAAAGAAUCAAACAAUUAAAUAAAAAGAAAUGAACAAGCAAAAGAGAUAUAAGCAGUCCUGGAAGGAGGACAUACUAGAUAUAUGUGACCAUACUACCAGGUUGACUUUUAGGUCAGCAGAUCAAUAACAAUCAUAUUUUAGUAGCGUCAUGUGAAACUUUGUGUCAGCAUCUUUGUAACCAAUGCACUUUCUAAUCUAUCCAAUAGGUACACCAGAUUCUCUAUUGACAGAACCAUAUGGCUUUAUCGACUAUUAGAGAAUUGAUUAGAAGCUGCUUAGAAGAUCAACAAGUAAUAUGGAAGACAAGCUAAUAUAUUAUUUCUAAAGUACAGUCCAAAUGGUGCACAGAAAACUAAACAAGUGAAAUAUAUUAGAUGCCAUUGGCAAGUCAAACAAAGGUGGAUGUAUUCUUAUAUCAGUGCUCCAAUAGUAUUUACAUAUCAGUGCAAACCUUUGAUUCAACAUCCUUCAUAAUCUUUAGUCAAAUAAAAUUCCUCAAUUUUUUCCACUGCAUAUAAUUGGUACUUGACUUAACAAAAUUAUCAUUCAAACAGUGUCAGAAUGAAGGUUUAAAAAAACUAAUUGGCAUAGCCAUUUCCCUUUUAUUCAUGUCAGACUCUCAGUAAUAAAUGACAAUAUCAUCUUAUUUAGUGAAAAAAAAAACUAAAUGACAACAACAAUAAAGAAGGGAGGUUUCAAGUUUGAGUUCCAGUAGGAACAAAAAAAAUGGUAAGUAUCAAAAAAGGGAAAAACAAUAUAACUUGACUGCUGAAAUUUCAAGCAAGAAAGCACAAAUGUUUAUGAAUAAUACAUGAAAAGUCUAUAGUGCAUUACACAAGACCAACAUACUUGAGAGCCAGUUCUGUGUGUUGAAGUCUGUAAUAGAACACAGCAAGAUCUCCAUAACUCUUCAUUGUGUCUGGAUGAUCAAGUCCUAGUUCUCUCUCAUUGAUGUCCAACGCCUUUUGUUGAUAAAUUGUGGCCUGAAAUUGGGACAACUCUUGAAUUAACCAUAUAGUUAUGGAAAAAUGAGAAUAGGCAACAAGGAAAAAAAAAAAAAAAAACAGCAUAGAUUUACAUGGAAAACCCUAGAUGGGAAAAACCAUAGGCAAAGGAGAAAAAAAUCCACUAUGUCAAAAAUUGGUGCAAAAGGGGAGAGAUUCGAACAACUACUACAUAGGCAUAAACAUCAUAACCUGAUCCCUGCACUACCACCACAAACCUCCCAAAAUAUCUCAUAAUUUUUCUUUACUACAUAUGUCGCACUGCAAGCUUUUUGGAUCAGACCAAAUAGAAUUUGGGUCACCAAACUCUAACACAUAUCAUGUAAACUUUCUCAAAGAAAGGAAAACACCAAAUAUCUUUGAAGGUUAGAUGCCUAUAUAGUGACUGGAGCCUAAAGGGCAAAUCUAUUAGGUGCAUUUCUAGAAAUAGUUUAACAGAACAUUGAGAAAGACAACAAAUUUAUUAUUCUAUAACAGAGAAGAUUCCAUGAACACCAAGACAAAAUGGACUCGUAAUGGACCUGAUUGAAGUCCCCUGUAUGAUACAAAACUACAGCAAGGAGGCUGUAAGCUCCUGCUGUCAUUCGAUGGUAGGGACCACAAACUGCGACCAGCUUUGCCAGAGCCUGCAAAAACCACAAAAAUACAAAAGGUAGCAUAUUAAUUUACCAAUGAACAGGCAAAGAAAGAUUUUUCUGCUGCACCCGAUUGGUAGUUUACAUAUAGAAAUGACAAACCGAUGGACUUUUAAAUCAAAUACCUUUGUCCCAUAGCUGACUGCAUCUUCAAGUUUUCCCUUAUCUAGAGCUGUUUUUGAUGAUUCUAGAAGUUGUCGUCCAUCUGCAGAUGAGCAUGCUGCUUGCUGAAAAGAAAAAGAAAUGCAAUUAAAUCCAGAUUAUUGAAUGGUUUAAUUAUUUGUAAGACAAGAUAAGAAACAAUGUGUUCUAUUAUUCUAUCAAAUAGCAUAGUUUGUUCAUCACCUUAUGCACUGGUACCAAGCUAAUAACGUCAAGUUUUUGGAAAGGGUAUGGAGAAUCCAUAUCAAAAUCCCUUGGAACUAGCUCAAUUCCCACCUGAAAAAGAAAAAGGCAGAAUCGUCAGCCCUCAUUUCCACUGUGAGCAAGAAGACCUAUUAUCCAUGAGUUUUUCCUAAGCAUUACAAAUAUUUGUUUUAAUAUAUUUCAUUUCCUGAAAGGAUUUUCCCUAAACUAGGAAAGAAAUUAAUUUUGCUUUUAAGAAUAUAUAUAAUUGCUGCCCAUCCAUGAUAUAAAUAUCCUAAGUAAGUUCUUAAUUCUUUUUCCAUUCUCUCAACACAACUGAAGCAUUCUUCAAAUUUAUAUAAAUAACCCAUGAUAUAAUGUUUAAAAUCAUAAAACUACAAAACCCACAUAUCCAAUAUAAAAGAAUGUGGGGCAUACUCAAAGUUUUGGAACACAUAGGCCAAUGCCAAAAUACCUUAUGACAUAAUCCCCGUAGAACUGCAAAUUUCCGCACAUCUUUGUAGUUUAAUGUGCUAAAAUCCCAUUCAUAUCGCUUCUUCAAGAAUACCUCCAACCAUCUCCACACAAGGGGAUGAGCAUUGCAUGACUGAUUUAAUUCUCUAUUUCCAGGAACCCCAAGCAUCAGAUUCAGUGCAGCAGCUAUUGACAUAGCCAAUUUCUCAGGAUUAACAACAGCAGCUAUUACUGCCUGCAGAAUGUGCUUAAAAGCCCGCACUAUCAUCUCAUGAAUACAAAGUGACUGCACGUGUGAUAACUUUUCUGAAAGUUUAACCUGGUAAAGAAAAAAUACCAAGCAUUAUUUGAGAUGGGAAAAAAACCCAUGUAUAGUAAUAUUUCAUAAUUUUGAACAAUAUUAUAUGGACGCUUCAAAACAAGUGAAGUACCAUCAGACAUGGGCAGAGGAUGUUUACUUGACAUGCCUUCUGUUGGGCAAAUGCCCCACAGGCAAGUCCAACAAAAGAAAAUGAUGAAAUCCUAGUUCAGUAAAAGUUCCUACUUCAGUAUAUUCCUUUUGUUAAAAUAUUUCAAAAUGGAUGAAAUUACCUCAUAGGACAUAAAAUGUCACAGAUACUCCAUCUUACACCAUGGUAAAGAUACUUUCUUAAAAUACAAUGUUUUAAAUGGAGAAAUGAACCUUAAAAAGCUGAUAAAUUUUGUGUAAUCUCUGUAAUCCUAAUUAUAAAUCUCAAUGAGAUUUCCCAUUUCUCAGAAAGGACACUGAAACAGAUGACUUGUCAAUCUAUGACUCAAAUUUCUGAGUCUCUGACUGUUUACAUAUCCCAUGCAGGAAUUGAUAUUUACUUCUGGGGGUAGAUAAAAAAUUACCCAAACAAACAAAAGUGUUUGUUUAGGUAAUUUUUGCAGGUAACUGGUGAUGAUUGAUUCAAACCUUUUUGAUAAACAAGGUUGGAAAAUAGCUACAGGAGACACACUUAUAGACAGAAGGAUGUCCAACACUGUGACCUCAAAUAACAAAUUAACAAUUGAUGCAGACACAGUUUGCCAAAGUUCAAGAGGUUGCAAUGCAUCAAUAAAUUGAGAUAAAAAUUAGGAGUUUCUUUAUGAUGCAGAAAUACUUUACUAAGACAUGUAAAGGAAUCAAAACCUAGGGGAGUACAGCACUUACAACAUGUCCCAGAGAACGCAUUCGAAGACCUCUAGUAUGCAUGAAAUCGGUCAGCGUCCGACCAUCCACUGGUGAGAGUUCCAAUGAACCAAAAUCUGCAACCUGAAUUGGACAAUUUUCAUGCAGACACAGAAACAGAAAUCACCACAACCUUAUUUUCAUGCAGACAUAAUCAAGUUCAAUCAGAUAUUAUUCAGUGGUUACCAGUUUCGGAAGUGCAACUUCACUGUAAUAUUUCUGGGACAGAUCAACUAGUUCCUGUAAAGACUGUCAAAGACAUGGGAGGAUAAGUACAGGAAACUGAACAAAGAAGGAGCUUAUACCUCCAAUGGUAUUGACAAAAUAUUACCUUGCGGUGGAGUCCAGUUUCAGAUUGUUUAAGCCGGGCAAAAGCUGCAUCAGACAGCAUCCUCUUCAGUGCAAGUUCAUUUUCAUUUGCAUUAGCUUCAAGCUGAGGUUUUGUUGAGGACAGUGUAGAAUUUUCAGCUUCCCCAAUAACAGACUCUGCAGGGGUUUUUGAUUUCUCAGACUGCAUUUUCAGAUUGUUGCCAUCUGAAUUUUUCUUAUUGUUCUUAAGAGAUCUAAGAGGAGUACCAAGUCCCUCGACCUUCAUCUCAUUUUUUGUCUUUGCAGUAGAUGGUUUCUUAUCUUUCUCUGUGUUGUUUUGAUCCUGCAAAUGCUGUAUCCAGCACGCUCCAAGUUCCCAUCUCACAAAAAUGUGCUUUUCUACUUCCUCUUCCUGAAGCUUAGCAAGACUUUCUUCCAACAGUCCCUCCACAAAAGCUUGAGCAGCACUGAGCUCUUCGUGUUCAAGUGUUUGUGAAUGCUGUACUAGUUUGUUGUUUUCUGAAGCUGUUCUUUGGUGAAGAAGCAAUCUCAAACUGUAAAUAACAAGGUAAGAGUGAGAAAUAUGAAUAACUACAUCAAUGAUCAAAAGGAGAAGUACAGAUUAAGGAGCAUGCACAGGCACAGCACAAACUUAUGGAGGAAUGUAUUUGUCAAUAAGCUUUUAUGCAGUUUUAACUCUUACAUCUCUUUUCUUAUGAAGGGAAGCGGUAGCUGAAGAGUGAACAUAGAAAAUAGCAAACAGCAUUGGGAUAAACAACAUUCUAUAAACAAGCUUCAUACGACAUGAAGGGUAAAUUAACCCACCAUUUGAUGAGUACAUCCCAAAGAACUCCGAGAUUGGAUAAAACCCAAUCUUUUAUCUUCUGAGAACAUUUGCCACAUUAUUGAUGAUAAAGUAAAGUAAUUAGGACCACUAAGAAAAUGACUUGAUUUAGCCACAGAAUUCUCCCAGGUGAGAGAUCAUGGUAAUAAGUUUCAAUUUCAGUAGAAACCUAGAUGUAAUUGACACAAUAAUUUUGGACUCUGUAAGAUAAUUGUAAAUAUUUCCACCAUGUUCACAAAAAUUUCAAACAAAAGAAAAAGAAAUAUUACAAAUUCUUUUUGGACUAACAUAAUUUCCUCAUUCUCUACAAAAUAAAACCUUGGCUAGACCCAUGAAUAAUGAGUUCCUAAGGCGCCAAGCAAUUCUCAAUUGUCAACGCAAUCCAAUAAUCCACCCAAUGGUAAGAUUUCCUCAACUGUAACAGUAUAUUCACAAGUUCAUAAUGAAUAUCUCCACUUCUAGUGUAAAAACAUGAGAACAGCAUAGCUUACACAGGAUACUUCAGUGACAUGUUGUAGGGUUUGACAAAAACCUGUUAAUAUUAAGGGCAUUGGCACCACCUUCAGGCUGAUCAAGAAGUUCAAUGCUUUGAAAAUGAGUAUCCAUUUUGCUACUUUCUUUCCCUUCAAGUUUAACCACAGCUAUAUACCCACAGUAUCUGACAUUGACAACACCAAGAGUGGCAAAAUCCUGCACUCAAAAUGCAAAAUUUUCUUCAACCAUUUUAGCGGAAACCACUUCAUAUAUACUAAUUCAAAAAGAAAAUAUUCCGGAUUCAAGGAACAGUCCUACUGAUUGAUCCUUUUUUUCAGAAAUUAUCUUACAUGUGCAGCAGUAUUUUCAUCAGCAGUGAUCCCUUUCAGUAGGUUUCUUUCUACUAGAUUCUGUUGCCCCACUCCAGUCGCUUGAAUCCCAUCAAUUUUAGUAUCCACCUUACAGCUUGCAUUUGUAGCAUCUUUCAUGACAAUAAUGGUUAAGUCCCCUACUCUCUCACUGUAAAGAAUUUCACUGUUUACAGAUGAAUGGGUCAAAUCUAGUUUUCCCAUUACAUGCUGCACAGCCGAAAUGGCUCUGAAAAUGGCAACAUCUACAAACAGGCUGUGAAGAAGGAAUGCUUUCCGAUCUCGAAUCUGCCUCUCCUCAGCUGUCUUGCAAGGCAUAGAUGCAAGAAGCAAAAACUCGUUAGCCCAGGGUAUCAAGUCGCUUUUGCCAUCUCUUCCUUGACCACCUCCACUUCCUCCCCAUGUUUCAUCCUCCACAGGUAGAGGAGGGAAAAUUGCUGGUAACUGUGCUGCAACAGGGGGGAUAAGCCAAGUGUUGGCUCUGAAGCCAUAAGGGAGAUUUCCAAACUGCAGGGCGUGUAGGAAGUUGGUUAUAGAACAUAGCAAGUAGUUAGUCCAAAGGAAAUUCAACACAAACUAUAUCAUGAAAUGAUAUAUCCUGCAAGGUCAAACCUCAUAGCUAGAUUAAAAGAGUCAAUUCAUCAGAACACAGGAAUCAGUGCAUUGAUCAUGUACCUUGUUGCGUUCUGAAAAUGCCUUCAUGAGAUCAUCAUAAGCCUGAAAUAUGAUAAAUAAGACGUGUGAUAGAACUUCAAUCAGAUUUUAGACCCACCAAAAAGAGGAAGCAACAAGAAAGAACUAUCCAAAAGUAUGACUUUUCUGAAGGAUGAAACAAUGUUACGAACUAGACAUGAAGCUCAAUCUCGGGAUACUUCCACCAAAUCACUUGAGACUAGACACAUGUUUAACUCCAAUUUUAUUGGAUUAUAAGGAGACAAGACUAGAAAAUUGUUCAAAGAUCCAUGUCUAGCAUAUAUACGGUCUGAAUUUUUAUUCUUUUUUUUUCCCUUUUAUUCUUUUGAUAGGUUAUACAUAGCCCGAAAUAUAAACACAAAUGUGCACAUAACCCAAGAGAAAAAGUACAAGUAUAGACAAAAUUAAACCAAAAAGAACCCAAGUUUGGCGAGUUAACAAAACUAACAUUGUCAAAGGCUCUACUAAGUUGUCGUAACAGAUCAACAAGGUUGUGACAUAAAAUCCGCUGCUUUCCAAUGCUAUAAAAUCCUCUCCUGCAGACUUCAACAAGAACCAAUUUUCCAUUGCAAAGCUUCACCUACCCAUGAGCAAAGCAGCUCAUGAGGAUUUUUCCAAAAUAGAAAUGAAAGAAAGAAAAAAAGCACUAACUGAAACUUAAAAAAUGGUUCUGUCAGAGGGCCUUACUUCAAGCGAGAAAAGAUGAUCAUGCACUAAAAUCUCAUCAUCAUGCCAUUUUCUUGCUCUCCUUAUAACUGCAACAUUCAUGGGAUACCCACUGAGUGUCUAUGAUUAAUAAUUGAUAGUAGCCCAAAUUGCCUUAAUAGAACAAGAAAUUAAGGUGCUAUUUGAAAAAUGAAACUUUUAUUUUAAAAAACCAUGCUUAAUUGUUGCAUUCAAUUCUGCUUUUAGGAUUUGGUGACGAACGUUUAGAAAUACAAGGAAACAAAAAUUGAAAUUUUCUUUUCUGUGUCUCUAAAAAGGAAAAAACAAAGCAUUUAUUUUUUCCUUAUGUUGAUAGUAGACCAAAUUGCCUCAUAUUUUCAAAGAACAUGAAACAAAGAUGCCGUUCUGAAAAAAUUUAAAAUUUAAAAUAAAUAAAUAAAUAAAUCUCUGAUGGUUGCAUUUCAACAUGGUUCUUAAAAAUUCACAACCCAAUUCUGUAAAUAUGACAAAAUAUUAAAAAGGACAAAACAAACAAUAAAACAUAAUUCUUAAAAAUUCAGGUUUUUUCUUUCUCUUUUUCUUUUUUUAAAACCAAAGAAUAGAAGAGUGUUUUUUUUGUUUUCCUUUUAAAGCUUAAUUUCAUAUACUCCAUUGCUGUACUGGAACUCGAUCUAAAUCUGAAAGCAUAAUAGAUUCGGUUUGCCACUAAAUUUCACUCAUUGUUGACUUAUGCACUCGCCAACAACGACAGCCAUGAAUAGAACGACCGUUCUCGCAUUAAAACGUUCCGUUUUAGCGUCUGAACGCCACUAAAACACACCGAUUCGAGUCUCGCAAAUUAGGAAUAAGGCGAAAGAGAUAUUUACAUUGCAGAGGAGGCGUGAGGUGCGAGAGAGAGAAGAACUCAUAGAAGCUCCCAAGCUUAGGGCAGGAAUUGCUCAUCUCUCCCUCUCCUUCAUUGGCCGACGAUGGCGUAGGCGGCGGCGACGACGACGAUGAUUGCUUGGCAUUCGCCAGAGCUUUGCUCGAUUUAUUGCCGGAAUUCUUAUCCUGCGCACCCUGGGCAUUUUUGCCAGCAUCGGACGGUGAAGGACCGAAGCACGUAGUGCAGGCUACAAUGUCCAAAACCCUUCGAACGUGCGCCGCUGCAGUGUCUUCGUCAUAGUCCUCUGUUGCAGGAACCAAAAAUGACUGAAGUCAGUGAUUCAGUGUAGAAUAAAAAACGACGUCGUAGAACCAAGAACGGAAAAACGAUGGGCUGAGCUAGCUGUUCAGCGAAGCAGAAAACGACGUCGUAGAGUCGAAAAUGAAAAAAAAAAAAAAUGAGUGGAGUGAGUUGUUCAGUGAAGAUAAAACGACGUAGUAUGCGACGCAACGACGUCGUUUCACAUGGAGUACCUUCUACUAAAGUUAAAACGCAUGGCUUCAGCGCUGCAACAUCCACGGUGUCCUUUAAUCCCGGCCCUCUCACCUAAAUAAACAACAAAAAGUCAAUGAUACCCCUCCAUGGCAUAUUCAAAUUUAAAAUCCCCACGAAAAACUAGGGUAAAAUCAUAAUUUACCUCAUGGGAUAACGAAAAAUUGGUGAUGUUGCAAGUUAUCGUGUUCACGGAUAAGAGCCGACGAACAUCUAUUAUCCUGUCCGUUGAUAUUCCCUGCCCAAAUAUUCAUUUUUUUCAAUAUAUAAAUAUAUUGAUAAAUUUGAGUUAAAUACAAUAACAUCAAAUAAUCAUCCACAACUCAUGUCCGCAGAUUUCGGCCGGUCCAAUUACGCAACCUUUUACAACCAUUUAUUUGUUUAUAUGUAUAGCGUGUAUGUCCUUCUUAUAAUGAUUUAUUCAAAAAAAACAAAAUUUAUAUAAAAUAUAGUGUAAAAAUUAGACUAUUUCAAUAUUACUAACGUCAUUUUCUACGACUUUAUAAUAAAAGUAUAUGAAAAAAAUUUAUCAUUCAAAAUGCAAACAACAAAAUCCAAAUCAUGGAUGUCGAUUUUUGAUAAUGCCAAAUACAAAUUUAUUUGUAUAUCAAAAUCUUUAAAAAAUUAAAAAAAAAAAAAAAAAAAAAACCUUUUGCUUUUGGGAAAAUAUAAUGAUAUAUGAUAUAAUUUUAUAUAAAAUUAAAAAUAUUUAUUUAUUUAUUUGUUCAAAAAGAGGUUGUUAACCAAAAAUGUAGAAAAUGAGCAAACCUUUAGAAUGACGGAAGUUUCAUCGGGGAGGUUGACGGUGACAUCCAUGACGACAGGAAGGACUGUAAAAUUACAUUAACAUGUGAUUAAGAAGUUAAUUAAUGUUAAUUACAGGUUAAAUAAGAUUUAAGUAAAAAAAUAAAUUAAUACCUUUCUCUUCUUUUUUCUUCUUGUCUCCCCUCUGCUUUCCACGUCCACUCUUAGGGGCCAUUUUCAACCUUUCCUCAACCAAAUGAGCUGAAAUAUUGAAUAUUCUUUGAUUAAUGUUCAUCAAGUAUUUAUUAAAAAAAUUCGAAAUUAGCACCAAAUAAUAUGGUCUAAAGACUCUAAACUUCAUCAAACCAAUAGAAAAAAAUCUCAAAUUGUGAACUUUAAAUUAAAUAAAUUAAAAAAAAAAAGGUUUAGAGCUUCUCCCACCAAGUAUUUAUAAAAAUAAAAAAUAAAAAAAAUCCAAAGACCCACCAAAGAAUAUAGUAUGAACUUCAUUUAGUAAAUCAAAAAAUCUUAAAAAAUUGAAUCGAAAAAAAAAAAAAAAAAAGAGGUUUAGAGCAUAACCCAUCAAGUAUUUAUUGGAAAAAAGAAAAUCCAACGCCCUCCGACGAACAUACUCUAGACUUGAUUAAACCAAUCAAAAAAGCUCGAAAAGAAAGGGGGGGGGAGAAGAAAGAAAAUUCUCAUUCAAUCUUACCAGAGAGUGAGCAGAAGAUUCAGAAGAUUAAGCUGAAAACUCUUGACACAGACAAUCAAAAGGGUCUUCAAUCCGCCGUUAAAGCUCUGAAUAAAAGAGCACCAACAGAACGAACAGCUAAGCUAUAAAUAUCUAGUAUCUGUUAAGUGGUACGAAGAUGGAUGUGGGGAUGGGGGUUCAGAGGGGGGAUGAUAAUGGAGAGAUGUUCACCAUUGAAGAGAUAGAAUAUGAAGCUCGAGAGAAGAAUGAGAAGAGAACAGAGAAAAAGAGAGGAGAUAUGGAGAGGUGUGGAGUGUGAUAAGGAAGGUAGGGCGGAGAUUUAACAGUCAGACAUAUGGCAUUUUAUGGCAGCCUCUGCCUUAUACUCUGUUAUUCAGUAAUUAUGACUUUUUUUUUUUUGUUCUUUUUUGGAUUUUCUUGUAUUUUAUUUUUUGUUUUUUGUUUUUUGUUUUUUUUUUUUUUUGUGUGUGGAUAUUUUCUGCUGGUGGUGGGUCCAAUCUAACAAGGGAAUCCAAGAUCCAAUGGCACAAUGAUCAUCGAUCACAGCCAUUGAUUUUUACUUUUUCCAUUUUGAAUCCCCCUUUAAUGAGUUUGGUUGAUAUUUCCUAUAAUUGUCCUCUUCAUUAAUACAUUUUAAUCAUCCUUUUAUUUGAAAGUUAUACAAUUUAAGUAAUUCAAAGUCGGAUUUAGAUGUGACAUUUAAAACACCCGCUAACAAAUCGUUUUUUCAUACGCUUAGUUAAUCAAACAAAAACAAUAUUGUCAUCUUCUCCAUUAUUUAUAUUUUUAGCUUGACACAAUUUCGAAUAAUAAUCAUUUAAGACGGUAUUACUACUUAUAUAUAAAAAUUACAAAACUGGGCUUUUCAACAUUCAAAUUCAAAUACGUAAUUAUUUAAUAAAAAUUAAAUAUUAUAAAGUAUUUAAAAAUCGAUCCAAACCGACCUAAUUUGCGAAUGAUUUUUCACCAUUAGGCAUGAUUCAAAUAAAAACUUUUGAUGACCAAGCUAAUCAUAGAGCCUCAUUUGUGAGGAUAGCCCUAGCUUCUACUUUUGAUUACAUAUGCAUAUACGUGAAACCCCAUUAAGGACUCUAAAUCAAUAGCUUGGAUCACCCACAUUUACCAUCCAAUUGACAUGAAGAUUGAGCCUUCAAAUGAACAAAAAAAAUGGAAAAAGCAUACUCAUAAUCCCUUGAUUAGGCACAAAAAAGCAAGUCAACUAGUGGCCACUGAGUACUCAGAAAUCUUUCAUGACUCUCUUAACCACUUAACAAGAAUAAUGGGGCGGUAGGUAUCACAUUGUUGGUUUGUUUAUACCAAAAAAAAGGACACCCCCUUUAGACAAAAACUAUUGUUUCUUUUGGCCACACUGUCCCCAAUCAUCUAUCUCUCCUUGCCCUCUCAUUGGCCAAUUUGCUAUGAUUUUGGUGAAGUUUCCACCAAUUAUAUAUCAUGAAAAAUAACUAACUGGCAUGUGGAAUACACUUGGGGAACAAGUAGAAAAUAAUGGAGUGUGUUCCAAGUGUUGGAUCGUGAUUUAUCAUUAUAGAUUAUUGGUGAAAAGUGUGGAAAAAGGGGGGUGAUUUUAUGGGUUAUUUAUUGUUUGUUUCAAAGUUAGGACAUGAGAAGAUGGGGGGAGAGGGGUUUCGUUGGAGAAGAAGAUGGUGAGAGAUUUUUAAACGUUAGUCCAACUAGAGAGAGGCCAUGGGCAUGGAAUCUCGUGGGAGUGGCAUCUCAUAGGUUUCUUGUUGCAGCUUCUUUUGCAUUUGUUGGAUGUCUCUAUUCUGUUUUAUUUUGUCCCCUGUUGUGGAAUGAUAUCUAUCUCAUCUCUGUUUUUGUGUGUCUUUUCAUUUUGAUGCUAUCUUCUCUAGGUUCUCCCCUCUUAGACCAUUAUUUCGAACUAUAAAAUUAGAACACUUGUUUAGUAAGUAAUUGAUUUCGAAAACAGUUCUAAAAAAUAAUUUUUUAAAAUGGUUUUUUAAAAUUAUUUUUUGAUGUUUUAUAAAAUAAAAAUUUAUUUGAAAACCUAAAAUAUUUUUAAUUUAUUUUUAAUAUCAUUAAAUAUGUUUUAAAAAUAAUUUUUAUAUAUAGUCUUUUAUUUUUAAUCAUUUUACAUAUUUAUAUAAUUAUUUUUUAAAACAAUCAUAUAUAAAAACAAUAGAAAACCACUACAAAUAUUCUCUAAAAAUAUCAUUUUUUUGUUCUUAAGAACAAAAAACACAAAAAGCAAAAAAACAGUUUUUAAUUAUUAAACAUGUUUUCUUUAUUUUUUUAUUAUAGAGAACUCAUUUCUAAGUUCAAAAAUAAAUAAUUUUAUUAAAGAAAUGAUGUUCGGAAAGAAUUAAUAUCAAAUAGAGUCUUAAUUGUUUCUCCAGCAUAUCCUUUAAAAAUAUACAUGCACACUCAAAAGCAAAAAACAAAGGAGUUUUUGAACUGAAAAAUUGCUCUGAAUUGGUACCACGCACCCCAUCCAAUCCCAAGUUCCCAACCAUUAAAUUAUAGAAUAAGACUUUUAAAGCACUUACAGUUCUACUGAGCUCAAUUUCCAGUACUGAAAAGUAGAGGGUAUGCUGGCAAUUUAAUAGCAGAGAAUGACUCCUCUGAAGUCUGAACUACCCUUAUUCCAAUUUUUGCUCUCCAGGUUCAGUAUUUUAAAAGCAAUGAGCUCAGUUUUGUAGAGGUUCGUACAUAGAACAAAUAAUUGAAUUGAUAAAAGAAGAUGUCGAAUAAAACACUUACAGAGCUACAACCGGUGGGGUUGUGUUCUACAGUCUACACUCUUGGCUCGGGCCCUUUCAAAUGUCUGGGAUAUGUUGGGUCAGAAUAAACAAUUAACUCCAACUGGCCAUGCUUCGUGUCUGCACUCCCUACAUCUAGUAGUUUCCAUACAUUCUUUCUCCAUCUUGUGGUUGACGAGUCAUCACAACCCAGUCGGCUGCGUGGAGUUGGGUGGGAUUCUGAAGAUUUAAGAGCAAGUAGUUAAAAGUAAGAAGUCAUAAUUUAAAUGAGUGGUUAUGGUAUUAUGAAAGUUUUAUCAAGCAUUAAUCAAUUUCCACGUAAGUUCGAAGUUCCUCAAAUAGACAAGACAACUUUGAUUGGAGUACUAUCCAAUUCCUGUUGCUCCCUUGGAUCGCCCCGUACUGGUUGUGACAGGUGUGAUCAGUACCCCAAGAUAUGGCUCCGUAUGGGCAGUUGAUCGAGAAAAGUUCAAGAAGCAGGGGAAGGGUGGGGGGUGGGGGUUGACUUCUUAGACAUCUAAGGCAAAGUUUGAAGGGACACAACUUUUAAAAACAUGAAGUAGAUCCUUUUGCUUCUACUUGUACUUCUAGCCUUAAAAACUAAUCCCAAUCAGGUCCAUAAUCUCUCUCAUUGAACUUAAAGUGAAGCCUUUAGCUACCAAAAAUCCAAUCCAAACAAGCCUUAAUUUUCCAAGUUUUUUAUUUAGAUGGCUGGUUUUUUCAACCGUUUGACAUAACUUUUGCAUGAAUCUCAUUCUCAAAACUAGUACUCAGGUUUCCUGAUGGGAUUAUGCUAAUCUGUUCAGGGGUUUAGUUCUAGGUUCACUAAAAAAAAAGAAUGAUUUGUAUAUGUUUGGCAAAUGCUUCAACAAAUAAGUCUACAUUUCUUCAUGACUUCACACACACAUACUAACAGAGGAAUUAAUAGCUUUUUAUAGCACAUUGUGAAUAAUUGUGAUCAACAGUGGUCAAUUCCACCUGAAACAAUAAACCAACAGGUAUGUAUGACAUAAAACAUGAAGAACAAGGCGUUUUGUAAUGAUUCAGUUUCUCUUACAUCAAUGGAAGAGAAAUCUUUGAAGCUGGAGUUGGACUCACUAGUCAAGUCAUUGGGCCAAUGCUGUUUAAGCUGCAGGGCUUUUCAUCUUUCUCUUGUACACUCUAACAGAAGCAUCAGAGGUCGGAUUAUCAGAUUGCUCGCCUUCUGUUGAGAUGUCUAUCUCAGAUUUUGUUUCCUCGAUUACUUUUCUCCUUUUCCUGGGUCCCUGGGCUUUCCUGGCAUCAGUCUUCCGGGCAGAAACUUUGGUUGAUGACGAUUUCCUUGGGGUUCUAGAUGUUUUCUUUUCCUCAUCAGAUUGUUCACUUUCUGUUGAGAUGUCUAUCUCAGAUUUUGUUUCCUCAAUUACUUUUCUUUUUUUCCCGUGUUCCGGAGCUUUCCUGGAAUCAGUCUUCUGAGCAGAAGCUUUGGCUGAUGAGGAUUUCCUUGGAGUUCUGGAUGUUUUCUGUUCCUCCACUUUCUUAAACAAUGUGGAUAUAGUAGCUUGAGAUAGUCGUUUCCUUGACUUGGUAGCUGCCCCAGCAGACUCUUGAAUUUGUGUGGUUGCUCCAGUCCUUGCUUCAGCAUCUUCAUUGCCACUUUCAGGUGUUGCAGAGCCAGAAUUUUCUUGUCCAUCAGAUAUGUUGCCAUCAUUUUCAACAGAAUCAUCUCCAGAAGAAGCUUCUGCAAAAUUGAAUGUUUUUCCUGCAGUUCUCUGUGAAUGUCGAACUGGUGUCACUUCAACAUCUUUCGGUGUCAUUUCAACCACAUCUUUCAAACUGUCUUCACCAGACAAAUCAUCUUCUAGCUCAGGUUUAGGUGACUGCGGUUCUACAUAUUUCAUUUCAGGUUUAUUAACACCUUGCUUACUGUCAGAUGCCAUGCCUGCACCCCCUUUAAAGUCGUAUUCAACACUUUGUCCUUCACUCAGUUCUUUAGGAAACUCGAGUCGGGCUUCUUCUGGAUUCUCCUCCUUUCUCCCAAUCCACCAUGCAUCAGAAAAUACAAUCAUAUUAUCAAAGUAAUCCUCACACAUUACAUUUUUUCCGCCUCUAGAGAAAUGCAGAGUCAAAUACCUGUUCUUCGGGUAAACUAUAGUCCCAAACAACUUCAUUUGACCCUGAGGGAAAUCAAGGUAGAGUAUAGGAUUCUUGGUUCCCAAAUCCUUGAGUUCACCAAUCUUGCCACCAGCAAUAGGAGCAAGAAGACCUGGGAAUGAGAAGAGGAACCGAUUCUUCCUCUGAGAUUUCUUCAGAAUAUCUUUUCCAUGGUGUUUGAUCACUGUUUUUGAAGGGCUCAGAGCUGAAAACGCUUUUGAAGGAGUAUCUGACAGUAAGUUCUUGGAGAACGCCAAUUUUUUUCGUCUUUUACGCUCUUCAGCUUCUGGAUUCAGUUCAGAUACUCCACCAUUUUCAUUCUUCUUUGAAACUCGUACCAUUCUGCCUGCCCUACUUCUCUUGGAGAAUAGUUAUUAAGAGUUACUGAUAAUCAUAUCCCAGAAAACCAGUGUGACAACUUUCUAAGCUUGAAACAGUCAAUUAGAGCAAGGAUGAUGGUUUGUGGAUGAAAUUAAGGCUGCAGCUUCAACAAGUUGAUUCAUCCCAAAUUUGUAGGAUUCUGAAAGAGAAUUUAGCUUCAACAUUAAUAAUCUAAAAAUGGAGACUGGAUUGCUUCCAUAAAUGAAUCCAUGCAUUUAUAAAGCUAAAUAAACAUCCAUCCGUCAGAAAGGAUGAUCUCAUAAAGAUUAUGAUAAAUCUAUGUUGAUAACCAGGUUUUUGCUAAAAAAAAGGACUUGUUAAAAUUUCUAUGUUAAGAUCUGGUAAAUAAGUGAUGAUUCUCAUGCAUUCCAUUAAAGUAGUUAUAUAUGAACAAUGGAGUGUAAAUUUACCUACUAAUUAGUGCAGUAAAAAAAAAAUAUUAUUAUAGAAACCAAUGUUUUAAAAGGCUAAAGGCAACCUGGGAGCAUUUUGCCUAGAUGAGAUAAAGUGUAACUUCAAGACAGAAUAAGGCGUAGGCCUCAGCUUUAAUAAUAAUAAAAAGAAAAAAAUCUUAAAAAUCAGAAAAAUAUUAAUAAAAUCACAUGAAAAGUAAAUAAUAAAAAAACCAUACAGUGUAUAAUAAUCAAAUGAUUCAAAUUAAUUGUACGUCAUUUUCAAUGGCUUCUAAUUUAGUUUUUUUGUUUGUUCUAAAAUCCAAUUCUCUCUCAUGCAUUUUUCAAAUAAUCUUCAAACCAUCACUAUCACCAAUAGGAUCCUCUAAUGAAUCAUAAUUAUAUCCAAUUGCUCCAUUAUCCUCUCCAUCAAAGUCAGUGUCAAUCCAUUUUUCUUUUUUAUCCAUUAAUUACAAUUAUUUUUUUCCUUUAUCCAUCAAUAAUAAGAUAAUGAUUAUAUAAGUUCGGUUACUACAGUGACCAACAAUCUUUUAUUUCUUCUUCCCAAUCUCUUCCUUUCAUUAUCAUUUAAAGAAUUAAUUGAUAGUCAACUAAUCCCUUGUUUUUUAAAAGGCUUAAUCCUAAUCUUGAUACAAGACAAAACUUAAAAAUUUAUAUCAAAACCCCGUAAAAGCACAGGUUAACAAGCAAUAAAAUAUUAAGACUUAAACCUCUUAAAAAUGUAUAUAAAAAGUCGAUAAAGACCCUAAACCCAUUAAAACCUUUUGAAUAUUUGAGCCUUAAGCCUCGAUUAUCCUCUAUUGAGGCUAUAGCCUCAAGGCUAAUUUGCAUAGCCUCAACUUGAGGCCCCAAUAGCCUUUCAAAACACCGAUAGAAACAAAAAAUGAAAAAUGAAAAAACAAUAACCACCCCACCUAGAGCCCUUGAGGUGUGGCUUUGGGGUAGACUAGGGUAGGGAUAGGAAAGUUCCUGGUUCAAAACCAUGCACCAAAAUAAUAAUAAUUACCUUACCUAAAAUUGUUUGGUCUGAAUUUGAUGGGUAUGUUUGAAAGUUCCCCUUGAAUGAUGGAAAGAUUGAACAAGGCUAUAUGAGCUUGAACCUAGGAUAUAAUAAAAACAUUUCCUGUUUCCUUUUUCUUUUUCUUUUUCUUUUUUUUUGAGAGGGAUAGUUAGACAGAGCAGGUUAAUACCCAAAAAAAAAAAAAAUCAUCAGUGAAAGGAUCAGCAUGAAGGUUUUAUCAACGCAGGAAGCAGGAUGGCAGAAGACAGAUGUUCAAAUAAUAGGGUUAUAGAUCAUGUUGGGAGAAUUCUAGGUCAGCAUUCAAUUCUAGAAUGCAACCCACGCCUUUUUUUUCAACCCAAUGCCAAGCUUUAAGCAAGGGAAAAUUUGAUGUAGAAGAGGUUGCGAAUGUCACAAUGUAAUAACUUGAACAGGAACAAGGGGCCCUCUUCCUUUCCCCCAUUUCCAUCUCAUCACUACCAACACUGCUUUCCUGCUCAGACCUUUUACUUUUAGCCAUCAUAUCCAUAUUCACUUGUAAGAAUUUGUAAGGAAAAAAUAAAAGGGAAAAAGAAAAGAGGCGAGAAAGAAAGAGAAUAUCAACAUCUCAAAAAUACAUAAAAAUCAACAUACAAGCACUGGUUCAUUUCCUUCAAAAUACAUAUGAGAUGAAGAAUCAAUGUGCACUCAAAAUUUACAUUCAACCUAAAGGAAACCCUCUAUUUUCACAAUAAUUCCCACAAAUCUACCAGAGUAUGUACUUCAUGUAGCUGCUGCAAAUUGCAAACUUACAACCAAAGAAUGCAGAUAUUUAGGCCUUUUCACAGUGUGAGGGUUCAUCUAAAUGUGCAUACUCCAUGGUUAAAAAUUCAUCUUAGCUGUUCAGAGGAAAUUGAGUGAAACUUUGACAUGGUGCACAUAAAUAGAACAGCACUUUCUCAUGGAGUAUGCAGUAAGGCCUAAAAGGCUCAACCUUUCCAACAUAAUAGAAUUGCACAUUUAGGUUGAAAAACCUAAAUGUUAACACAAAAACCGUAAAAAAAACUCUACAAAACAAUAAAUCCAUUUCAAUCAAUAGAAAAAACCAUCACAAAUGCCAAGACUUAUUUAUCUGUUAAACAACAAAUACGUAGAGAUACAAGCACAAAUGUGAAAACAAAUCCAAACCAAACCAACAGAAAAGGCCCAAAUUCGUGCCAAAUAAUUGAUGUAGUUUACACGGAUCAAUGAUAUCAUAAAUGCUCUGUUUGAGUGGAGAGAAAAUAUAUGGAAAUGAAAAUUAAUUAAAAUAAUGAACAACAAUAGAACACCAAUUAUCUCAUUCACCGCUCAAUGCAAUAUUUCUGUGUAUGUUCGCCGAGAAAAUGUAGGAAAGCAAGUUAAAAUUCUGAAAAGUAACAAUACAACAAUAAACUAGUACAGCAUCAAAUGCAGAUAUGUACAGAUCAGUGAUCUCGCAAUCGCUCCUUUUGGUUGCUGAGAAAAUGAUGAAAAAAUAAAACAACGGAUGAUUUCAAGUAAAUCAUGCAUUAUCAAUGUCUGGAUUGGAAAAAGCAAGAACAAGCGCCUCAAAAUCAAUCACUAAGGCUCCGUUUGAACUUUCUGAAACCGAAAAACUAAAAAUUUUCCCUUUCUUUUAUUUUCUGAGAAAACAAACGGAGCUGAGGAAAUAGCUCGGAACUUGCCUGGAAGUACAGAGCGCUGAUCGAUGCGGAGACGCAAAUUUGUAGAUCUAGGAGCCCGCGUUAGGGUUUUAGUGUUAAAGAAGCUAACCUAAACGACGUCGUUUUCACACCAUCUGUUUUGCGUAUGUUAGACUAAUGGCAUAUUUUGAUCCAAAUAUUGAGUUGAAAAAAAUAUAUCAUUAAAAUAAACUAUCAAUUUUUUUUUUAUUAUUAUUCAACAUAUAAAUUAUAUAAUUAUAUUUAAAUGAAUAUUGCAAGUAUAAUACUUAUCAAAAAUAGCCUUGUUUUAUUAUUUUCCCUUUUUGUUUGGUGAAUUUUUAGUUGUUCUCGAAAAUAAAUUUUUUUAUUUUGAUUUUAUAAAAAAAAUUAAUAAAUUUAAUUUAUAUAAUAUUAAUUAAAUUACAUUUAAAUCUUAUUAAAAUAAAAAAGUUUAUAAUUGCAAAUAAAUUAGGAAAUUAAUAGCUUUUAGUAAACUAAGAAUAUUAAUAAUAUAAGAAUAUCAUAAAUUAUAUUUUUUAUUAAGAAAUAUGUUAUAGUGAAUAUAAUUUUUUUUUAAGAAAUGAAUGAUAAUAUUUUAAAAACAUUAAUGGUGAAUAAUAUUUCAUUUAAAAUAAUCAAAAUUUAUUUUUUCAAUAUUAAAUAAAUUAAAUUUAUUUGUCAUAUGUACACCAUUAGUCCGCAAUUAUAUAUAGAGCAUUUUUUAUUAGUUUUUAUUCGAUUUGUAAUUAACUCGAUGAGUGGUUUAAAUUCCAAAUCAUUAUUAAAGUCAGUAAAUUUAUUAAAAAAUAAAAAAAUAUUAAGUUUUCCUUAAUUUAAUGAGUUAUUAUUUGAUAAUCAAAAUAUUUUUAAAAUAUUAAUAAACUCGUUAAUAAAUUAAUGCGUUAAGUCUUGUUUUGUUUAUUUUCUAUUUUUGGUCUACGAAUUAAACAAGCAAGGUCAUGAUGGGUUUUGGUAUGUGAUGUUUGUGUACGAUUUAGCAAAAUCCAAGUUUUGAUGAUGAUAAAACAAAAAUUUUAUAUAAGAUAUAGUUUCGAGUAUAAUAAGAAAUAAAAUCACAUUUAAUGUGAUGAUAAAUUAUGUAAUCCAAUGAUAUAAAGUUCAUAAAUAUCGAAGUAUGCAUUGUUAAGAACUCAUCAUUCAUUAUUUAAGUCGGAUUCAAGUAAGAUUGGGGUAUAAUAAAUUAGGGAUGUAAGUGACCAUAAGUUUAUUAUAUUGAUAUUAUCUUUGUAAAUCUUAUGAAAAUGUGAUAAGAGAGAGGUAUCAUUGGAUUAUUUGUAUUUAAGUUUGAAGUAUUACUCGAGGUUUUAUUUUAAAACAUGAAGUAUGAUUGUAGGAGUUGUAUUUCAAUGUAACGUAUCACUUGAAAUUUGCGUCAUUUAUAUUUUAUUUUUCUCUUAUUUUAUUUACAUUUAUAUGAUUGGUGCUAAUUACAUUUAAAAUUGUUAAAAAAUUGCUUAUAAAAUCUAGCACUAAAUUCAAAGUUUCAAACCCGUUCCGAUUUAUUGUUGUGUUUACCAUUAACAUUUAGCUUUUUAAUGUCAAUUGGAUAGGUUUUUAACUUCGCAACCUUAUAGUAUUAAUUAUAUCAAUUAUCUAAGUUUCAAAUUAUUUUUAAGAAUUAGCAGAUCUUAUGGAUUAAGUGAUUGAUCUAAAUUUUAUUUAUUUAUUACAAAAUUUAGAGAAGUUAAAAAGAAAAUUAAAAAUAAUACAUAUAAUUUAAAAAAUCAUAUUUAAAUUCUUUCACUACCAAAAUAUUUUUAAAAAUAUAUAUUUUUUGUUUAUUUUUUUUAUUACCAAAAUAUUUGUUAUAUUAAAGUUUUUUCCUUAAAUAAAAAAACUUAAAAAGUAAUCAAAUAAUGGAGAUAUCAAGAAGCCGCCCAAUUCAAUUAAUUACAACACCCACACAAAUGGUUUCAUUUUUUCCUUCUAUAAACCCAUAAAUAAAUUCAUUAAGAAAAACUUACAAAGUAAUAAAAUAAGGGAGAUAAGAGGACUCCACCCAAUCCAAUUAAUUACAACACCCACAAUUGGUUUCAUUUUUUCCUUUUAUAAACCCAUAAAUUAAUUCAUUAAAAAAACUUACAAAGUAUAAUAAUGGAGAUGACAAGACUCCAACAAAUCGAAUUAAUUAAAACACCCACAAAUGAUUUCAUUUUUUUUUUCUUUUAUAAACCAUAAAUAAAUUCAUUGAAAAUAGCCAAAUUUAGAAAUCUUCCAAAAUUAUUCCAUUUUUGGACGUUGGUACUUGGACCCACACAACAAGCAAGCAAUUGGCCCACUGAUGACUGACCCCACAAAAAAAGAGCAGCACAGAACUCCAUGCACCCACGACUACCCCAACUCAACACGGCGGCGGCACCACCAAUCACCUCUGAUACUCUAAAAUCAGCCGUACCGCAACGGCCCAAAUCCCCAAACCCCCACCAUAGGGUGCGUGGAAACCCAUGCUACCGUCCCCGUUUCGUUUCGCGCCUCACCCAGGAACCACAAAUUCUCCCCCUCAAGUUUCAAUUUCAUCACAAAAGUUUGGAGCCAAAACCCCAAGCCUACACGUAUUAGAAUUUAAGUUUAUUUAUUAUUAUAAUUGUAGCUUCUAUUUUUGUAAUUAUGAUUUCGAUUUUAUUUUAAUUUUACAAUUACUAUAAAUACUUAACACAUAAUCAAUUGUCCCAUUGGACGCUCUACACAUCCGAAUCUCUCUCUGCGAAUUCGACAAACCUUUUAUUUUCCCUGAGAAAAUCCUCGGAUUUUCCCGAGAAAGUUGGUUGUCUAAUUUUUAUCGCGGUCGAUUCGGGGAGUGGGUGCGGGGGGUUUUGUUCGAAUUUUUUCUUUUUGUUUUUCGGAGUCUUUGCGAUUCGCCGGGAAAUCGAGUUGUCGGGGCUUGGGUUUUGUUCGCCGUUUUCUGUUCCAUUGCGGGAAUUUAGGGUUUCGCGGAAAAAGUUAGGGCUUAUUGUUGGGAUUUAGGGGUGUUUGGGGAUCGGGAAUUGGAGGACAAAGGGGCGGAGUAGGUGAAUUUUGAGGUGGUUUUGGGAUUUGUUGCUGCGUGGGAGGUGGAAUUUAGGGUUUUGGGUUGGAAAUUGAAUGUGGCUUUGGUGGGUUUGAUGUGUGGAAGAUGAUCAUAAAGCGGACGAUGAAAAUUGAGAUGCCGCAAAUCAAGCGGUGCAAACUCGAACAGCCUGGUGACGACGUUGCUUCUUUGAUAAAACCCAAGAAGCGAAGAAUAGAUGGGAAUGGUCCAGCUGACACGCCUGGCAACGUUGAGGAGGAUAGCAUUGUUGCAGGUUCUUUGUGCACCGAGAUUUCGUACUGUGCCAGCGAAGUGGAGUCGAAUUCGAAGGGCAAGAGGAAAGGAAGGAAUCCAAAAGCGGAGGGUUCUCGUCCUCCAUUAUUGCCGUCUUCGCGAGGUCGUCAUCGGGCACUUCCUUCGCGAUUCAAUGACUCGAUAAUUGAUUCAUGGACGAAGGAGGAUUCAAAGGCUGAUGACAUGGAAUCAAAUCUGGAUGAUUUCGAAGUUGUAGUAUAUGAAAAGGAGAGAAUUGGUACCGGAAGGCAGAAAACUGGCGCAUUGAGAUUAGAGAAACAGCACAAGGAGGAGACAUUUAGAUUGCCAAGUUCAAAUCUCUAUGGACUUUGCGAAAAAGCCGAGGAAGGAGAAGCGGGUUAUGUAGGGUUUAGAGAAUCCGAGAGCAAAAAAUAUUCUUGUUCACAUAGUUCAUUAUCCUCAUUACAUGAUGGCCUUAAUCCACUUGUAGAAGCUAGUGAUUACCCGGGGUUUAACUCCAAAGGUAGGGAGAAAGCAGGGAAGGAUAAAACCGAAAAGCGGAAGGAUUUCUAUAGGCCGGAGGAAUUUGUGUUGGGAGAUAUAGUGUGGGCGAAAUCAGGCAAGAGAUAUCCAGCUUGGCCUGCAAUUGUGAUUGACCCUGUGUUUGAAGCACCAGAAGCGGUGUUGAGUUCUUGUGUUGCUGAUGCAAUUUGUGUCAUGUUCUUUGGAUAUUCCAAAAAUGGAAAACAAAGGGUGCUCUCUCUCUCACUUUAUUAUAAUGGGCUCUUCUUUUUUUAUUUCCACCUAUAAUAUUUUCAUUGUUUUUUAAAUCUAAAUAAAACGGUGAUGAACAGGAUUAUGCUUGGGUCAAACACGGGAUGAUAUUUCCAUUUCUAGAAUAUCUGGACAGGUGGGUCAUAACCCAUUCUGCGGUUUAACAAUUUGCCUAAGGGAAAUCAUUAGUCUCUUCUUAAUAGUGGUUUUUUUUAUUUGUCAGAUUUCAAGGGCAGACCCAGUUGCACAAGAGCAAGCCGAGUGAUUUUCGGGAGGCAAUUGAGGAGGCAUUUCUAGCCGAGAACGGUUUUUUUGACACAAACAAUGGGAGUGGACAAUUAUCUCGUACGGAAGAGAAUCCCGUUGGGGUUGAAGAAGCCACUGGUUCAAACCAGGAUCAGGAAUCCCACUCUCAGAACCAGGCAAGUUCCCACAACUCAAUUUUUCUUAACUUUUAUUCUUCCUUUCUUCAAUUUCAGUAUAUGCAAAUGAAGGAUUUUAUCUGACUUGGGUGGAGCAUCACAAAAGAUAUUCCCGUGUUCUUAUAUCCAAGUGUGAACUUGUCUUGCUAUCAGUAAACUCAAUAUAGUAGAUAAAGUAAGUAUUCUGGUGGUUGUGGCUCAGACCUUGACUCCAGUUUACUCUUGAAGACUUUCUUCAUCUUCUUGCUUAUACUUGAAUUUUUUUUUUUAUAUUCUUCCACUAGAAGUCAACUGCUAGUUCAGAAAUGAUUCAGAAAGAUUUUCAACUUUUUUCUUAUUAACUCUUCAUAUCUGAGAAAAAUGAUUCUGGAAGACCCUCAAGUUUUGCCAUUAGGUUGGUUGAAGAUCACGAAUGGGAUGGAUUUAGGAGUCUUUAUACAAGCCCUAUGCCAUCCCAACUUGCACAAGUAGUUUUAGAAACCACACUUUGAAACAGUUUGGUUUUCUGGGUCCAAGAACGGCAUUGUUGGAACUGGGUUGGGACAUCAAGCAGUGAAGCUAAUUAAUAGUUGUGGAAAGGGUGAAAGACAUUUCUAAUUGAAUAUUUGGCCUGAAUGUAUGAUUGAAAUUACAGUUUUCCUAAUCUUGUUAUUAGGUGAGUGUUUCUUGCCAGCAUUCUCGAAGGUUCAGAAAACAGAUGUAUGUAAGUUGUGGCUGGAGCUGCUCCCAGGUCCUUGCUCCCGGUUUCUCAUUCAUUCCUUGCCUGUAGUGUCUUCUGGGGUACAAUAUAACCCUGAGAGGCAUAUUAUUACCUAAUUUAGUCAUCUGGUUUGAGAGUUUUUUGCUAUGUGUGAAGUUUCUAUGCCUUUAUUAAGAUGGCCAAAUUUUUUUUUUUUCCCAACUGCCAUGACUAGGGAUGACAUCAAUAUAUAUAUAUAUAUAUAUAUAUAUAUAUAUAUAUAUAUAUAUAUAUAUUAAAAAUAUAUUUUUUAUUUUUAUUUUUUUGGUUUAGUCUCAUCGAAACCGCAUAUGGAGAUAGCAACGUCAGUUUUCAACCAAAACGCAGCUAUAGCCGUAUUUUUACCCUGUUUUCAACCAAAACGCAGCUAUAGCCGUAUUUUUACACUGUAUUAAAAUUAAUUUUUUGUUUUUAUUUUUUUAGUGAACGCCUCAUCAAAACCGCAUAUGAGGAUAGCGUUUUCAAGCCAUAGCCGUAUUUUUACCUUGUAUUAAAAUUUUGGGAGUUGUGAUUAUGUCCUUAACCUUUGGUUUUAUCUGGAUUUAUAUUUAUCUUAUCUAUUAUUUUUCAUUAUCCUAAUUUUUUAGUAAAUCAUUUUUCAUCAACUUUUAUCAUUUUAUCCUUCAUUUUUUAUUAUUUUAUUUAUGUGAUAAAUCAUUUUCUAUCAUCCUCCAAUUUUUAUCUUCUAACUUUAUUUAUUUAUUUAAACCAGUGUUUUAAGUUAUCUGAUAAGUUAUCUUUAAAACAUCUUUAUCAUUAUCUUUUUUUAAUCUUUCUAUUAUUUAUAAAUUAAUGUUUCAAUUCCAUUUUUCUAAAAUAAUUUUUUUAAAGAAAACCCAUAAACGGCAGCCCCAGACUGCAGCUUUGAAGCAGGGGCAAAAGACCAAAAGAAAUAGAGAAACGUGGCAACAACCCCUAUGCGUCCACCUAAAGCAAACAGCUUUUAAACCCUUAAAAUUUGGAUGUCUACUGUUAUCUGGAGAUUUAAUGUGGAAUGGAGGCAGUGGUAGGCCAGUGAAGUUAACUUGGUCUCGGAACUUGUCACUUCUCAGUUGGGCGCUAGUUGAAAUUCAUCUAAAACUUAACUGUGGUUGAAUGUGGAUCAAGCCCAUGUACAAGAUACUGUUUUAAAAUGUAUUAAUCGAUCAUGUAUUACCAUGGACAUGUGCGACCAACGAUUUUGUCCCUUCAUAUUUUGGAUAACUUUUGAGUUGCUUUUUAUUCAGUUAAUAAUGCCACAAAAUGUGAUAUGUGAAGUUUUAAGAGUUAAUUCCGGUGGUUUUCUUUGCAGGGUGUAUUCAAUAAUGGGGAGGCACAACCCUGUGAUGGUUGUGGCUGUGUUCUACCAUGCAAAAGUUCGAAAAAAAUGAACAAUUCAACUGGUGAAACCCAGCUUUUAUGUAAACAUUGUGCUAAGGUGUGUGAGAAAUGUUUUGUCUUGGAGGUAUCUUGUUUUCUUUUCUCUAAAUGAAAUGGAACAACGUUUUCCUGAGUGAUGCUCCCAUGAAUUUUGUAACAGUUGCGAAAAUCAAAACAAUUCUGUGGUGUAUGCAAGAAGACAUGGCAUCACUCAGAUGGAGGCAAUUGGGUGAGUUUUGUACAAUAAUUUAGUGUAUAGUUCUUUUCAACAUGAUUAUUUCAGUGUUCCAUAUGAUUGUUAUUUGAACUUACUCUUCGGAUUAGGUAUGUUGUGAUGGUUGUAAUGUCUGGGUGCAUGCUGAAUGUGAGAAAAUUUCUACCAAACGUUUGAAGGUUUGUCCACCUGAUGUUAUCUUCAAUGUUAAUUUGUUCCUUCUGUCUCAUAUGUUUAUUUACUCUAAUUCAUGAAGGAAAGUAUCACUGACUUGAUUACGUUUUGAAGGAUCUGGAGGACAUUGAUUAUUACUGUCCUGACUGCAAAGCUAAAUUCAAUUUUGAAUUAUCAGAUUCAGAUAAAUGGCAGCCCAAAGUCAAGUAUGUCAUCACUAUCUUUGAUUCUUCUUUUCUGCAGUUUGUUGUCGGCUUGCUUUUGUGGCUUUCUAAUAUUACUUUUUUUUUCUUAGUUUUUAUUUUUAAUGACGUGAAUCAAUUUUAGCAGGUGUAUAGAAAAUAAUGGACCUCCUGUGCUGCCUGACAAGUUAGCUGUUGUGUGCACAGGAAUGGAAGGAAUAUAUCUUCCAAAUCUUCAUGUGUAAGCCCUAACACUUGUGGCAAAUGCUAGAGUAAAUUUUAAUCUGUAAAAAUUGUUAUUACUGCUUUCUUGCAUGUAUUCCCCACUCCCACCCACUGCAUCCUUGUUCUAUCUUGGGAAAAGAUGUCUCUUGAAACAGUGGACCAUCUAGUACUCAAUAUUAACUAGAAUUUCAACCAUUCAUUUGGAAUAUUUACAAAUAUCAUGGUUGAUUUAUCUUUAAUUCCUUAAAUAAGUUGACAAGGCUACAGAAUUUUGAGUUAUAAGUAAGCUGGAAGUUAGAACUUUCUUUGCCAAUGAUUGAAUUUGAGGCAUGCUACCAAAGGGGUCUUUAGUGUGGUGGAUUAAUUACUGUCCAGAGUAAGGGGCACGAAAGAUGUUUUUAAUUAAAAUUAGAAAUAUUUUGAAAUGAAGAUAAGGAAUAUCAGUGACCUAUCACAAAAAAAAAAAAAAAAGAAAAAAAAAAAAAGAAAAGAAAAAAAGAAAGAAAGAUAAGGAGUAUUGAGUGGGUAAAAUGGGUCCUAUCAGUGAUCUGCAUUUUGCCAUUUUUGUUGUCUUCUUUUGGUCUUUAUGUUGAAAUGUCAUAUGUAAGUUGAUGUAACCUUGUCUUAUCUGCUUGUGUGGUUCUCAAAACUUUUUCCCUUUGCACCACUUUCCUACAGCAUGUUUUAUGAAAACAAAUAAAAUUAAAGAAUCAUGUCCUGAAGUUGUACUUUGGUGUAUUAUUUACUGUUAUUAAAUUAUACAUACCUUUCUUUAACUAUCAAAAAAAAGAAAAAGGAUCAUGUCCUGAAGUUCAGUCAUUGAUUUGAGACUUACUCAUAAUUUGGUUCAUUUCUAUUGAGGGAAUUAAGUUCAAUUAAUUUCAGCUGAGUUGCAAAGCAAAAUCGGUUGAUUGAAACUUUAUUUUUGGUAAAAUACUUUGCUAACCUACUUCCAAUUUGUUAUUGUAGGGUUGUUUGCAAGUGUGGUUCAUGUGGCACAAGGAAGCAAACACUUAGUGAAUGGGAAAGGCAUACGGGUUCUAGAGCUAAAAAAUGGAAGGCGAGCGUUAAAGUAAAGGAUUCUUUAAUACCACUGGAAAAAUGGGUUUGUACCAGUUGACCGGUUCUUGUUAGUUUCAAAGCACUACUUAAAUUUCUGGCGUAAUCUGUGUUUUGAAUAAAAUACGGUCUUUCAAUCAUGGGAAGAAUUUAGACUGUGUUGAUUAGAACUUCCAAUAUGCAUUUAAUGUGUAUUUGGCAACUAAUUUUAAAUUUGAGCUCCGCUGUGGUUCUGUCAAGCUUAUUUAUACUGACCUGCAUGGUGAUUCUCUACUUUGUCUGAAUUGUUUUGUGCACAGUAAAAAUUGGGGCAUUAAACAUGAACCUUAUAUUAUAAUUAGUUUGGCAGUUGCUUGUAAAUGCAUAGUACAAUCUUCCUUUAUUGCACUCCUUGUUUUCCAGAACUUUACUAUGCAGCCAUGUCAAUACAGGCCUAAUAUUUGGUUCUGCAAUUUGAAACCUAACCAGCCCCCCUCAUUUGACUACUUGUACCUAAUUAGUUCUCUAGCUUAUUGUUUUCCUCUAUUUAUUUGCUUAGAAGUUUUAAUUGUAAGGCUCCCAUUAGUGCUUAUGGUUCUCUCAAAAUUCUCCCUCUUGAUUAAGUAGUUAGUGCAUGGCUUUAGUAAAGUUAUGCUCUGGGUUUAAUUUAGUUUCUCAGUCCUGAUUGGAGCUUGUAACUCUCAUAUAUAUAUAUAUAUAUAUAUAUAUUUUUUUUUUUUUGUGUACCUGAUAUCUUUAUUGAACUAUUAGCAGGCUAAUUUAAUAACAUAUAAGUUAAGAAUUGCUGUGAAACUUUUAAAUUCUGACCAUUUCGUGUCCUGUGAAAGAACAGUAGAUGUAUAUGCAACAAUCAUGAAAGGAAACUGUUCCCUUUCAGUCAUGAAAGAGAGCCUUUUUUUUUUGGGGGUUCAACAUUGGUCUUUUAUGUAAUAUGCUGCAUUCAAAUUAUUUGUCACUGGGAUUAGCAGUUUUAGAUGUUUAUUCGAUUACUCAUUGAACAUAUGGAUAAUUCCUCAAUAUUUUAUUCAUCUGCAAAAUCUCUAUCCAUCUAACUUGUGAUGUUAAGUGUUGUGGUGAUUAUAGAAAGAAUCACCCCUUGUUCUCACCAAAGUUUACGUGUCAUAGAUGAACAAUUCCAAUAUAUUCUCCUUUUAACAUUGAGAUUGCUGCAGCUUGCAGAGUAUACUACACAUGGUAUCAAUCCUCUGAAGUUACAAAAACAGCAGUUAUUUUCCUUUUUGAAAGGUAAUUUUUAUUUUUCUUUGUGAUCUUUUGACGUCUUUUUUUUUCUGUCUGCCACUGCAGCCAUGAGGCAUUUUGCAGUAUAACUUUUCACUGCUGAAGAAACUAAUUAUACUCUUAAUUUCAUUACAACAGAGAAGUAUGAACCUGUUCACGCAAAG